GCGGAGACUGGGAGCGAAAAAUCCGGGAUCCGGCAACUUUGGGCAGCGCAUGCGCGCCCGCGGCGCUCCAUCCCAAACACACACACAUUUUUCCCCCGGACUUGGAAAGUCACCCAAAGCCGCCCCAAGUGCAGGUAAGAGACUCGGCGCUCCCUCCGCUGCGGGCUCCCCUGUUCCCCAGCUCCGCGGGCCUCUCGGGGCCCCUCUCCGCUUCGCCCCCUGCCCGGGUGCAGCCCCCCACUCCCGGGGCUGCCGCUUGCAGCCGGGAGCGGGCGAGCGAGCGAGCGAGAGAGCCAGCCAGCUUGCGAGCGGCGGCUGCCACCCAACUCCGGCCGUGCGGAGGCAGGGGGCACGGAGGGCUGGCACCCCGGCAUGGGGUGGCGCGUCGCCCGCUGUGGCCAGGGGAAUGCCCGGCGCGCGGCUCCUGGGGAGGGGAGGGCUGCUGCUCCUGAGGGUCACUUACUCCAACUGAGGGGGCGGCGGGGUAGGGGAGAAGAGGGGGAGGUGCCAGGUUCGAGUGCACGACUUUGCAAAUAUGGUGGGGGCGCCCCCCGCGCUGUGGGCUCCCGGGGGGGGGGGCAGGUGUUCGCCAAUACUGGGUGAUCAUUCCUUUCCCUACUCACCCCAACCCCCAGCGACAAGGGGGUCGUGCGCUCUCCAGGGCAGAGAAGGAGGCAGGGGUGAGGGGCGCUGGGGUGACUUUGCAAGACUUUGCCCAAGGGAAGGGGCGGGUGGGGAUCCCCUUCAGCCGGCUCUUGUACCCCGACACCGGGGUGUGUGUGCUUCCGGCAGAGGUAGGCAGUGUUCGCUUAGGCUCAGGGUGCCAAGGGGUGCCCGGGAUGAGAAAACCAAGGCAAGAGGUUUGUUGGAUGGGGGGAGCGGCGCCCCCUUUUUCAUCUUUGCCUGGAAGUUUAUCUCAAGUGCGCUGCUCCAGGCGCGGCAAGUGGCGCUUCUCGCUCUCUCCCCCACCCCCCAGCCUCCCCGGGCGCAGGCUGGCAACGCUGGGCACGGACACAGAGAGUCAAAGCACCGACUCAAAGCCGCUGGGCUGUUGGCCGAAGCCCGCCUGGGUCUGGGAAAAAGUUCCGGGGAGUUGCGGCGGCUGUUGUGUGCGCGGGGAGAGAAGUUGCGCCCGGGAACGUGGGACGCUGGCCUGGCAGGCCAGCUAGCGGGUGGAGCGAUGCGAUCCCGGGGGCUUCUGCAGCGGUGGGAGGAGGGUCUGGAAGGGUCUGUGCUCCAAGGUGGGCAGAGGGUGAUCUGGGGGCUUAGCAUUUGGGGAGGAAGAACCCUGAAUCCGAGAGCACAGGGCUGAAAUAGGCACCUGGUGGAGGACAGAGAGAAGAGUAGCUUGUUUGGGCUCAGGGGACACUAAAGGGGAAAUGGUUGGACCACCCCGUCUUUGGGGUUCUGGCUUCUUGGCAAAGGAGCGCAUGGUGGCUGGCGGAAUAGUGUUGGGGAGCGGGGCUGCAAGGGGUGCGCGGGAAUGGAAGAUUGGGUCAGACGGAUAGUCCUGUUGCUGCCGGGGCAGGGGGCCGAGUCGUGCGCUCGGGGUGAGCCGGCCGGGCGGAGCGGCGGCCGGUUUAUUUUUACUCGGUGGCAUUUGCAGAAUGUGCAGCUGAUGACCGUCGGCCGCCAGGAAGUUUUGCUUUCUGUUCUUUCUCUCUCUUUUCGAAGCCAGCGCGGCCCGGAGCUAGAGGGCCGCCGAGUCGGGCCUGGGAGGGGAGGGGGGCGGCCUCUGGGGUUGCAAGGUGCCGGCAGGGGCGCGCUGGGGCCGCGGGCGGGGGCUGCCGGCGCGGGCGGGCGGACGACGGGCGCUGGCGGCUGCGGAGCGGUUGGGCGAAUAUCUGUCCCCAGCUUUGGAAGCUCCUCGGCGAGGGGAACAGGUGUAUGCGCCGUCAAUCACAGCGGGAGGGACACUUUGGGGGCGUAGAUUAAGAUCAUAAUAAUAGAUUUUUCUCUUGGGGGGUGGGCGCAGAUUCUUCCAAGUCAUCCCAGACCCGGAUCCCGAGUUGGGGGAGGAGUGGAGUGCGGAGGGAGGCUGGGGGCCGCUUCUCCCUCCGCAUAAGUUUUUCCUGACACAGGCUCAGCUUGGGAAGCGGGCCUGGGUGCGACGUGGACCUCCUUCCCAUCAAGCUGGGAAGGUGCGGGUCCGGUACGUGUGCCUGUGCGUAAAAUUUAUCCACCAAGGAAGCAGCAGUAAUACUCCUCUUUUGGGCCGGAGCUCCCCCAAACCCCGCUGGAUCUGGGAGACUGGCGGGGGUCUGCGUCGCUGCUCCAGCGGAGUCUGGGGACACGGCCCUCAGUGUGUGUGGUUGUGCGCCCACACCCUGUACACUCGCAGACGUGGGUGCGGGUGGGGGAGAAAGAUCGGGUAGUUGUUGGCCAAAGUUGGUAAAUUUAGGACGCCUCUAAGCGAGUACAGGCGCACGGGCAGAGCGUGCGAGAGGACUGGAAAACAGACCGCUGGGUAACAUUGGUUCCCCCCCCCCCCAUGACACGCGCGCGGGUGCGCGCGCGUACACACACACACACACACACACACACACACACCGCCGUCCUAAAGAGAGCUGUCCCGGCUGAGCAGGAGCAGCUGCGCCGGGCUUGGUGGGGGGGGGGUAGUUGGUCCCCGGGGGCUGCGCCCGGGCUGCGCUCCACGUGCCCGGAGGGGGCGCUGGGCCAUUCCGCGCUUGAGCGCAAAGCGCCGGGUUUGCGCCCUGGUGGCUGAGAGGCGGUGCGUCCGGGGCGGUCGUCGCGACCUGCGCCGUCUCCCGCGACCCGCACCAACUCCCCCGGUCCCCAGCCGCUUUCCCAGUUGCCAAACUUUUGACUUUUACGGUUUGCCCCUUUUUGGAGCUCUUGAUUCUGUAGAGAACUUCUCCCUUCCCGGCCGCGGCUACCGUCUCUCUCCCAGGAACACAGAGAAUUGGAGAGAUGACCCCCCCCCCCAUCUUGUUAGCCACCUUAGAGGCGGUUAACGAGAGUUUAUGGGGAAUAUUGUUGAACUUCAGUAAUCAGGUUUCCAGCGAUCUUAUGCCUCCUGUUUAAUUUAUUAGACUAGUUAUUUAUUCUGUUGAUGAUAAUCUGUUGCUGGUUUCUAUGGAGAUGUUAAACUGAUCUCUUUCAGAAAUCAAACUCCAUAUGCACUAAAACGUUUAAAGGGGCAGUGCCUCCCUCUUUUUCCCCCUGCCUUUUUUUGUUUUGUUUUGUUUUUUAGACUUUGCACCUUGCUGAGACUUCGAGUCUUGCUUUGAGUCUCUGCGCAUUUUACUUCCUUCUGACGAAGGAGAGGAGCCCGGGAGACUCACGCUUUGUGGCAAGUACAGCUUAUUAUGGCUAGCAGAAAGAGAAGGCUUUGAUCCCUAAGUUGCAUCAUCAUUUAAAACAGAUCAUUUCACCACCACCCCUUUCCCCCCCAUCAUAGAAGAGCAAAAUUCUUUCAAGAUCAAAGAGUCCAAUCUUUAAAAAAAAAAAAACAACUAUUGUUUAAAAAAAUAGAAAAGUCAGUUAAAUAUGAACCUCCCCAUUUAUAUCUGCUCUCCUUGUGUUUAAAGGAUUUUUUGAAUAAGAAAAACAAAACUCAGUUCAUUUUUCAGACUUAUUAAUAGUUUAUCUAGCCCCCCCCCACUUUAAUUUAAAAAGAAGUUCAAAGUUAGAUUUCUCUGCCUGUGGGGGUUGAGGUAUACUUGCUUCUCUUUUAGAUCCUGACCAUCUGUUUUUGGAAAAUUAGCCUCUGGGAAGAGGGGGAAAGCAGUUUUUACUCAAAGUUAAUGGAGUGCUUUAAUUUAUUUAUUUUUUUGAAAAUAUACAAAUAUUUAAAAGUCCUAUUUUCCUUGCUUUUUAAGAGAAUACCAGUAACCUCUGUCUGGUGUGUCAGAGUGUAUCAAUUUUCCUUCUUCUGUCCUCUUCUCUGCUCAGGUAUUUUUUCUGUAGACUUGUGACUUUGGUGAAUUUUUUUUUUGGGGGGGAUACAGUGAAUGAAGAAACUAAAGCAGAAAAAAAUUAUCGUGGUUUUUGACACUGAAAAAUUGCGAACCUACUCUGGCUCAGAUAUUUAUCAUGCUGACAGAUAUGAUACAAAGCGAUUGCAUUCCUAAUGAUCCUCCGGGACUAAGUUGUAGGUAAAACCAUUUAAUGCAUUUUUAAUAUUAAAGUAAGGCCCAGGUUCCAUUUUCUUGGAGGUAGGGGGAGUGGCUGUCCCUGUACAGAGCUGGUGUUCUCUGAAUAGACAGCUUUGCUUCUUCAACUAGACCCACCCCCCCAUUUCACAUUUCCAUUACGUUGGGGAGGGGUGAGCCAUACAGGGCAUUUGGCUUUCACAAAUAAAUUUAUAUCCUACCAGAAGGUCCAAUACUAAAUAAGAGUACACUUAAAAUAAAACCACACACACACACACACAACCCAAGACUCCACCCCUGUUAUAGGAAAGAAAACAUAGGCAAUACUUGACCCCCCCACACCCUUCAGCCCUCCUGCUUCUCUUUUAUAUUAUCUUAUUUUGGAGGGGGCGGGUGGAAUGGUGGUUGCCUUUCAGCUCAGAAGAGGAGAGAGGAGUCAUUCCUAUUAUUUCCCUCUUUGCUAUAUUUUAAAUUUUUGUUUGAUUUGGAUUGCAAACAGAGCAGGGGCUUAGGAGUAAAAAGAGCACUGUGGCUUUAAACUCAGGAGUUUGCAUAUUCUCCUUGUAUCUUUCCCCUUUGCUAAUUAUUGUGUUGUUUUCAGAGCAAAUAUGUCAUAUCCAUGGCGACCGGGCAGGUUUAUUGUCUUUCUGAAGCAAUAGCUCACAUAAGUAAUUAAUGACUUUCUUUUUUUUCCUCUGGCUUAGGUUAAACAGAUCAUUCAAGGAAAGUCAUAUCUCUUCUCUUCUCUCCCUCUCUCUCCCUUUUCCUCUCUUUCUCUCUCUCUGUCUCUCUCACCUUCUCUCUCUCUCUCUCUCUCUCUCUCUCCUUUUUAGCCCAGUGACAUAAGAACAUGAGUUAAGAACAAGAAAAUACUUUAAGCAAGAAGUCAACAAGCUUAUUUCCCCCCCAUUUCUUCUGAGAGCUGAGUGUCAGCUUUCAGACCUCAGAGUUGUCAUCUGGCAGCCCUGAGCAGUGUGGUCCCGCCCGGGCUGGCUGUCCACUGCGGGUCUGCAGCAGCGAGUCUCACCUCCGUCCCUCCACCACCGUACCGGCCCUCCUUGGACGUCCUUAAACGAAAACUCAAACCCCCUUCGUGAGGUUUUUGAUUAUUUCUCCUGUAUUUGGCAGAAUUUAAUUAAAUUGUUUACUGGACAGAAUGAACGAGUUGGUAGUCUGUGUCGCCCGGAGCCCUUCUUUUUUCCCAGUCUAGUUCAUUGGAAAGACAAAGUUUUCCUUUUCAACUCACCUUCUUCAGCUUUCUGUGGCCUUUGUCUUAAGUGCUUUUUCCUGGAGGCGUAGCUUUUGGGAUUCCCUCUGGUUAAUAUUUCCAGAAUCCUGGUGGGGUUUUUAUUUUUUUAUUUUUUCCCUUUCAAACCUCCAACUUGAAGUGUUUUCUCCUUCUUAAGAAUCAACAGCUAUGGGAUGAUCAACUCUGCUUGGAUUUUUUUUUUUUUUUUUACUUUUUCCUUUUUCUGGUGGGAGACCUUUUGGGGAUGUCAGAUUAGAUAGGCAGCCUAUUGGUCUUCUGUACCUACAUAGUGACAGUGCCAGGGAAAGUAGAGGCUGUGUGUUUUUUUUUUUUUAAGAAACCACUUUUUAUGUCCUGUGCUUUUCAGAUGGACCUUUGCUACCAGAAGCCUUAUGAUGUCACCCUUUAACUUUAGGAAUUUGCUAGAUGUUUCUGCUAGCAUGCUCAGCCGCCUUCUGCCCUCCCCCCUGGACACACAUCAAGCACACUCCUGCGAUCCUCCCCCCACUUUUAAGUGUUUCACAUAUGACCAAGGUUUUGUGUGUGUCCUUCGAAAAGGGGAGAGCCAGAUAGCAAAGCAUCACGUUGUCCUCAGACACGAUUCAAAAGAAUAUUUUCCUCCCAUCUGAACUAAGUGCAAAAAAGACUGCGAGUUGACAGAAUGAAUCUUUAGGCUUUUGCCAUCAACAGUCAAAAUAUAAAGAAGAGAGAUUUAUUUGGUAUCUGGUUUCUGAAGAGGAGCAGAGGAGGCCAGGCAAGUCUGAUGCUGAGACUCCAGCAGGGCUGUAAUUGAGCCCGUAACCUCUUGAUGUCUAUAUCAGAAAAACAGACACGAGCAGGGAGAAUGGAGGAGAGGAGAACCAGCAAGCCGGGCAGAGGAGGGAGCUGGGGGGAGAGUCACAGAGAGAGGGAGAUAGAUUUAAUUUAUAGACAUUUUAAAAACCGUAAUUUCAUUAGGAUCUGUUCUUCCCUUUCUCUGAAGGGCAGCCCGGCAGACCGAUAAGGCCAGUCCCUCUGCCCGGGAUGCGUGGUGCGGUUUGUUGGGCGCAAAGCCUCGGCGUCCUUGCCAGGGCGGUUGCCUCUCUGUUCGCUCCUUAUUUUCAAAUUUAAAAGCCCCGAACAGUCAGAAGGGCUGUGUGGCUCAGGCUGCCCCGCGAUCUCCCCUCUGGUGCCACGCUCUUCUGGGAGCGGGUCUGUCUCCUGUCUGGGCGGUGGCAUCUGCAUGUCUUCCAUCUGUCACCCGGCUGCUGUGGUUCCAGCGGCAACGGGCUGCCAGGGAGGGGGAGGCCCCCAACUCGUCCCCCAUCAAGUUCACCAACUGAAGUUGCUGUGGUCCUGUGGCCGCAGCUUUAGGGGGGGAAGAUGAAGCUUGUCAUAAAUUCUGCAAAAAUUAAUCAGCCGUUGAAGAGCUGCUCAUGGACGGGGUUUGGCAGGCAAGCCGGCGCCUACUGCUGCUCCCUGUCCCGAGUCCCAUAGAGUGAGGGGUGUCCUGCACUGUGAGGAGGGAAGGGGGAGCUGAUGGCUUUUUUGGUUUGUUUGUUUAAUCACAAAAACUGAGGACAAGUAGGAAGAGGGCAGAAGACAGAUGGAUUUACCGAAUAUAAAUCCUCAAGUGCCCUUGUUCCAUGUUGUUGGAAAUUUUCUCUCCCUUUCGGUCUGGAUUUGUCCUGUGUGUCUUUGGUGGAACAGACACGUAGAGAAAGAGAGCGGGGUGGGGGGCGGUAAGGAGAGAGAGAGAGAAGGAUAGAGAAGAGAGAGAGAGGAGAGAGAGAGAGAGAGGCAGGGACAGCAGAGCUCCUUCGGAACUCAUUAUCAUUCGUAAUAAGUCUUAAGGAAUAAAGAAGAGCAUUGAGUGUAAAUGCUGGGUAAUCCUAACACUUCUCAAGGUGAGAGGAGUGUUGAGGACACAGAGAAAAGAGAGAGCAGAGGAGGGGUGGGAGGUGGGGCUCACAGGGCCUGGGGUGUGGAGGCCCUGCAGGAGGCCUAGAGGCUGGGGUGGGGGGACCCCCGAGAUGCCUCAGGUGGGAUAGGUUGUCUGAGCUGACACACACGGGGAUCUCCAGGAUAGGGUGAUUUGCUGAGGGUCAGGAGGAGGGGUGCAGGGACCAGUCCUACCUGUGUGUGGGGUAUGGACUGGUGUUUUGGGGCCUUUCAUUCCUCCUGGGCAUCAUGUCCCCAACCUCCAGGCCUCAGACUUUUGAAGAAGGCCCAGAACGGGAUGGAGGAGCCUUGUCCUGCUCUAGGCCCCCACCUUACUGUCCCCUAGGGAUCCCGCCCCCACCCCCGCAGUGGCCGCACUGGAAAGCCAGAGGGCCAGAGCAGCAGCUAGAGCUCAGCUCUGGACACUAGGUGGCUUAGAGGAUCUGCUCCGUUCUCCGCUUGGCCGCUGGCUUCCCUCCCCUCCCCGCGGGUGGGCUCCGCUGUGCAUUUGCUCUGCUCGCUGGGCUGGCAGCCCUGCCCAGGCGCAUGGCCCAGAUCCCAGGCUGGCCCUCCCGCAACCAGCUCUCAGGCAAAGUGAGGGUGAGGCCGGGGGGCAGCUCCCGAGGGGCAAGACAGCUGUCCAGGGACACUUGCAGGCAAGAGGAAGCGAGUCCAGCCGGGUCUCUGCCCGCUCCAUCCUUGGCCACCUGGGCAUGAGGCACUGCUGAGUGCUUGAGGGGGUCUCUGAGCUGUGCACUUCCCCUUCUUAGUUUAUGUGCCCCCUUUGAGAAUCUUCUUAAUAAAAAAAAUCUCAUAAGCAUAAAUACUGCUUAUACUUUGAGGGGUUUCACAGAUCUUAUAAGCCCGGCCUAAGGACCCUCCAGGGUCCCUUGCCCUGGUGGGCUUCCUUCCAGUUCUGUGGGAUGGGGCAGCAGGAAAGAGGAGGCAAAACCUGUCCACACCACCACUUCCACUGGCCUGCCUCAGUCCUGGGAGAGGAGAGUGCCAUCAGGUGUCACCUAGGGGCCCAUAGAUGAGGCAGGAGCCAGCCUGCAGGUCACCCUCUGUAGAACCACACCUGCUCGGGCAGAUGCCCCAGGCCAGGUCCAAGGCAGCGGUCCCCUCCUCUGGCUUACCUCCGCUAGGAUUCCUCGGAUGUUCGAGGAAGGGUGUUAGCCAAGGUCAUGUUCCAACCAUCAGGAGAGAGGUGGGCAUGAAGGACAGCACAAUUCAGAUUUGACUUACCAGAGUUGAAACAAAAAAAAUUUUUUCAACUCUGUAUUUCUUUUGGAAAGCAACUUCUGGGGAGCUUGCAGAGGGUGUGUGGGAGUUGGAGGUGAAGGCUGGUGACUGAGCUGGUGUGGAGCCCAGAGGGAGCGGGACGGGUUAAUGGCGGGUGGAUUCUGCUUUGCUCUUGUAUAAGAGCAGUAAUGGCCAAAUUGCAUGCCCUGCGUGCGCCUUGCUGACGAGAUUUACCGAAAGGAAGCUGAACUGCCUCCGCUGCUGGGCUCUGGGUGGGUGAGCUUCUGUGUGUGUGUGUGUGUGUGUGUGAUCGUGCGCGUGUGUAAAUGAGAAGAAGGGGUGGGGGAAUGCGCUCUGCCGGGCUGGCACCCUUGGGGUCGUGAUUAACGACCGUCUCAUGGGUGCCCCCGACACGGUCGCAGAGGUCGAGGCGGACGGGGGGAGCGGGGUCCCUCGAGUCGACACGUCGAGUGAUAGGCUCCCGGUAAAGGCCCGGGUGAUCAGGACCCGGAGGAAACCCUUAAAGUCCCUUUAGACUAGGAACCCCUCUGACACCCAGUUCACGGACGUAGAGACCGUCCCUGACCCCACCUACCCCGUUCCGUCCCCACCAGGUCCCGAGACGAUUCCAAGCCGACGGGUGAGGGGACGGUCCGAGGUGCACGGACACGGGUGAGUCCCAGAGCACUUGGCACCGCCCGAUCCGCUCCGUAGCCCCGUGGGACAAGACCAAGAUCGAGACCAUUUAGUGACACACUGGGACCCGUUCAGUGAACUAGAGAGACCCAGAAUCAAACAAGAGAACAGUUUGCCGGACACUGGGAUGACGGGAGUAUCCCGACAGGUCCGACGGCCGACCCGAGUAUCGGCACUUUCAGGAAACUUUCAUUAAUUUGCAUUACUUCUUAAAUAGUACCAGUACAACAGUUCACGUGCCACAGGGCUACAGUCUGCUCGACCAAAAUACAUUAUACCAUGGUCAGAGUUUCCCCUGGGGACACUUAAGGUAAGGUCUUUCGGAGCCGGACCUGUGCCGCGGACCCCGACGGUAAUGUAAAAGUAUAGUCCAAUACCCAACCGAGAGAACAGUAGCCCUCACACCCCGACCCAACCCCCAACGGAAAAUCUGUCUAACCUCCUAGGGUAGGUCCUAUACCCCCUGUGAAUCGACAAAAUCGGAUACCCCGCGUAAACCGACAAAACCUUUUGUCCCCAAGUAACUUAACGACGUACGUGUAAUAUGUAAGAUCUCGGUGACUCGACCCCUAGUUUCAGAAUACAAGAUCGUAACCAAAGAAUUGAUCGGGCACGGAGUCAAAGAGAGUAGACAUUUCACCCUUCUCGAACGACAGAUAUAUAGACCCCUGGUCCUGAGAUAAUCCACACCCCGUCACAGUAUAACCAACUUUUAAGAUUUAAAACACGAAAUGAAGAGACCGACGGAACCCCCGGAGGACCUUAAACUCCACUACUCAGUCCUCCCUUACUCUUCCAUUUGACAUAGCCAGGGUUUGACCCCGACACCGGUAAACGAAGAGAAAGAGUAACACCGGACUCACCUGCAAGGACCUCGAGACAUCCACUCGCCUAGGCAGUACCCUCCACAAACCUUGUCCUCCGAACACUACCCUUCUCCACCCCCUGUCUGGGACCCUUAACCGAGUCCCACGGACACCAGAGACGGACACACGUGGAUUGAGACCCAGUCCACUAGGGUCCCAGGGCCUACACUCCCAAGAAACACCACCUCUGACACGGACCGUCUCCCGACUCUCGUACCCUAAACCUCGGUCCGACUCGACUUCCCUCACAAAGAGGGUGAACCCGUCUAAUUAGGAGAUUAGGAAACAAAGGGACAGACAUUUUACCUUAAACAUGGGACACCUCACCGACACUCCUAAGUUACUCUCUUGUCAUAGACAGCGAUUGCAGCCCAGACGACCCAAAGUUGGAACUCGUAGUAAAGUGUCAGACGUGAGACGGGUCACUCGACGUGUGUCAUCCUGGUGUCCCUCCGAUACUGUUAAUGGACCGGUAGAAUCCGAGUCGGAGUCCACCCAGGUGCCCACCAAACCCACUGGAAACUCCGAGUCACGAGUCGGUCUCCCACCCCGGUCCGACUCGUACUGGUCACAGGGGAAUCAGGGAUGACACCAACCUAGGUUCCAAAGGGUGGAUGUGUUGAGUGAGCCUGUCCUGGAGGCCCCUGGGCCUGGGUGCAGCGGGCAGGGAAAGCUGGGGGAAGAGGCAGUGACCUAAGGAGGCAAGGGCAGGGUGCUGUGGGGCGGGGGGCACCGGAGGGGCGAGGGGCACUUAUGGAAGAUGAGGUGUAUGAAACUCCAUCGGCCUCUCCCAUUUCACUGCGCUGUGCCAAAACAUCCCGGUUCUUGUUUCACUAUCUGAGAUCUGGGGGCAGGUUAAUUUCCAUGACGAACUCCCGGCCACGUGCUUGGAGGAUUUAUCUAAUUAAAUUGAUGCUUUUUGCUAAGAAAGAAAAGAGAGAGGGAAGGAAGGAGGAAAAGAAGGAAGGAAGGCGGGAAGGAAGGGAGGGGAGGGAGGCAGGCCAGCGUGCUGGGGACGGGCGGGGCCUUGCUGGUGGGCCGAGCCUUGGCUUCCAACUCUCACUGUAUUUUCAAAAUUUCUCUUGGGCCAGGAGGGACGAACUGGUGGGUUUGGGGUCUGUAGCGGCCCAUCCAGUAGCCACUAAUCCACCUGGCAAUUUAACUUGAAUUAAAAAAUAGGUUCGGCUGUUCCCCGGCCGUGUGUGGCUCCUGGUGCCACUGUAUUGGGCACACGGGGACAGAACAUUGCCAGCACUGCAGCCAGUUCUCUUGGUGGGUGAGCCAGGUGGGUGAGCCCCCAGGGACCAUGAUGGACAUGGAGUGAGGGGCUGGGCUACAGGGACAUCCACAGAUGUCCCUGGGGGCACCAUACCUGGAGCCAAGGCCUCUGUGGGGUGGGACCACCUUGUCUUUCAGUCCCUACUCAGGUUUCCUCUCUUGGGACAGGGCCACACGACAUGGCCAGUCUGGAGUUAGAUGGGGCUUUAGACAUUUCUCCCACUUAGGGCCUUGGUGACCUUGGGCAAGGGUCUUAUCUCUCUGAGCCUGUGGAUUGGGCUGAUAGGAGGCAGAGCCUGCCCCCUGGGGUUCCUGGGGUCACUAACUGAGCUCACAUAGUAAGCGCUUAGUAGACUUGGACCACCAUCCCGCCAUCAGGACCACAGUCGUCACAAUUGUUGAUAUUAUUUUCAUAAAGAUUAUGGAAGAGCUUCUGUGACUGCCCAGGUGUGAGGGAUACUCCCCUCCCCCUGGCCACCACCAAAUGUUGAUUUUCUUCAUUAUCAACGGUUUCCAGGAUGAGUUUAAAUGAACCCCCCACACCCCUCCUUCCUGGGAACCUAUUUUGGAUUUCUUCUCCCCAUCCCUCCUUUUCGGGGCAGGAGGAGGACUUGGAGCUGCCGGAAAAUUAAAAAGUGCUGCUUCUGGAGAGUUAGAUCCCCUGUCACUCCCAAAACACACACACACACACACACACACACACACACACGCUGCCUCGCGCGUGCACACACACCCGGCUCCACUGGCCAAGCCACGUUAAAAAAAAAAAUCCAAAGUAUUAACAUAGGGGAGUACAGAUGUGGCCCUGGCAGGCUGGCCAGGGCGCUUUGAGUGGGGGUGGGGGUCACUGGCCCCAGAGGGACGUGUGUGUUGUUCCCGGACAUUGCCCAGUGCCCUGUGUGCUAAUGCGGAGCUCCCCUGCAUUGUGCAGACGCCUUCCCCCGUGAAAAGGUAAUGGAGUCAGUGAGUUCCGAAUGGAUUGAAGCUGACAGUAAAUGAGAAUUUGGCAGUGGGUAGAAAACACGCUCCCCCAGCUCCACUCCCCACCAGAGCCAGGCUCGCCCGGCCCUCCCCGGACUCCCAGCGCCCGUUUUGGUUUUUAGAAAAGAAUUACGGUUUCUUUUUUGUAUGCAUCAACAUUAGCAGCUGGGGUGAUGUCCCGACCUGUCCCCCUCCCCUGGAUGGCCGAGCCCCCUCCCCCAGGUUGCCACCUCCCAGCCCCUUGCCGCCUCGGUGGCUCCGCCAGCGAUCCCGAACGAGUUAAGGGCUGAAUCAACUCCAGACCCAGCUGCACAUUUCACUCUGGGCUCCUGAAUGGAGCGAUGUGCUGUGCUCAGCAGGAUUGGAGACGGUCUGCCCCGGUGACCCAGGGCCCCCACCCUCCUGGGCUCCACGGGCUUUCAGGGGACCUGCUGCCCGAUCCAGGACCUCCUGCCUGGCUAAUUGGGGAGCUGGUAGCCCAUGUUGUGGGGUCCUUGUCUAGUGCCCUCCCUGUGUCCAGCCUCCAUUAGAGACUUUUUUUUUUGUACUGGGGAAUGGACACAGGGUGCUCUACCACUGAGCUACACCCCAGCCUUUUUUUCUUUUUUCCCUCCCUCCCUCCCUUCCUCUCUUCCUUCCUUCCUUUCUUCCUUCCUUCCUUAUAGACAAGGUCUCACUAAGUUGCUGAGGCUGAUCUCAAACUUGCAAUCCUCCUGCCUCAGCCUCCUGAGUCACAGGGAUCACAGGUGGGUGCCACCAUGUCCAGUUCCUUGGAGACCUAUUUUGAUUUUGAAAGAAAAGGUGCACCAUUCUGAGCUGGCAUCGUCCCUGGCUUGCAAAGAAGGCUGGCAAUUUUGAGGGCUUGAAGAUGCCAGGGGCCCUGCCCCUCCCCCCACAGUUCUUCUUUCGCCACGUCCACACCCAUGGAUAACUCCUGUCACGCACUUGCCAAGACCCCCGCAUAUGUAGGCCUCCCCAUUUAAACACUCCCAAGAACCCCCCGGAGGGAGACACUGUCACCCUUGUCCUUCAGUGUCCCCAGCCAUACCCCGUAUUUAUACAGUGGCAUCUCUGCAGCUUGACCAUCGUGUCCUGGUGGGGCAGGGGUGGGCUCUUUCCUAUUCUUGGGGGCCAAGAGGCAAGAAGCUCUCAUUUCGGCAGAAUCAUAUAGCCUGCUCCUUGGGGGUGCAUGUGUCUGUCGUGGCUGGCAAUGCCGCCUUAGGGGCCCCUUUCUGUAAAGGCCUAGUGGUGUCUGCUUGUGUAGGAGCCUGGCCGGGAGAACAGUGGUUAAGUCCAUAGUUUCAAAUCCCCAGCCCUUCAGUUCUUAGGAGUAUGACUUUGGAUAUAGCACGGACUUUUGUGAGCCUCAGUUUCCUUGUUUGUCAAAGAGGACGGAUAAUAGUGCCUGUCGUGUGGGGUGGUUGUGAGGAUUCAGUGAGGUAAAGCUGGCAGGGGCCUUGGCACGGGCCUGGCAUGUGGUAACAAGGGGUGACUCUCGUUGUUGCUAUCACUGCCCGGAUUCCAUCCUCCCCAUCUGUUACCAGGGAAGUGGCAAGGUGGAAGGCUCAGGCCUAUCCCUGUGCUUGGGCUCCAGGACCCCCAAAGCCAAGCUAGAGUCCCAGUCCAUCGCUGUGGCCACCAACUGUCUGCCAAAGCACACUUGCCAAUCCAGCAAGGCACUGCCCCUCCAGGCCAGAUCUCUGCAGGAAGCAGGGGAAGGGCUUGUGAUACCCAGGCCUGGGUGGGCACCUUGGACACUCAGUGGCAGCCCCUGGACUGGCUCUGACUGCCUGGCCCAGGGCGAGAGCCACUCCUGGACAGUGCCGCCAUCUUGGUUCUCCUUGGCCUCUCCUCUGAGGACGGGAGCACGGCCCUUGCCCUCCCCCAUCAGCAGGUGGCCUUUGCAGCCCGGCACCUGUUCCUGGAGGGCGGCUGCCAGGAAGGCGCAAACCCAGGAAUCACCCGCCUGGCGUGGCCUCCGAGUGUUUGCACGAGGUUCGAGUGCCGCCCGGGGGGCUGGCCUGGGCCUGGCCUGGCAGAGGAGGGGCUUGUUCUCUUGCCCCUGAGCCCCCUCCUCGCCUUCCAGGUGCGUCACAGGGUCUGUGCUCUGGGCUUGGCUGGGGGGAGGAGAGGCAAAGGUGAGUCGAGGGUGCGGGUGAAGGGUCUUGCUUUUGUCCCCAAGGGGCAGCAAGCAAGCUGAGGCCCUUGUACAUAGUCAUUUUAUUAAAAGAAGGAAACAGACAGGUCCCAAGUGCUGACUGGGAGUGUGUCGAGUCCUGUGUUGUGACCGGAGGGCAGAACACAGGCAGGAAGUGCUUCUGCCGCCUGGGACCUGGCAGGAAUAAGCCCCGAGAGGGGCAGUCGCUGGCCUGCUCAUCCAGGCUCAGGGCACGAGGGCCAGGUUUGAAUGGUUGAUCUGACUCGAGCCCGAGACGCGUGCUUUCCUCAUGCCCUCGGAAUCGUGGGAUCAUAUUUUCAGCAUUUUUUUGAAAACUGAUAAAGGGAAAAAUAUUCACCUGUAACGUCACUCUCGAGAUACAACCUUGUUUAGUAUUUAAUGUAUUUCCUUCUAGUCCCCCCGCCCCCCCGCCUGGGGACUGGGUAUAUUUAUAUAACAUGUAUUUUACAUAAAUUAUGAUCGCAGGAGAGUGCAGUUGGGUUGAGACCCUGGAUGAGGUGGGAGGGUCUCUGAGCCGAGGCCGCCCGGCAGUGAUGGAUUCUCAGCGCAGUGGAAACCUGGGCUUGGCCCUGAGCCAUCCCGUGGGUCACCGGCGCCUGAGGUGUGUUGGAGAAGCCCUGGGUGAACGGACAGGCAGGCAAGACCCCCCGUGCGCUCUGUGGGGCUGGCCCGGCUCAGUUCAGUGGUAGAGUUUUCCUUCUAACUUGCUUCCUUCUUGCUUUUGACAAAUGGGAAUAUUUGUACCAUUUCCCCGAAUGACCUCCUCUCCUUGGGGUAAUGAGAAAAUGAAAGUCUUCGCUAAGUGCUUUGAGAUAUUCAGAUAUAAAAAUGGAGAGAGCGGGCGAUGUCAGGGGCCUUUGGCUGCCAGGGUGCUUUACAGAGAGGAAGCGCAGUUGUUGGGAGUGAAGGUCACCAGGAGGCUGAGGGCCUUGCUGGAACCUCGUCCCUCUGGGCUGGAGGGCAGCCGAGUUCGGGCCGGCUGGGCAUGGGCGAGGUUGGGGUGGAGCCCCUGCCCUCCUCCAGGCCCAUGCACCCAGGCGAGGCCCCUUUGGCCAAGGUGAUCUCGAUGCCCGGGCAGAGCCCGCCCUGGGCCUGGGUCUUGUGGCUAAAUGAUCCCAUUCAAGGACAGACUCCUCCUCUCUCUCCCUAGUGUCAGCCCAGGAGUAGCACAGUGGAAUAAAUACUGUCACCUAUACAAAUAGUCAUCCCGAAGAUGAUUUCGAAACAUGGAAAAAUGUUUAUCAUACGGAUGAAAAUGCUCCCCGAGUGCGGAGCGGGGCGAAGGCGCCUUUAGGAGCUGGAUCUAAGCACCAGUGCUCCUUCCCGGGCAGAGCCCAGAGGUGCUCCUCCAAAAUGGAAAUUACAGCGUGAGGGCGCCGGGACCAGGGCGAUUUGUUUUUUUAUUUCACAACAUUUUAUUUAAAUUCCCACAAAGCCAACGAGGCGGCCCAGCGGGAGGCUGGCAGGGUGGGGGCGGGGCACGGGAGAGGGCGCUGCACCCACGGCCCCCGCAGGGCGCUGAGCUCACCGGCUCUGCCAGCCGCAGAGACCUAUGAGAUCCCGAGAAGCCGAGGCGUAUCGGUGACUCAGAACUCGGUGUUGUGCUGUUCAACAAUAGCUUUUGUCCUUUGCCCAAAACCCUAGGCCAGUGUGUGAAAAAAAAAAUUAUAAAAUUAUGAGAUAGUUUGUACUUUCCUUACCAGCCGGUGCCAGCUUUGGGCGCUUUAUUUAUUCAAGGUGGGGAGGCAGGGAAGGCGGGGUGGGGGGGAGAUAGAAAGGAAAAGAAAAACAAGGGAGAACUCGGACAAGGCCCAAGAGAGGUUUGAGCCUCAACAACAAACUUUCUUUUGUUUGAUGGGUGGGGAGGGAAAAAAUAAGGAGAAAACAUGCAGAAGGCCGGUUCGAACCAAGCGCAGCUCUGUGUGGGGUUGCCCCAGCCUCCUCCCCCAGGGCUUUGCUUUUAUUGGUGCAACUGGAAAGCUGUUUUGGAGGGGCUCAUCUAGUGAAGGGGGCGAUGAGGAGGGACGUAGGCAGAAAGGGCUGGAGCCAGUGGCCACGAUGGGAGCCAGGAGGCAGGGUUGGUGUCUCUGUUCAGACCGAUAAUGCCCAACUGCCAACAGCCUUUGCCCUUACUUCCGGUGGGGUUUAAAGAGGAUCCAUACCUCCUGGAGUCCCAGAUGCCACGCUCUGCCAGUGGGACUCAGAAUUCCCAGGGGCUCAGGGUGAGGAGGGGUUUGCAUCUGACCGGACUAGUGUUUCCCUCUGGUGUCCACUGGAACACGUUUCGGGACUGAGAUUCAGGAAGGCCUUGGUGGGGCUGGGAGUGGGUGUGUGUGACAAAGUGUGUGUAAAUGAGUGUGUGGGUGGUCGUACCUGAGCUCGUGUGAGGGAUUGUGUGCCCCUUGAGACUGGCUUUUCUCCCUGGUUAUGACAGCCAGAUGGGUACAAUUUGGGAGGAGCCUCAAAUCUAAUUAUUUCACGUGUCACCCUGUCCCCUGCCCCAAACUGAGUGUUCCUAUGAGGUGGCCUGGGCCUGAGCCGAUGGGCCAUGCUUCCUACCACAUUGGCUCAGAUGAUUCUGUGGGUCUUCCAUAGUGGUUGGACCAGGAAGAGAAAGGUUUGUGGGUUCAAGGACAAGCCCCUGGGGCUGGGGUGUGCUCCCCUGGACUCAGAUGCUCACACUGUGGCCCCGAUAAGGAUCCCAACCCCCUGGCUCAGGAAUGGUUCCCUCAUGAUCUUUUAGUCACUGUGACCUUCCCUCAAAGAGGACAGCUACAGAUUACAGACCUUGGUGUACAGACAAACUGAGGCCAGGAGAGGGGAGGCUACCGAGCCAACGUCCCCCAGCUAGUCUGUGACACAUUUGGAAGCAGGACCAAGCCUGUGGGCUCCUUGGAAACAUGCUCCUCUCCCCCAUGGCUCUAGUGAGGCCAGCCGGGUCCCAGCGCAGAGCUGUGCUUCCUCUACUUUCUCUUUUUGCUACUGAGGUUGAACCCAGGGGUGCUCAAACACUGACCCACAUCCCCAGCUCUUUUUAUUUUAUUUUGAGAUAGGGUCUCACUAAGUUGCUGAGACUGGCCUCCAACUUGUGAUCCUCCUGCCUCAGCCUCCCAGGUCACCGAUUACAGGUGUGCCACGGUGCCAGGCUUUUCCACUCUUAGGGUAGGCAAACAAACCCUCUUGGGGGAUCAGAUUUUGUGACUAUGGCUCAGGGUGACUGAUCCUCUGCUUUCUAUUGAGGAAAGAGCCCUGAACAGAGAGAUAGACAAGAGGUUUCCAGCCCCACCUCUGCCACUGACAAGCAGCCAUGUCCCAAGACCUGGGCUUUGUCUACUUGGAGCUGGAGGGCUGGACCCGGAGGUUCCUCAUCUCUUCCCACUUCAGGACGCCUGGAGCUUUCUGCCACCAUCCAGAGUCCCCAGCUGUGCCAUGCAGCAAACCCUCUCCCACAACCUGUCAAACCAGAGAUGCCAGUUCCCCAGGGCUCCCAGGAGCUCCCGCCCCUCUCUAGUACCAGGCAGAACCUCUGCAGGAAGGUCCCGGCCUGUGCCCUGUGCACCUGCUUAUUGAUAACUGUGUGUCUGAAUGUGCCUCGGGUCAGAGCCCUUUGGUUUGAACUUGCCUUGUACCGAGAGGCCGGGACGUGAGAAAAUUACGAGCAGGGGAGAGGAGUGGUACCCUAUGACAGGAGGCAGCUGUGGAGAAGGAGCAGGCUCCAUGCCCAGGGUGAGCGCCAUCUGGGUGGGAGGCCUGGCUUCCAGCUGUGGGGGCUCCGGAAGGGCAGAGGCUGGGAGGAAUGAUUUUGAAGCCACUACUAUGGAGAUUAAGGGGAUGAGAAUGUAAAUCUCAAGUAAAAAGGUAAUUGAAUGUAAUAGCAAACACUGCUCGCUCUAUGUUAAUUUUAGCUCUUCCCCUGGAUACAAGACGCUGUAUUAGUGUUUUAUUACCAUUUUGUUUGCACUAAUAAAAUAGUAAAAUUUAUUUCAAGGAAGUUGAAGGAUGGUUUUACAAUGCAAAUUUGAAGAAAUUGGACUUUUCAUUUAUGCCUCUGCUAUUUUAAACCCUGACGGGUGUAAAUUAGCUACAGGGACUGAGGAGACCCCACUGAUGGGGACUUGGGAGGCGGGAACCCUGGCAGGGGUUGCAGACUGGCUCAGGGCAAAAUGUAGAGAGGGCUCCACAGAGAGGCUGAGGCCACUCAGGGGCCUGGCUGGGUGGGACUGUGCAGUGGGUGAGGGUGUCAGGCGUGAGUGACUGGCCGUGGGUGGGAACGUCACACAUGGAGCCACUGGGGAGACACUCAGGCCUCGGGGUUUCAUCUUUCUCCUCGGCCCUUUGGUCUCCUUCUUGUCCUGACAUUGGGCCUUGAUUAACCUGGUGAACCCCCAAGGGAAAUGAGCAACCUCUCUCCUUUGUGUCCACCAGGGGCAAGUGGGCCACUUGUCCAGGACACACCCAUCUGUCAAAAGGGGCUGCAGAUUGAGGAGAAGCCAUCAGAGUCUGGAGGAAGGACCCUGAGCCUAAAAGGAACCAGGGGAAAGACCCAGGCUAGGGCUCUUUCUGAGGAAGCCAGCAUCCCUUCAAAAAUGGAGCCGAAAGAAUGGCCGGUCCCCAGCCCAAUGGUGUCCAUGAACCGAAAGGCCAGAUGACAGAAUUAAAAAAGAAAAACCAAGUGGUCUGAAUCAGGGAAGCAGACAGCGAAGGAUGUGGGUGGAGAAGGAAGGAAAGGGGUGAUGGCAGAGGUUCCUUUUGAGUUUGGGGUAAAGAAUUCAGGUUGGAUCUUGUUUUAUCCAAACCGGUUUGUUUAUCUCUAAAAAAUUAUCGGCAGCAAUGGCCCAAAGGGAUGCAUUGAGGGGACCCGCUUCCAAAGAGUAGGGAGCCCAACAAGUGUUCUAAUGUCUGGCGGAGUCGGCAGCUUGUAUCGCCCAGGGUUUGCUGGCUGCCUGCCCGGGUUGGGGGGAACAGUGAGCCCGGGGUGCUGGUUCCUAGCUCCAACCCCAGGUCUUGUGGGGCUUCUGUAGUGUGUUCUGUCUCCCUUGGUAGGGUGUGUUUUGUGUGUGUUUAAGGAGACGAUUCAGACUGUCCAUACUGGCCAGGCUGCACAAACCCUGUGGAUGCCCUUGGUGGCAGAGUGAGAGCUUGGGUGUUAGGACUUGGCUGGUGGCUUGCAGGGAACUUGGUCCUGGGGCAGAGGAGGUGGGCACAGACUCCCAGCCUCUUUCCGUGGCUCCUCUAGGCCUAGGGAGCCACAUCUGGAGCAGUGGGGGCCUGCGUUGACUCGGGUCAGAGGUCACCCCUGAGGGUCAGGCCUGUCUGUGGCAGCAGGCCCAGCACUCCAUGUGGUUCGUGGAAGAGAGAGGAAAAUUCUCCAGCCAGGCUUCUUUGGGGUCCUUUUGGAACAAGGGGCUGGGGAUGGGAUUCCUUGGGGUCAUGAGGUUAGGUGUGCAGGAGUCAAGGUCAGGAAACAGGCCUUGAACCUCCUCUCUUCCACUUCUGAGCACCCAGGAGGCCCUCGUGGCUCUGGGCUGGUAGCUGAGGGGCAGAGAGGGAGGCGGCCAAGGCGAGGGCAGGCUCCAGAGUGUUGCUGAAAGGAGGGAGAGAGGAGGACAUUUAAAUGAGGAAGGCCCGUCAUUUAGCACUGGGCAUGCUUUCCAGUUCUCCAAGAGGGGGAGAUGCACUGCUGUGUGCCCAGGGAUUUAGAGAGGCAUCGGGCAGGGGGUUCCACUCCAAGUGCCUUUCAGCCCACAACUGUAAUUACCCAAGGAGCAGACGGAAAUGGGAAAAGAGGAUUAGCGGGCGCCCUGCUGGGCCUGGUGGUGCAGGUGGCACCCGGAGUGCCCAGCCUGGCACAGCACCUGCCAGCUUUUAGCUCAACUUUGAGGCUGGGGUCAGAGCCACGGUGGUCUACCAUGGGCAGUGGACCCCUGGGCACCUCUUUCCUUGGCUGUCCUGCCUGGCCACAGCACACCCUGGAAGCAGGACCCGUCUCUGCUGCCUUGUCCUGGGUGGUCUGGGGGGGGCCUGUCAUCUGGUGCCCAGCACUUCCCCAGUGGCCCCUUCAGUUGGAAGAAAGUGAGGCCAGAACCCUGUGGUCUUUUGCGCUCCGUUUCGCUCAGCCCCCCGGGGGGUGCCGGCAUCCCUGGGUGCUCUGAACCCCCAGCUCACCUUCCGUCUCCUGCCUGGCUUCCCUGCACCUGUCAGCUGUCUCACUGACUGUCUGGCUUGGCUGCCACCCAUCCUCUCCUCCCAGGCCAGCCCCGCCCCCACCCCUCCCCCAGCCCCAUUCCCUCCCUUCCUGUCUCUGCCCACGGCUGUCUCUACCUGCCCGGUCGCCGGCACACCUGAGGAUCCGAAGCUGCCUAUCGGAGUGCGGGCACGGUUCAGGGUGUUUACCAGACAGCCAGGAUAAGGUAUUAAAUCCUGUUGCUGUCUUCCCAGGGCCGGGUUCCUCAGAUGGUUUUCCAAAUUCCUAAUCUCAGUGCCCGCAUCCCUGUGUUUGAUGGGAGCGUUCCCUUCCCAUUGAAGCUGAACCCGGCAGGAACUGUCAUGGGGCUGGGGCUGGGUUCCCACCGGGGCACGAUGACAUGGGUGUCCAGCCCCUUCCUCUCUUUGGUUCUUCCUUCCUUCCUUUCUUUGGGAAUCUUAGCAAGACAGGGCCAGGAUUCUGCCAUCCAGUAUUCUAGAGCCUCCUUGAGCCCCCCAUGCCCUCACCAGUAUGGGUCUGAGGCCACCUUCUAAAAUUGGGGGUGCAUGUUGAAGAUUGGGCUUACUAUCAGAGGCCAGGGGAAUCCAGUUUGAGGAGGGUCUGGAAGGGAGUAUGCAGGCCGACAGCCCUGCCUGGGUUCUAGAAUCGUCCUUUGCAUUCUUCAUACCCAAAGAUCCAGAGGGAGCCUCUGGGGUGACGGGAGGGCUCAGGUGAGCCCUGUGCAGGGGAGCCUCCUCCACUCUUUUUCUUUUCUUAUUUUGCCUUGCUAAGGUUGAAACCCGGGCCUCACACAUGCUCAACAAGUGCUCUACUAACAGCCACGUCCCCAACCCCUUUUAUAUUUUAUUUUGAAACCAGGUCUUGCUAAAUGGCCCUGGCUGUCCUUGAAUGUGCGAUCCUCCUGCCUCAGCCUCCCAAGCUGCUGGGACUAUAGGAGUGUGCCAGGCCCCUGGGCCCAGUGAUCGCCAUUCUUGAUGUGGAGCAGAGGUAGCUCCCACGAUCUUCCUUUCUGUAGGACACCCCGGGACUUGUCUGCCCACCUAGGAUGGCAGGACUGUCCAGAGGGCAGGGAGGCUCUGCCAUAUCCUUAAUCCCCUCUCCUAGGAACCAGGCUGUGAGAGGCCCGUAAGCUCAUUCCCCCGUGCUGGGGAGUUUCUGGGAGGGAAGGAGCAGGACUUUGCAAGGCAGGGACCUGACCAAUGGUGGGGGGGCUGCCUGGUUCCAGUAGGUUUGUCCCUUCUCCCAGCUACCACGUGACCUGGACUUCUAGUCCCCUUGUCUCUCUCCCUGGCGGUAGACCGCCUCUUCUUUCUCUGCCCACUGCUCCCUUCUCCCUCCAGGCAACCAGAGGGCUCUUGGCUUCACAGCAGAGCCUCCCUCUUUCCAGGUCUCCUCACCUGUUCUUGCUGGGUUCCAGGUGGCACAUGGCCCCACCCUCCCAGGUGGCCUCUGCAGCCAACACUGUUCUGGGCCUUUCCGUCCCUUUCUGAGACUGCACUACAGGCGCUCUGGAGGGCUCGGCCGUGGGGAAGGGGUGCAGGGUGCUGUGGCAUCACCCUCUCCAUCGAGGCUGCGGGCUGGGGCUCCCGUGGGCGUUUUGGGCACUGUGGUUUCUAAUUUUAUUUGGGGUCUGGCUCUUCUUUUUCUAAUAUGUGCUGAUCAAAAAAAUGAUCAAAAAGUAGGAUAAAAAGGGGCUAGGAAAAAAUCUUGAGAGUGAUAGUUGGGCUGGUGAGGACGGGGAGGAGGGGGACGAAGACAGGGAGGAGGAGGAGGAGGAAGGAGGUGAAAUGAAUUCAUUAGAAAAACUUGUUUACUGGCUUUGCUUAGGCGCCUCCAUUUUAAAAGUCUACGUUUACAAUAAGUCGCUAAUUAAAAUACGAAAUUAAGCAACAGCUAUGUUUUUUUUUCCCUUACACUUUAAUUGCAUGAUUUUUUGUGAUGUAAUUUCUGGAAACACCCAGUGUACCUCACAGGGCUGAUUGUUUGAUAAACUAGAAGCACCUGAAACCAACCCAAAAAAUAAAUAUAUAAAUAUCCAAGGGGAACUUAAGGUAGAUUGGAAGUGACAGAGAACUGCAGACAGCAGGGAACCAACAAUCCAGGAUGAUGAUAACCAAAAAACUUCCAAGUAAGGACAUUAUCCUCCUGCCCGCACCCCCCACGGCACCACCGAAGCCAGAACACUCUGCGUGUCUCGGGGAGGGGAAGCUGAAACAAGCCAGAUCAGGGGGCAGUCGCGCCCUGGCCCCUGCCCCAAAUUGGUGCUAUGGAAAACACCAAGACAGAGUUGUAUGUCUUUCUGACUUCAUUUCUAGCUGGGCUCAGAACUGGGACCUUUGAAGGGGAACUUCUUUGUCCCUGUUGCUCUCGGCCCAGGGGCCAGUCCCAGAGGGGAAGGAUUGGGGGACCAUGACUGUCCCUCCUGGACACAACAAGAGCCCCCAUGCUCAUGCCACAGCUGGGAGGUGGCCCAGGCCUGGUGGCUGCUGGCCCUGUGUUCCUGACGGCCGUGGAAGCACAGGCUCUUCCAGAAGGUGGUGGAGAGGGUGGUCCAGGGCAGGGGAGAUGUGUGCUGACGCUGGCAGACAAACCGUGGCCUGCUACCUUUAAGAUGUAGACCCAGGCGAGAUUGCAAAACUGCCGAGAAACCUGUCAGGAACUGACUCAGGGUGGGGCGGGGAGGAAGCUGGAUCCCGUGGCAGCCUGGCUGCUGGGGACACUUCGGCCCGGCAUCGGUGGGGACUCUAGGCCUCCUGGGCAUGGGGCACAGGGCAGCAGGAGCUUGUGGGACAGAGGGGACCGCAAUGCUGGCUCCUUCUUCCAUGUACCAGCCAGGGUCCCAGUUGGCCAGGGCCCCAGGAACCUCCUGACGUGCUCUGCUCUUGGGGAAAAAGGAAAGGCCCCCUUUCAGAGUCUCUAAAAAUUACAUUUUCUCCUUAAUUGUAAUUUAUGCUUGUGGCUAAUUGGAAAAUACAAAAAAAAAAGUAUAAAAAAUAAUUAAAAAGUGGGUAAUGUAGUGAUUGAAAGUAUGAGUCAGGGAGAUGGAAAGAUUUGGUUGUAAGCCCCAGAUCUGCCACCCAGCAGUGUGACUCUCGGCAAAUUACUUAGCAAUUCUGAGCCUCAGUCUCCUCAUCUAUAAGUUGGGAGUGAUGAUAAUACACACCUCGUCAGCUGCUGAGGAUUGUGGGAUCACCCACAUAAAAUAUUUAACACGGGCACACGGCACACUUAAAUAUCAGCUAUUUCUGUUACAAUAGUUAAUAAUGGUUAUCCCCACUGCCUUGGGAUAAGAGGCUUUUUAAUUUUUCAUUAAGAAAAAAAUUUUUACAUGGAUGAGAUUAUUUAUCUCAACCUGUGAUGUCCAGUACAGUUAGCCUCUGGCCACAUGUGGCUAUUUAAACUUAAAUUAAUUAAAAUUAAAUAAAAUUAAAAAUUCUGUGCCUGUCACAUUCACCACAUUCCAAGCGCUCAGUAGCCACAUGUGGCCAGUGGCUGCUGAUCUCAACAGCACCAGAAAUUCUACUGGGCAGCUCUCUGAACGACAUAACCAUCUGAGGUUUUCCACUGGACCAUUUCCUCCUUUUUAAAAAAUGCCUCUUUUUAAAAAUUUGUUGUUAUUAUUUUUUGCGGAGCUGGGGAUCAGGGCAAGGGCUCUACUGCUGAGCUUCUUCCCCUUCUUUUAAAGCAUCUCUUAAUAGCUGUGUCGUGGUCCACGAUGUGGCCCCAUCCACUCUUCCUGGUCUGGUCUUUGAACAUCCUCUGGGCUCUGAUUGGCUGUGCUGGGUCCUCCCUUCCUCACUUUAUUGUGCUGCUCUCUGAUUGGUGCUAGGCACUGAGGGAUUCUGGGAAAAGCAGACCUCUCCUGCUGAUUGGCUCCCAGCAGAGAUGCCAGGGCAAGGGUGGGGCACUCUUCUCCCCUGCCUGGGAGGGCUGGAGGGGCUGCUCCCCUUGGCACCCCAUGCCUCCCCUAGACCUUGUCACCUCACAGGGCCGGAGACCAGGGAGAGGAGGGACUUGCUUGAGGUAGUAAAAAUGAGCCAUAAUUACCCACCGUCUACUUUCCAGAGGGUCCAAGCCAUACCCAGAGCCCCCAGAGUACCCCCAGGAGAAAGGCAGCCUUUCUUGAUGGGGGAUGCCACCAUGGGGGGCUGCUGGCCUGGUUCCCCAAGGCCUGUGCAGUCCUCCCGAACCUAGAAGGAUCUUCAGCCUUCCAGAAGCACCUUGACUGAAGAUGGUUGUGAAUUCCAGGGUGGGAGUGUCGGGAGAUCCCAGGUUGGAGAGCCACCCUAGGAAGAUCGUGCAGUGGCUGCGACCAUCCUGUAGCUGGGUUGGCCGAAUGAGCAUUGGGGUGAUGCUGGGGUCAUGGUCCUCCCAGUGUGGCCAAGGGCAGAGCACUGGGUGGAGGGCUUUGGGCAGGGUCGGCAGGGGAAGUAAUCCCCGGGGCAGUGGGCAAGACAGAUAGGGAGAGCCGAAACCGGACCUGCUGAUGUGGCCCUUUCUGCUCGCAGCGGAUCAUAAAAUAUGGCUCAGAUUUUCAUUACGGGCUCUAUCGAUUAUCUUCUGGGACGGAUGAAUUAUAGAGAACAUUAAAUUUUUUUUAAAAAGCAAGUGAGAGAGGAAAUAUCUGAAUGAGUUUGGGUGGUCGAUGGCAGAAAGGGCUGAGCCACCAAACCUGGUCUUGGAACAGUGAGGACAGAACCUCCCAGGGCCAGCAGCCUCUGGCUGUGGCUCUGGGCCUCCAGGCCUCCCUGUCUGGCUCUGCAAUUGGGGAGGCCUGUGCUCCCCUAUACUCUCCUUACUGUGCUCUGGCCCCUCCAGGGACCUGCCUGGCUCUGGGAAGGUGGAAAAUCGGGCUGUUUACAAGGUUCUGACCUAAACCUUUCCCAGGCUUUGAGGCUCCAUUUCUGGGAGCUGGGCCCCCAAAUCCUACUGUUUUCCCUCCAAGGACAACCUAAUCUGGAGGUGCUGCCUGGGCGGAGGGAAGGUUCGGAAGGCAGCAUUGGUCUCCAAGGGUCAGGACCUGGGUAGGAACGCCUGAGCCCCUUAGCCACCUCAUCCUUUCCCAGCUCCUUGUUUCUCCCAUCUGCAGUCACGUCACGGAGGAUUUCUAGUUUCCUUCGUCACCUUGGGAAGAGCAAGUUGGGGUUCACCGCUGUGCACCCAGUUGGAAAGAGCCCCCCAAAAGCCCACCCUCCUGCCUCGCUCUAUACCCCUCUUACUUCUCCUCCCCUUGCCAGGCAGUGUGGCAAUUAGGUGUCAGAAGGUUCUGAGUUCAAAUCACUUCCCAGCGUGUGACCUUGGGUGGGACGUGUCCCUCUCUGAGUCUUUGUUUCUCAACUCUCCAGUUGAGAUAAUCAUCUACCUCAUUGAGUUCUUGUGAUGAUUAUAGGUACUGAUGUAUUAAAAUCCUGAGUACACAGUGCUUAAUAAACAUGAAUGGUUAUUAUUUUCCUCCUCUCUUAUGGCAGAAUCUAGAAACCUCCCCCUACUUCAUUUAGGCUUUUUGAUUUAUUGGGUUUAUCAAAUGCUUUAUGGCACGUACGAUGUGCUAGGUACUUUUCUCAGCAUGUUACACGUAAUAAAUCAUUUAAUCCUCACGACUGUACUCAGGAGGAGCGAUCACGUCUCCAUUUUGCUGAUGGGGAAACUGAGGUGCAGACAGGCUACAGGAACUCACCCAGGGUCACCCAGCUGAGGAGUGGCGGAACCCGGGUUCCUACCUGGAGCUUGUACCCUUCAUGCCCUGGGCGUGCCGAUCAGGGAUCUGGAGGGUGGCAGAUGUGCAUACAUGUGUGAGUGUGUGAGUGUGUGUGUUCCUGUGUGUUUGUGGGUGUGUAGGCGCAGGGGGGCACAUUCAGGCAGCGCCACCCUCCAGGUGGUCAGCUGCUCAGCAGUCCCAGCCUUUUCCAGGGCCCUGUUCUGGGUGGAGUGUGGCCCCCACCCUGCACCGUCCACCUCACCCGGGCUUCACCUAGGCUCUGUGAAGGUGGUGGUUUCCAUGGAUACCCGUGUCCCUCUGGCGACACGCCCUUUUUUGUCUAACUCUGCUCCCUGGAGUUGAUUGUUUUUGGCACCUGGCUCUGUAAACUCAUCCAACAAUUAAAAGUCGGGUGGGGGUGGAACAAAAUGGAGACAGAUAGUUACUGUGGGGCCAGUGACACUUAGGAAGGGCCCCUGGGCUGCGGGUCCCCUCCCUGUCCCCCGUGGGCAGCAUGACAGCACCCAGGGUGCGGAAAGGCCACGGCACCAGCUGGCUGGGAGUCACUCCUGCAGGGUUCUGGUGCCUUCCCUCGGCACCGUCUAUCUCCCCUUCUAAGGGGGCCCUUCCUGGAGUCAUGCAGCCAUCUCCAGAGGCCGCCGGAAGCCGUGAGGUGCCGGCCUGGGCCGAUGGGAACGCGGCCUGCCCUUGUUUUGGUGGAGCGUGUGUUUGCCGUGUGUAUCAUCGGGUGCCUCCUGCGCUGGGCGUACCCGUCGUAGGCUGUGUGAGAUCACAGUUGAAAAAUGCGGUGAAAAACAUUUUCAUGCCGCAACACAUCGUGUAGGAUUUUUGUAUUAAGAUGUGGAUUUUUUUAUUGUUUUUUUUUCCCUCCUUUUCCAUACGGCCCCGAAGUUGGGCAACGCACACGUCUGUGUUUUUGUUUUCACUCUGGGUGGUUUGUGAAAUCUGCUCAUUAGCGCCGUCCCUUCCCCACCCCAGCUGAUCUUCUGCUGUCUGUCCUCACGAAUGUAGAUCUUUCCCCGCCAUCUCCUGGUGUCUCCUCUCCUUUGAAGAGGUGGCGGGGGGGUGGGGUGGGGGGGGCUCCCUACCUGUGCACAUUCGCCAAGUGAAAGUCAAGGGCUCCUGUGGCCCUGCUCCUCAACCCAGGGUCUCUUAAGCAGGUGUUGGUGGUGGGAGGUCCCGAUGUGGGCAGGCAGCAGAGACUUCUGCCUCCCUCCGCCAAAACACCCUUCCACCUGCCCCCUUGUCUGUAGAGAUGAAAUGAAAGUUGUCCUACCCGAUAGAGCCUCCUUGGAGUGGCCCUCUCCUGAGUGGCUUCCUCGUCCCCAUCCCAUCAGAUGACAGGCAGCAAUGAGUAUGCCCACAGCUGAGACCCCAUUUCCCAGGCAGGCCCAGGGUUUGGCCUGCACACCAGGUGUGCGGCCCUGGGCCUGUCCGUCCCCAUGUUCAGCCCAGCCAGAGCGGCUGAGCACGGCCCUUGUCUUUGGCUGUGGUGUCCAACUGAGUGCAUUCUGGAGGCCCUGGGGGACUUGCUGGAAAGCUGUUCAAGGCUGUGGGAACUGAGAUUCAGGAAGGGAAGUGGCAUCAGGUGGAGUGGGUGCUAAGAUCAUGGGGAGAGGAGGAGGAGGAGCAGGUGAGUUUGGCCCGCAUUCUCCAAGCCCAGGCCUGGCUUCAGCUCCUGUGAGUGGUGUGACCUUUGCCCAGUUGCUCCGUAUCUCUGUACCUGCUAUCCCUGAUCUCUCCCUGGGGACCGUAAUUGCUCCUGCCUUCGUGUUGUAAAGACUGGGCAGGAUCAUGCGUGUAGAGCACUUGGCAUGGGGCUUGGCAUCUGGUUAGUUUAUAUUAGUUCUCACGCAGGCCAAUUGGCAGAGGGGAGAGCCACUCAUCCAGUGCUCUCUAUUCCCAGCAUGCUCCCGGGCACAUAGUAGGUGCUCAGUCAGUUCUUCUUGGAAUUGAUUGGAGGAGAAUCAAGUAGCCAAGUGGUCCCCUCAGACCUGAAAGUCAUGAAUUCACAGGGAUCAUGAGGGAGGCAGAGAAGUCAAAUCGCAGGUUGGGCCUAGGGAGCUCAACAGAAGGGAGAGUGGAAACUGCCCAUGAAACUUUCUGUUGGGAAGAGGGAGAAGCCACACUAGGCCCGUCUGAUUCCGACUUGAGAUCAGGGACUCGUUCAGUUCCACCAGCACUUAGGCCACCCACUGUGGGCCAGCUGUUCUGCUAAGUGCCGACACAAAGAUAAUUAAGACCUGGUCUCUGCCCUCGAGGAGUUAGGAACCCAAGGCGAGACAGACCCAUGAACAAAUUACUUCAGUCCAGCGUGGAUUCAAACGCAGGGACUACGGAUGUGCCAGGAGCAGAGUCGAGGGGCACGUGACCUCUCGAGCGCUAGAUUCCCUGAAGCGUGGAAGGAGAAGGUGGUGGCAGCGCCCCUCUCAGCCUUUGCCAGGUCUCCCCACAGCCUGGGGGACCUCCUCUCCUUCCUUCCUUCCUUCCUUCUCCUUCCAGGUGACUGGUGAGGAAACGGAGCCCUGGGAGAUUAGCCGGCUCGGCGAAAGGCCCACACUGGGUUAAGUGGCAGAACUGGGCCUCAGACCCACAUCUCUGAUCCUUGGCCCAGGGUUAUUUCUGUAACUGCAUCUGGCUUCUCGCCCCUUCCCCCCCCCCGGGGCUGCUGGUCGGAGAUCCGCACUCUGGGCUCUGCACCUACUGACCGGGAUUUGUGCUGCUGCCAUGGCCCCUGGGGCCUGUGUCGUGGGAGAACCCCGGUGCAUGAAAGGCCCCAAGGCCUGUGCCCUGGUUUGGUAAAUGGGUCAGGCCACUUGGUUUGGGGACAGUCCCAGAGUAAGGCCACACCCUGGCUGGGCUGGGGGAUGGCAGGAAUGGGGAAGACUGAGGAGGAGCAGGAAGAGGCCUGGCCACACCCUUUAUUUGAUUGAAGCUCCCUCUGCCCCUCAGGUUCCUCUGUUGGCAGGAAGAGGUCAGACUAGGCUCCCUAGGGUCUGGAGACCCCUCUUACCCUGUCACUAGACCCCCUUCAGAACCAGGCGUGAGACACUGGGAGUGCAGCUUGGGUGUGGGGUCAGACUCUGGUCCACCAGCUCCUUCCAGAAGUUGGGAGGUAGCGUGUUUCUCUUGACCUUUUCUCUAGGGAAAUACCGUGUCCCUUCUGCAAAGCUGGGAGCUGGGAGUGUCACCCCCCCAUGUCAGAAGCUGGCUUUGGGUGGAGUCUGAGGACCCUGAGGUGGAACCCCUGCAGGCAGGCAUUCUGGGGGCAGCAGCCGUCGGUGGUCCAAGGCACCCCCCACACCCAGAGCCGUGAAUCCGUGGGUGUGCUUCGGGGGCUUCCAGGGAUUCUGGACUAACUGGAGGAGGAGUGUCAGAGCCCAGAGGACUGAGUCUCCCAGUGGCCCUGAAGUUCCCAUUAAAGUGUUUUUUCCUCUUUUUUAAAGAAAAAAAAUAUUCCCAAACUGGAAAACAAAGGAAAUCCACUUCCCCCAAAUCACACGAAACUCACAUUAGGGGCCUGGCAGGACUCCAUGGAAACCAGGAAACCCGCCGUUAACCCUGUGUGGUGCUGAGGGUGGGGUGGGAGCCAGGCCAGUCCACCCUGGACUGCUGUCACCUUCCAUCUCUACACUGGCCCAGGGAGCUGGCCUGGGUGGCAUCGCCCCACCAGAGGGGAGGAGCUUGUGCCGAAGCCUGCAGAGCCCACUCCCUUCCACUCAGGCCCAGCCUUGGGUGGCAGGAGAGGAGCACUUAGCUCUCCAGGGAGGCCCCCUGGGGCCUCCGAGGCCCCGGGCCAAGUUGGAGAACCUGCCAGGCAACUGCCCACUCCAUGCCACUCACUGCAAACAGGGCCAGGCCCGCUCACACACUUGGGGAGCACACUGCCGUUGACCGUCAUAGAUGUCACAGUCCCCCAGGAGAGGAGGAAGAGAAGGACCNGGGCAGGAUCAUGCGUGUAGAGCACUUGGCAUGGGGCUUGGCAUCUGGUUAGUUUAUAUUAGUUCUCACGCAGGCCAAUUGGCAGAGGGGAGAGCCACUCAUCCAGUGCUCUCUAUUCCCAGCAUGCUCCCGGGCACAUAGUAGGUGCUCAGUCAGUUCUUCUUGGAAUUGAUUGGAGGAGAAUCAAGUAGCCAAGUGGUCCCCUCAGACCUGAAAGUCAUGAAUUCACAGGGAUCAUGAGGGAGGCAGAGAAGUCAAAUCGCAGGUUGGGCCUAGGGAGCUCAACAGAAGGGAGAGUGGAAACUGCCCAUGAAACUUUCUGUUGGGAAGAGGGAGAAGCCACACUAGGCCCGUCUGAUUCCGACUUGAGAUCAGGGACUCGUUCAGUUCCACCAGCACUUAGGCCACCCACUGUGGGCCAGCUGUUCUGCUAAGUGCCGACACAAAGAUAAUUAAGACCUGGUCUCUGCCCUCGAGGAGUUAGGAACCCAAGGCGAGACAGACCCAUGAACAAAUUACUUCAGUCCAGCGUGGAUUCAAACGCAGGGACUACGGAUGUGCCAGGAGCAGAGUCGAGGGGCACGUGACCUCUCGAGCGCUAGAUUCCCUGAAGCGUGGAAGGAGAAGGUGGUGGCAGCGCCCCUCUCAGCCUUUGCCAGGUCUCCCCACAGCCUGGGGGACCUCCUCUCCUUCCUUCCUUCCUUCCUUCUCCUUCCAGGUGACUGGUGAGGAAACGGAGCCCUGGGAGAUUAGCCGGCUCGGCGAAAGGCCCACACUGGGUUAAGUGGCAGAACUGGGCCUCAGACCCACAUCUCUGAUCCUUGGCCCAGGGUUAUUUCUGUAACUGCAUCUGGCUUCUCGCCCCUUCCCCCCCCCCCGGGGCUGCUGGUCGGAGAUCCGCACUCUGGGCUCUGCACCUACUGACCGGGAUUUGUGCUGCUGCCAUGGCCCCUGGGGCCUGUGUCGUGGGAGAACCCCGGUGCAUGAAAGGCCCCAAGGCCUGUGCCCUGGUUUGGUAAAUGGGUCAGGCCACUUGGUUUGGGGACAGUCCCAGAGUAAGGCCACACCCUGGCUGGGCUGGGGGAUGGCAGGAAUGGGGAAGACUGAGGAGGAGCAGGAAGAGGCCUGGCCACACCCUUUAUUUGAUUGAAGCUCCCUCUGCCCCUCAGGUUCCUCUGUUGGCAGGAAGAGGUCAGACUAGGCUCCCUAGGGUCUGGAGACCCCUCUUACCCUGUCACUAGACCCCCUUCAGAACCAGGCGUGAGACACUGGGAGUGCAGCUUGGGUGUGGGGUCAGACUCUGGUCCACCAGCUCCUUCCAGAAGUUGGGAGGUAGCGUGUUUCUCUUGACCUUUUCUCUAGGGAAAUACCGUGUCCCUUCUGCAAAGCACGGAGCUGGGAGUGUCACCCCCCCAUGUCAGAAGCUGGCUUUGGGUGGAGUCUGAGGACCCUGAGGUGGAACCCCUGCAGGCAGGCAUUCUGGGGGCAGCAGCCGUCGGUGGUCCAAGGCACCCCCCACACCCAGAGCCGUGAAUCCGUGGGUGUGCUUCGGGGGCUUCCAGGGAUUCUGGACUAACUGGAGGAGGAGUGUCAGAGCCCAGAGGACUGAGUCUCCCAGUGGCCCUGAAGUUCCCAUUAAAGUGUUUUUUCCUCUUUUUUAAAGAAAAAAAAUAUUCCCAAACUGGAAAACAAAGGAAAUCCACUUCCCCCAAAUCACACGAAACUCACAUUAGGGGCCUGGCAGGACUCCAUGGAAACCAGGAAACCCGCCGUUAACCCUGUGUGGUGCUGAGGGUGGGGUGGGAGCCAGGCCAGUCCACCCUGGACUGCUGUCACCUUCCAUCUCUACACUGGCCCAGGGAGCUGGCCUGGGUGGCAUCGCCCCACCAGAGGGGAGGAGCUUGUGCCGAAGCCUGCAGAGCCCACUCCCUUCCACUCAGGCCCAGCCUUGGGUGGCAGGAGAGGAGCACUUAGCUCUCCAGGGAGGCCCCCUGGGGCCUCCGAGGCCCCGGGCCAAGUUGGAGAACCUGCCAGGCAACUGCCCACUCCAUGCCACUCACUGCAAACAGGGCCAGGCCCGCUCACACACUUGGGGAGCACACUGCCGUUGACCGUCAUAGAUGUCACAGUCCCCCAGGAGAGGAGGAAGAGAAGGACCCGGAUUUCAGUGCCAGCUUCAUACGCAGGGUGGGGGUGAGAGUGGGCAGAGUUGCCCCGGGAUUCCCUGCACCCUGCUCUUACAUCAUGAGGCUGGGCCGCCACUUUGGGAAGUUGUGCGCCAGGUUCGGGCGUGUGUUUGUGUUUGCACGCACACGGGCUCGUUUUUUCUCAAAAGGCUGAAAAUAUUUACAGGUUUGAAGUUGAAACGCAAACAGGAAAAGCCCUUUAAAAAGUGAGUGUAGUGGAUAUUCAAAACAGGGAUCACCAUGGAAACACCACAAUAUUUGCUUAAAUUGACACAAAGGUUGCCGGUAGCAGGGCACCAACUUUCUUUGGCCACUUUUUUUUUGUUUUUUUGGCCCAGCACCUAUCACAGAUGAAUCUCAGCCGCCUCCUUCCAGGGCGUUUGCCCACGCCCUCUUUUCUUUUUUAUGAGAUGACCCAGCUCCACAGCAGAGGGGAGCGGGGAAAAGGAGAGAAGAAACCGAGUUGACCAUCCCGCGCAGCUGCCCAGGCCCUGCUUAAUGCUGGGUUUGCAGACUCCAUAACCCCUGGGGGUCUGGGGCAGCCGGGAGCUGGCCCAGGGCAAUCUGGAGGGCAGCAGGGUUAGGGAGCUCAGGGGCCCAUUCUGUCGCAUGGGUCUCAUCUGUUUCCAGUGUUGGCUUGGUUCAUUCUCAGGCUGACCUUUCACCCCAGGUACCAAGCCUUGGGUGUGACCCCUCUGUUGUUCCCAGAGUGGCACCUGAUUGGCCUAGUAUUGUCUCUCCCUGUUUGAUUCUUAGCAUAGCAAUUGGCUAAUAAUUGUGCAAAGGGCACACUGGUCACCGGGUCAAGUGUGGCAUGCACGGUGGCAGUGCCACCUGCUGAUUGACAGGCAGGGUCCAGGAGUCACAUGUUGUUGGCUUGUUACCACCCGAGGUGUCGGAACCUUGCCUCCUUUGUUCGCCUAUGGGCAGCAGGUUUGUGGGCACCAACUGUAGCCUAAUCUGUUUUCCUUUCUCUUUUUGGUAGGCACAUAGACCUUGGUGACAGAAGACAAAGAUCCCAUUGGCCCUUCCAGCUGCCCUGGCCACCAACCCCUCCUUCACAGGGGGUCCUGCAACUCCCAGGUGGUGCGUGUUGGAAUGGACUUCAGACCCCAGCCUCUUGGGAUGCAAAGGUAGCUGCUCUUGGUUCCCAAGGUGCCCCUGGGAAGAGUGGGCCUGCCAGUUUGGGGGUUGCGCCUUAGGAUGGGAAAUGCGUAGGCCCUAGGCCACCCUUUCUCAGUGGGUUCCAGCCUGGGUGGUGGUGGCUUAUGCAGCACAGGUGAAAGUGGAAAGAACAUGAGGGUGAGGAGAGGGCCCUGGUCUAGGAGCCGGGCACCUGCAACUUAGUCUGGGCUUUGCCAGCAGCUCACUGCCAGCUCCCCCUGAAUCUCCAUUUUCUUACCUGGAACAUAGCAAGUUGGAGUAACUGACCCUAAAGAGUCCUCCCAGUGGUCCUGUGGGUGACACUGGAUGGUAUGGCGUGGGCGGGCCAGGGUGUCAGGUGAGGCCUCCGCCUGUCAGAUAGCCAUCCUGGAUCUAGGCAUCGGGUCAUCUCUGAACUUCAUCUCAGGGACCUUUCUGUAUGGGCAGAGGCUUCUCUGAGCUCUGGGCUCAGCCUGGGGAGACCCACUGGGGCUCUCUUGGGUGGCUCCAGCCAGGCCUCCUUGGGGACUAGUAGGAGCCCUGAAUACAACCCAGGGAUUGCAAAUCAGAUGCAAACGUGGGCUUUGGUUGCUGGGGUGGAGCGACAUGUGGCUGAGACUCUUCUUCCUGGCAUCCAGGAUGUGAUCGGGCUCCAGGAAUCGGUCCAUCUGUACCUAAGGUGUGCUGCUGUUGUCCUGUUGUCACCUGAAAAAGGCCACGUGGGGGGAUUGGUGGCUGCGAGGUCUUGCUUGCAUUCGGUGCCAGCAUCUGUACCUCUGCCUCUCCCGGAGCUCUUCCUGCCAUCUCUGCCCUCUCUGAUGAUGAGUGUUGGGAAGGCGGGAGCCUCAGGUUGGCUCCCAGCCCGCCCUGCGCCCUGCUCCAGAGGCUGCCCGAGUGCCCCUCUGAGGGGACAGGUUCGCCUCUUCUCUUCUUGGUGGCAGGCUUUUUGUUUUCUUCUUUCUCUGGGCAAAACAUGCCCAUUAGUUUUUCCCUUUCUGAAGUUUCCACUCACUGUUGGCUCCCAGGGGCCGUGCCAGCUGGGAUUUGCACCCGGCACAGGGUAGGGGCCCAGCAGGUCCGGUGGGACUCCCACAUCCUGGCAUUGGCUGUCUUGGGCUUGAUAAUGAAGCUUGGGAACCCUGCGGGCUCCGAGAGGGAAUGUGGUCACCGAGUCCCGCCUCACUUACCCGUCCGUUUCCAGUGACGGGCUUGGCCACAGCCUGGGGUUCUCAUGGCAGGGUGACCCCUGGUCUCAGAGGCAUCCAGCCUGACCACAGCAUGGGCGAGGGAGCCAAGACUGGGCUCAGUCUGGUCCACAGGCCUGGCUUAGCGUCUCCCAAUUUCUGGCUAUUCUCUGCGAGAUCUGGUCACAUUUAUCCUACAGUCACAGAGGGUCUGGUGUCUGCCACUCUCUCCCCCAUAGACAAAGUGGACAAGAAACCCCUGCUCUCACCAAGUUCCUGUAGCAGAGGUGACAACCAGCACACCCACAAAACUGAACAAAGACUUGGUGCUGAAUGGAAUGUGCCCGGGGCACUUAAGGCAGGAUGCACAGAGGAGGCCUCUGAGGGGACAGCUGAGAUGAAGGACAGGAAGUGGACAGCCAUCUGAAGAGCAGGCAGGAGAAUAUUCCAGAAAGGGAGAACAGGUAGUUUAAAAGUCCUAAGGAGGGGCUGGGGAUGUGGCUCAAGCAGUAGCGCGCUCGCCUGGCAUGCGUGCGGCCCGGGUUCGAUCCUCAGCACCACAUACAAACAAAGAUGUUGUGUCCGCCGAAAACUAAAAAAUAAGUAUUAAAAAAAAAAUUCUCUCUCUCUCUCUCUCUCAAAAAAAAAAAAAGUCCUAAGGAGGGAGGAACUCACUACGUUCAGUGUCCAGGAGGAAAGGCCAAGUGGCCGGGAGGUAGAUAGGGCAGGGGCCUGGAUGUGUAGGGCGUAAAGUGUCAGGGGAGAAGGUGGGAUUUUAUUCUUGGGUGACAGGAUGUCCCCUAGAGGCACCUUAAGGAAGGAGGUAGUGAGAUGCUUUUUGUUUUUUAAAGACAGCCGGAAACCAGAUGCCCUGGCGCAUUCCUGUAAUCCCAGCCACUCAGGAGGCUGAGGCAGGAGGAUCUCAGGUUUGAGGCCAGCCUGGGCAACUUAUCAAGAAUAAAAUAAAAAGGGCUGUGGGUGUGGCUGGGUGGUAAAGGGCCUCUGGGUUCAGUCCCCAGUCCCCAGAAAAAAAGUGUGAGGGUGUCCUGGGAAGCAUGCAUCAGAAUGGCGGCAAGGGAAGAAACCAGGAGGCCAGGGGACGGGAGGAGUGAGGGGCCUGGAUGGAAGCUGUGUGCCCAGAGGCAGAGUUAGUGGAACUUACCAGUGGAUUGAAUGGGGUGAGGGAAGGAGGGGUCAGCACGCCUCCAGGGUUCUGAGCCCCUGGGGUGUGGCCUGCGUCUUCUUUCUGACAGUGCCAAGAGACCCAUGGCUCUUAGACAGUUAACACCUUGUGGGUUGGAGGAGGGGCGCCAUCUUGGAACCAAGCCGGUGGCCAAGCAAGUCCUGAAGGGCUUGGGUGCCCCUUGGUCCGCCUCCAGCAGCCAGCCUUGGAGCAGGCUGUGACUUCCAUGCUGGCGAUGCUUUCAGCCCUACGACUCUGCACGACACCAGCUUUGGGCUUUUGCUCCAGGGGUCCUGUGCUGGGUCUGAGGUUGGGCACAGACGUCCGUAGAGUUUCUCUCAGUGGGGCUUUACAUGUGGUCUGUCUUCUGAGCUCCUGAACCUUUUCCUUCGUGCUUGGUCAUAUAGACCCUCAGUUGAUCAGCUCUGAGGCUGAGAAAUGGGACUGUCUAAGACCUGGUCAUGUCCAUGGGACCCAUUUCAACUGCCUGCUCUUGCACAUCUGCAGAGAUCUUGGGGGUCUUUUAUUUAUUUAUUUUAGUUGUCGAUGGACACAAUAUUUUUCUUUCUUUAUUUUAUGUGGUGCUGAGACUUGAACCCAGUGCCUCACACAUGUUAGGUAAGCACCCUGCCACUGAGCUACAGCCCCGGCCCUCUUGGGGGGGUCUUUCCUCGUGGAAAGCUGUGCAUUUCCCUAGGUGGCCCAUCAGACUUGAACUCAGGCCCUGUGACUUUUUCUGGGGCCUCUGUCGUGGACUCCACUACCCCAGGUCCUGACAUCAUCUGCAAGGACCAGGCAGGAGGAGGCAAGCCCAGCCUGGUGCUGUGACAGUGAGGCAAUCCCCGACUCCCCCCACCCCCACAGGCUUUGUGCAGCCCUGGGCACUGCCAUGUAAUUCGGUAGCAAGCCAAAGGCCUGGCUGGCACAAGCGUGAAGCUGUCACCACCGGCUGCUGGGCCCCAUGUGCACUUGCCCGUGCUGGCAACACACCCCCAGCCAUAUGGGCCAGCUCGGCCCUCCAGGAAGCUCUGGAGGCCUGACCUCCAGGGGGCGUGACAGGAAGGGCAGGCCAGCUACGUUUCGCAGGGGGCAUCAGGGGUGUCCCGAGUGGGAAGCAAUAUGUGACACAGCAGCUCAGCCCUCCAGGAAGCUCUGGAGACCUGACCUCCAGGGAAGUAAUGGGAGGGAGCAGAAGGGCAAGCUGGUGGCGGCUGGCAGGGGGUGACAGGGAUGUCCCAGGCCCACAGCUGGUGCCUCAGCCUGGCUCGGAGGGGGCCGCCAGCCAGUCCUCCUGGGCGUGCCUGCUGGCCCUGGGGGAGGGUGCGUCUGUGCACACGUGGGAGGCUUUUCUGCUUUCUGCCUCCAUGGUCUGCACUAGAUCCAUGACCUUCACUCCUAACUGGACUGGACAGUUCUAAUGCCAUCCUCCGGGGCUUUGAUCUGAUGUGAGGCUGGCAGCUCCAGAGCACGCAGCUGCGGUGGGGGAAGCAGAGAGGUGGGUUCCGGAGAGGGAUGUGGGGCCAUGUUCUCCACCACCCUGGGUGACGCAGAGCUCAGGAGGAUGAGUGGGUUCCAGUGGUGCAGCCCCGUGAGGGGUUGUGACUGGGAGAAGGUUUGGAAAGAGCCACUGAUGGUUCUGGUUCUAAUCUGGGUAGGAAUUCUGUCUGAUGGCACAGGCGCCCCGCCCUUGGCCCUUCAGUUUUUCCUUAUAGAAUUGGAAGCCCCCGCUACCCCAGGCACUGACUCAGGGACGCGGGCUGGCAGGUCUGGCAGCACCUGCCCUGUGUAGAGCUCCUGGGGGUCUCAUCUGGUGCCAGGGUUGCUCGAGCAGAACAACGAUGGCUUUAGGAGCGCUGACACCUUAAGGACCAAGGGAGAUGCUCGGCCUCAGUCCCUGUGGCCUCUGGGUGCCUGCAGCAAAAAAAUACCAGUAACAGAGGAGCCCCGGAGGCUGGGCACGCGUCCCCUUCCCGUGUAGACCUGUGGGCUCCUGCUGUCCCACCAGCGUCCCCUUGGCCUCUUUCAUUCCAGAAUCUACAGAGAUACAGACCUGAUCCAGGUGAGAGUCCUUAAGUCAGAGGUCGCUGGACCAAGGCAUGAGCCACCAGUGGGACCCUUGAAGUCCAUCUCCCAGGUCCUUGAUGGUGACACACACUCACCCCCCACGCCAUUUGCUGCUUGUUCUCUGUCACAUGGGGCCUUGGAGUGAUCCUCACCUUCUGCUCCCCACCCAUGUUUUCUCUUGGGUUUGGUUGACUUCCCUCGGGAGCAGGAGGCUUGUCCGACCCUGAGCCUUGCUCUGCUAGUCUGGGGUUGAGACCGCUGUGGCCGGGGUGGGAGAGGAGAGGAGGUGUAAUUAAACACUAGUUCCUUUUCCAGAAAUGCUAAUCGAGAAAAGCAAUUAAAAGCAACUUUUUUUUUUUUCCCUUAGUAAUCUGGGUUAAGAGCUGGUAAUGAAGUUUAGGGCCAUUGUGACUCAGUAUUUCAGCUUCACCGACUCAAGUCAAAACAAUCCAAGCCCAGGAGCUCACCAGCCGCUGAGUUGGGCCCGGGAAGCAGCUGUGCGUCCUGAUGUUCCCGCUUGUCACCACCCUUUGCCGUUCCCCGGGGCAGAGAGGAGCAGUUGCAGCUGGGAAAGGGGAUCUGAAUGGCAUGUAGGUGGGUCCCCGAGGUGACCCCUCAGAAGACCAGAAUCUGGAAAUGCAGCUGAGCGGAAAUGCUUAGGAGCAGGGCACGUGUGGCACCUAGUGUAAGGGCCAGAACCAGAAAGGGUGGGUCAGAUAGGGUCAGGGGAGAGGAAGUGGUCCUGGGGUGGACAGGGCUCAGCCACAUGGGCUCAGAACCAGAGGAGCUGGUGGUCCAGUCCUGACCUCCAACCUCUGCUCGUUCACCUCUGGUUUCAUUCAUUAAUCAGUUGCCAUUGAGCACCACUGCAUACCCAUGUUUUAGACACUGAAAGUGCAACAGUACAUAGAGAGGUGAGGAUUCCCACCCUCGUGGAAUUUACAUGCUGGUGGGAGGCUUUGUCUGGCAGGUCCCGUAGUCCUUCCUUUCCUCUACAAGUAACCACUGCACAAUUUCUCUUUUAAUUUCGUCGAGGGCCCUUACCUUGCCCAUCCCACCCGUUCACCUACAACCACUAAAAUCUACACCGAAGACCCCCUUUCCCAGUGACUCCACCAUUGUAAUCCCGCCUCUGUUUUGUCUUCCCUCCGGCACCAGUGGGACCAACAAUAGACCUCCUUCUCACAAGAACAGGUCCCCUUGUCGUCGACGCUCCGGGGUCUCCGUCCUCCUGUCGUCCCUCCGGUCCCACCGACCCUUCCUCACUGGACCUCUAGUUCCGACCCCGUCCCCCCACGCCAGGUGUCUAGGAUGUUCGGACCGUCCGGUUCGUGAGAACUCUAGCUGUUACCCCGAGUAAAACGAGAUGCUUUUUGAAGAGCUCUGACUGACAUGAUCUGAUUAGGCACAAGCUCUUUAUUAAAAAACAAGACCCUAUUGUCACUGUCCCCUCCUCUCAUGGUCCCCUAUGUGCAGAGUCCGCCUCCCCCCCCCCACACACACCCCUUGGAGGCACUCUAGCAACAUUUCAAUCUGGGAUGGGCCAGAGGGUGCUGGGGGGUGUAUCUGGAACUCACUCAGCCCCAGCCUCAGCCUCUUCCCUGGGAGCAGUUCACCAUCAGGGUCUUGUCACUUUAAGCAGCCCCCCGCCUGGCUUCCCUGGCCUGCUUUAUCUGAAGUCCAAGCGCAUGUUGUUUCAGGACCGAUCCGCUUUAGCUAAUUAAUAAUCUGACAGGAGCCACCCAGGGGAUUAGCCUCGGAGCUGAGCUCCACCAAGCCCCAGCAAAUGAGCCCCAUGCUCCUCAGGGACCUGGAGGUGACUUUGGGGGGGGGGUUCAGGGAGGGGGGACCCCCACAGGUGAGCCAUGGCAUGGGGCAGUAUAGGAGUGGCCAGUGAGGGAAGAGGAAGGGGAGAGAUGGGAAAGGAGCCUCCUAGAGGACUCCACUGUCCCCAGACAGGCAAGGACUCUGCUCUCCUCUGCUGCCUCUUAUGGUCUUGUCACCUGCCAGAAACUGUCCCCACCUGAGGAGCUGGGAUACCAUGGCCAGCAUUAGCAAGUAUAAUGCAGGACACGGGUGUGGCCGAGCCUCAGGUGACCUGCACCCCAUCUUCAGCACGAGUACGUUCCGUGGGCUGUUGGCGAUCGGCUCCCACUAAAGGUGUCUUCGUUGUGUAUGAGACACUCUGCUUCCACGUUUCCUCUAGCAAACCUGAGAGGAGGGCCAGAGGCUUUGGGGCUCCCUUUAGAAGAGGUGGCACUUCCUGGGGAGCCACCUGGGGCUUUUUCAAGCAGGGUGAGGCUGGGGUCCUGGUGACCUCAUUGUCACAGUACAGGGAGAGGAGGACGAGGAGGACAGAUGUCGGCCACUUGCCUGUCUUCCAACCUGUUGGGCCCAGGUGGUCCUUGGAUGCUUAGAGGCUAAGUCCCCUCUGGAACAUCUGUGGCCCCAAGCGAGGGAGCAGUGCCCCCUGGCCACCUGUCCCAGGGGAGGCUGGCAUCUAGGAAAUCCAGCCUGCGCCUAAGGGGAAGGCUUGAAGUUUCCGGGUAAUCUGGGUUGGGUGGUUGUCCACUGAGGGCAUUUGUUCUGAGCAGGGGUGGCCUCCUGUGUGGGAGGGGCCAGGCCAGGUCACAUACAAGGUCAGGGACAACAGCCUGCUAUGCAGGGCCCCUCCUUGUUCCAGGUUUCUGGGCACUGAACAGAGAUACCCGUUGCUGACCUCCCCGUGCCCACCGGCACGGCCACAGAGCAGAGUGCUGGCUUCUCAGGAAGGACACACCGUUCAGCCGGGCUGGCUGCCCAGGAUGUCACUCUAAGGGCAGGAGGGGCGGGUCUUUAUUGGAAAGCUUGAUGGGGUCCAGCCUGCUGGCUCUCGUGACCCCUGUCACCCUGGCUGUGUUCCUCGUGGUCAGGGAGCUCAGGGCAGCGAGAGAGGCCAGCUGCCAGCUGGUGGAAGUCCAGCCUCCUGCAGCCAAGGGGCCUGAUGCCAGGCGGGCACUGCCCUGAGGUGGGAGCGCGCGGGCCCCGGCUCUGUGCUCUAGGAGUUAACAGCAUCUGCGCCCGGGGAGGCCCCCUCUCCCCGCUGGGCCGCCUCCUCCAGCCUUUCCCGGCACAGCCAGCCAGGGAGUCUGUGGUGCGAGCAGUCGGGGCCGGGGGUGCCGAGCUGGUGGGAACCUCUUCCGCUUCCUGAGCUCUCAGCCUCUUCCCCAGCGUGCCCGGUGGUUUGGCCCUGGUUCUCGAGCCGUCUGCUGCCCGUGCUGCCUCUGACCGACAUCGUUAGCGUGGGUAUUUAUAUUUCAUUAACGACAUUAAGCCCAAAUGGCAUUAAAAGCAAAGCUGGUGAUAAAUAGCUUAUUAAUAAACAGGGAGUGCUCCGUGCUGCCUGGCCUAUCCCAGCCCCAGCGUUAACCCUUGCUGCCCUAGAUAAAUAUGCUUCACCCCAAAGACCAGCCCCCAAAAGAUGGGGCCGGAAGGGCCUGUCACCUGCCCGUCCUCUACCGGAUACUCUCAGGUCCACGCACAUUGGAUCCCGAGUGGGCUAGUUCUGGGUCACUGCAGCUCAUGCGACCUGGCCAGAUCCCUCACGGCCUCUAAUCAAAUCCCCCUCACCCCAUCCUCACUAAUUUUGAUUCUGGGGAUGAAGAAUUUAGGAAAUCUGGCUUUUGUAGGCUGCAAGCUCAGGUCUUCUCCAUUUCCUUGAAGUUCUGUCUACAAGGACUUUGGAAUCAAAGACAGUGAUGCUGCCGGGUGCGGUGGCGGGCACCUGCAGUCCCAGCAGCUCCAGAGGCUGAGGCAGGAGGAUGGAGAGUUCAAAGCCAGCCUCAGCAACUCACGAAGACCUAAGGAACUCAGUGCGAUUCUGUCUCUAAUAAAAUACAAAAAAGGGCUGGGGAUGUGGCUCAGUGGUUAAACGCCCCUGGGUUCAAUCCCUGGUACCAGAAAAAAAAAAAAAAAGAGUGAUGCAUAUGAAAAUAAUAGCAGUGACACAGUGACAAGCACAGCUAACAUUUUCGGGGUGCUAACUGUGAGCAGGCCUUUCACUGAGCACAGGCCCCCAUCCUCACAGCCACCCCAGGGAGUCCCACUGAGCCUCACUGUAUAAGUGGCAAGGCACUUCCUGGAAGAGCGAAGCAGUUCUACCUACUGAAGCCCAGGUCACACAGAGGCUAGGCCCUGGUCAUGGUGCAGGACUUGGUACGGGGGGCCGUCCCUGGCUCCUGGGCCUCGGACCUGCCGAGGCUAUCCAGGGCUGUGGCUCCAGGCCUUGACUCUGCCUCUGUUGAGCCCCCUGCCCACCAGGACUCAGGUGUUCUGUUAGGCGAUGUCACUGGCCAGGUGAGCCCGCCUGCAUGCAGGCUGUCUGUCUGGAGGCCACAGACAUGCAUCACAGAGUCCAUCACCUCCUCUAGAACUCAGAAGUGCCAACAGGGAUGUCCGCGGUGACCCCAGUGAACAGAGUCCCGCAGGCCUGGGUUGUUUGGGGUUUCGGUCAGUGUUUUGUGGCUGUCAUCUCUUGAUGCUUGGAAGAAUUAGGGGCAGACUCGGUCCUCCCUUGCCCCGUCUCCCUGGCUGAAUCACUGAAGGUAAGAGGAGAAACCGGAGCCUCACUUAGAACAUCUCACCUUGACCAACCUGAGCAAGAAUUCUUGUCCCAUGCCCUGUCUCUUUGGAACUGUCUGGGCCACACCGGGUUGAAGGGGGCCAGGGACUCCCCGGGAGUUUUGCGGUGUAGAAAGGAAAGAGGAGGGAGAGUCGAAAGUGACGCUGCCGUGGGGUCCCAAGCAAGAGGGUGGGGCAGAGGGCUCAUCGCCGCGGCCUCUGCUUCUGCCCAGUGACGCAAACUUCCCACUCGCAGGAGAGUGCCGGGACUCCUGCUGCCUCAGCCGGGGGCCAGGCCUCUUCUCCCAGCCCAUCCCAAAGCUGGGAAGGAAGUAGGAAAGCAGCCACCAUCAGGAUCCUGGUCAGAAAGUUCCCUUCUCACCUGGGUGGCUGGACCUGACCCUCACACCCCACCCCCGCCGAGGAGAAUGACGCAGGAACCAGCAAGGCCCCGGCUGACCGCUAGGUGCUGUCAGGGCUGCCCCUAAGGCCAAAAGACCCGGCCACUUGCUCUGGCCAUGCAGGCCUUUAUGGUAACGGCAGGGCACAGUGUAUGGCAGAAUCACAGUUGUCACCGACAUUGUACUUAAAGUGCACUAGGUCUCUAGGCCUGUCCCUCCCGUAGCUAGCUGGUGGUCAGGAGGGAGAACCAACUGGGAGGAAGAUGGGAGAGAUGGGCUUUGAGACAGGCCACCCGAGUCGCUGUUUUGUAGAACUGUGGCCGUCCCUUCGCCAUGCUCGGCUCCACUGUCCUCUGUGACAUGAUUGUGCCUUCUCUGCAGGGAUGCAGUCUCUAAAAUGCCUGUGAUGGCCUUGGACCUGCGAGGCGCUGGGCGAGGGCUGGUGCCCGUAUUCCUGCUCUUACCUUGUUGUCGCUGAUAUUCUGUCUGAGAAACAGGGGAGGAAGUGGGUGAAGACUCACAUACACAGCAGGGCGUGGCCUGCCGCUCCCUCUGGGGACUGACGGCAGCACUGGUAGGGAUAAGUCCAUCCAUCCAGUCGUCCACUCAUCGUUUCUAGGACAUCUCCUCUGCUAGGCUCAGGAGGAGUGAGGACAGGGUGAGUCUAAGGGGAACGCAGCGGGGCUCCCAGCCAGGGCUCCUGGGGAAGGGCAGCCAGCUGUGGGUGUGGCCACUCUGGUUUCAGGCAGCUGCAGGGACCAAGGGAGAAGAGCUGGCAUCUCAGCAUGUGGCCCUGCUGCAUGGUGGGGCAGGUCCUUCCCCUCCCGUGCCGUGCCCACUGAUAGUGGGCUGGCUGUUGGCAGGCAUAAGCCACCUUGUUGUCCCUCUGCUAUGCGAAGCCCAGAACCUGGGCAGGGCUUCUGCUUGUCUGCCUGCCAGGUGUUGGAGUGCUGUGCUCCAGGCCCUUCCCUGGCCACCCGGCUGACAUGCCGUUCCUCUGGCCUUGGUGGAACAUGAGUGGCACGGUUUGGCCCAGGCUCGAGGGGGCACUUAGCAAGAGCCUCCGCCUGAGGAAUGAGGUUGGUCCCCUAGGUUGCAUCAAUUUCUGAGGGAUGGGGAUGUGCAGACCCCUCCCCUCUGCAGACCCCUCUUUCCCAAGGCAGCUUCCCUUCUUCUUCCCCUCCACCCUCUAAGGUGUCCUGUGUUCUCCAAGGGCCAAGGCUCAACAGGGGCCGGGGUGGGACGGCCAGUGGCUCCUGUGCAGAAGGUCUGUGUGGGCUUACCUUGCUUUAGUGGAACGUCACAGCAGACUGGGUGGCCUCCCUUAUGUGCCACUUGUCACUCUAAGGAUUCUGAGUGUCCACUCCUGCUUGAAAGGGACCACACGGGAAGAAGCUAUGAAGUCAUCUGUUUUGCCUCACGUGACCUAAGGAAAGGGGCUGGGGGUACAAUGGGUGACAGCUCCGGGGACUGGGAGAUGGUGGGUAUGGGCAGAUGGCUCAGUGUGCCCAGGAGCGGGGCCUGUGACCUCCUGGGCAAACCUUCAAGGGGGUCAAAGGCCGCUCCAUAUCCAGAGCGCUUUCUCUGCCUCGUUCCUGGGCCCAGUGGUGCCCUGACAGGAGGCCAGCCUCCCUGGGCUGGGCCGUGGGCAGGGAGGCCCUAGGAGAGGCCUGGGCCCAGAGCUGGCCCUCAGUCGGGCUUAGGGUGCCCUCUUGGCUCUGGGCAGUGCGGGCCUGUGGAGUGCCAGGCAGGGUGGCCACCACAAGGAGCCAGGAGGGGGAUGGCAGAAGGGGUCAUGCGUGUUCUGUCCUCUGGGAGCUUCUCCUACUUUCAUUUUCUUUUUGCCACUGUUUUUUUUUUUUUUUCCUUGGGGUCUAAUUAAAGACUUGGAGCCGUUUACAGCCUGUGGUUGGCUUUUUAUUUGGAGCCUUGGCAAUUACCUCCUGCCCUAAAAUAAGUUUCGAUGGAGCAGGGGUAGGCUUUUUCUUUCGGCCAAGUUCUCAGCUUUAAUUUUGCCGUGUGUGCGUGUGCGUGUGCGUGUGCACGUGUGUUCCUUCAUGCUCGAGUGUGUGAUGGGGUAACAUGACGCCUGCCCCUCCUCCCCUUUCCAAAUCCUUGUCACUUGCCCCAUCUCAAGUGUCCCUUGGCCAAGGCAGAGACCUGGACAGUGGGAACAGUAUGUCCUCAGCCUCACCCUGCCUGGAGGCACCUCGGUGACAACAGGCAGGUCAUCUGUUGACUCUGUCCCAGUUUCUUCACCUGCAAAUGGGGCCAGCGGGCUGGGCAUGACAGAGGCUUUGGUCCACACCACUUUGGAAACAGACCUCUUGAGUGGGGGAAGCCACUGCCGGCAGCACCAGCACCCCGGGCCUCGUUUGCCUCUUAAUCAACACCCUUUGAGUUUGAUAGGAACCUGUUGUCGUGUCCCCAUUUUAUCCCUCUCUGUUCCCCUGGCCACUGUGUGAGCAGAUGUGAUCACCCCAAGUUUAUUGCUGAGCCCUAAGGCCAGGGAUAAUUAGUGGCUUUUCUGAAAUCACUUUGCUUAAAAGAGACAGAGUCUUGAGAUUCAAACUCAGGUCCUAUGAUCUUCCAAAACCCAAACCCAAGACUUUGUGGGGCUCAGUGUAAAAUGAAAACGUGGAGCCCCUUGUCCUGAAAUAAGAAUUCUAGGACCCCAAGAACAGGACAUUAGACUGAGUGGGUGCCCUUCUGAGCACCUGUGUGGCUGCAGGGGUUGCAUGCCCAAGAAGCUAGCCCUGCCUGACGCCCUCUUGAGUCUCCUCCUAUCUGCUCUGUCGUACCCAUGAGGUGAUGGCAGGGAAGUCACAUAGGCCAGUGGUGCCCCCCUGGCUGCUGUGACCACCCCUUCAGGGGGGCUGGAAUCUGGGUUCUCCCAGCUCCUGAACUUUUCCAUGAGCCCUGUACAGGAUCUCUGGGUUCCCUGAGUCUCCUGGGGUCCUUCUCAGUUAGAGGUGAGGAACUGAAAAGUGGGUUCAAUAAGAACUCUUUUUCCUUGGGGUAGAGGUUGAAGUUUUGAGGACUUGGUCCUCCGAGUCCCAUUGAGGAGCUCAAUGAGAUUCUUUCUGUCAACCCAAAGCAAGUGGUGACCUGCCAAAAAUGUACAGGUCAACCUAGGCUCCAGUUGUUCCGCUUUGGGUAGAAGGUUAGCCAGCCCAUUCCUUGGGCAGAUCUGGAAACUUCCUAGCUGGUUGCUGGGGACUGGGAUUGCCAUGGAAACUUAUGGGUGGAUGGAUGGAUGGAUGGAUGGAUGGAUGGAGCACAUAGCUGGGUGUGAGCCCAUGCGAGUGCCCAUGUGCAUGCACACGCGUGCCACAGAGGACAGCUGUCAGGAUGAUUGGCUUUUACUGAAUUUCCCAGAUGGAGCGGCCUUUGCCUACCCGUCCAGUGUGCUCCUGCCCGUGGCCCCCUUUCUGUCUUCUGCUAAUGCCCCCUCAAAGAUGUCUGAGUGCCAAAGUCCUCGCUGCAAGAGCCCAUCUGGACUCUCUCCCAGGUGCCCCUGCUUCCCAGAAGCCUUCUAAAUUCUGGACCUUGGGUGUACUUAGGGUGAACCGUGUCCUGAAAACCAUGGUAGCCAUUUUUAUGGUGGGGGGACAACUUUGUGUAAAAUGGGGGCCAGGUGGGGGUGGGAGUCCCCCAGGCGCGAGGCCUGAGGCAGUUGGAGUAUAGGAGGGCGAGGUGCCCGAGUUUCCAAGGACUGAUUAGAUGGUAUGCCAAGUGUAUUAAAUUUUGCAGACAUUUUAACAGCAAUAUGCUAGAUAGUUGGGUGUCCCCUGAGGCGGCUGGAUUUUUUAUAUCCUUCACAGAAGGUCAGAACCCUCUUCUGCCUGCCUCCCCCUCCAUCCCAUGCUCUCUGCUCCACGGCUCACCCUCCCCUUUCUCAACAAUUUCCCUGGCUUCUCACUCUCUGCUCAUCAGGAACCUAAAAGACAUCUCUGGUCCCUGCCAGAAAGAGGGAGCACCGGUCCCUCCCGCCUCGCCAUUGGGCUGGUGUCAGGGGUCUCCAAGGCUGGGGAGGGCUCACGCUGGAAGCUUGAUUUCUGUUCUCUCUGCCCUGCACCCCUCCCCCCACUUUGGAGACUGUUCCUCCUUAUUUUUAUAGAAAAAAGGCAGGAAAAGCAUCCAUCUGGCAUAUGAAUAAUUGAAAUGGCUCAACCCUGUUCCUGUGGCUGCUGUUUGUUCUCAGCCCCCCCCCCCCCCCCCCCGGCCCGGCCCAUCCCCGUGAGCAUGGGUCUCUGAGCGGAGGCUGCGUGCGUGGGCAUUCUUCGAAGGGUCUCCGGUGAGGCCCAAGGCUCUCCUUAACCUUGAGUCCUUUCUCCCUGGGAACCAACAGGGCUGAGUGGGGGACAUUUGGAGAUGUGGUUUCCUUUUCACUGUCCAUGGGGAUAGCCAGCCCCUGGCUAGAGUCUCCCAAAUAUCACUGCAACUCAACCGGUUCCCUUGGCUCCCCGGUCUCAAGGGCCAGCUUCCGUCACCCUGGGCUCUCCCAGAGCCUCCCGGGAACCUCUGAUGUAUUAAAUUUUGCAGACAUUUUAACAGCAAUAUGCUAGAUAGCAAUAUGCCCAGCCUCCUCUUAUCCCCCAGCCUCUGCGCCCCGUCCUGAGGGCUCUGGUGACCUCCCAAAGCUUCAGGGGCUCUGGGGACUCCUCUUUGGGGAAACUGGCUCUGGCAGUGCUGUCCCAGACUUCUGAUCAGGCCUCUUGCCCAGAGGCCUCUGAGACACCCCGUCCCGUCCUCUGCCACCCCUAGUGUGCCCAGCUGAGGCUGCCCUGGCUGGAGGUGUGCCCUUCUCUGCGUCUUCAUUUAGCCUUUGGGUUGGGAGCCGUGAGAGAGGAGAUCCGCAACUUUGCUUUCUGGGAGGCAGCACGCGGCGGUGGGAGGGCGGGGCAGAGGCAGGCUGGCCGAGCUCAGGGCCUGGCCCGUCACUCCACCGGGCUGGGCCCAGCUGCACACCAGGCCCCGUGUCCCGGCCCAGAAUUCACUGUCUCUUUAAAACCCUUUAGAGGAAAACCAAAAGAAGUUUAGUGCAUUGAUUCUAGAUGAAGAUGGGCCUCCAGAUGAUAGCCUGACCCUCCUGGCUCCCUGCGAGAGCCCACUUCCCUCUCCUCCUCCCCCUCCCACCCUCCUGCCCCUCUGCCCGCCCUGCCUCUCCAUUCCCAUCCCUUGUUCUUGCUCUGUGAGAGGCUGACGUCAGGGUUGCAUGGAGUGUGGGCUUUCUGUUUGAAAAGUCAAUACUUCUGUUUGUCUGUUUGGGACAUCAUGUUUGUGUCAUGUGUGAAUAUUGACUUGCAGCCGUGGGCCCUGUGGUUAUUAAGUGCUGGGAGCCAGUGUGCAUUUCGGGACCACCGAGCGGCUGUGGUGGGGUGGGGCUGGCACGGGCAUCACCACAAAGUGGUGAGAGGCCUCAGAAGACGCCCCCAUAGGAAGAGGGUGCGAGCAACACCAGAACAUUCUAGAUCUUUUCUGGGUUCAUUUACAAAACUGCCCAGUCAGCAAAAAAUAAUUCGGAUGAAAUUCAAAUCAGGUUUGUUAAUAUAUAACCAUAAAUAUAUAAAUAUAUAAUAAAUAUAAAAGUCGUUUGUAAAGACUCCUACACAUGUUAUAAAAGCUGCAAAAUGUCUGACAUUCCAGGGCCUGGUACGAAUAAUUAGAUAUUUAUGUCCAAUAAAACUGGUUUGAUGGGGAAAUCGUUUCCCUGUGUGGAUUCUCAGUUGAGGACGAGUUUCGGUGGUUGGGUUUGUUUUUUUCCUGACAAUAAAACCAGGGGUUUGGCACCAACAAAUGUAUUUCCCGUAAAUAUCUAAAUCUCCGUUUUCCAGCGUGAGCUCUGCUGGACGGGCCCCGUCACGCCCGCCACUCUCCUCGCUGGCCUUUUCAUUGUCCCUGGAGAACAGUGUGCACGGCCCCUCCUCCCUGCACCCCGGGCCUGAGCUGUAGCCAGGACCACUCUGCCCCCCGCGCCCCUCCGCACCUAGACUGCUGCUGUGGGCUCUUCACUCUGCUCUUUUGGGGGAUCAGUUUUUUAGCCUGGGGCUUCUGCUCUCCUGCGCCCUGGAAGCCCAAUCUAAGCCCCUCCUACCCCCCCACUACCAUUUUUAAUUCCCGUCUUCACCUCCUGCUUUAGACCCUGCUCUCCCUUCUCUCGGGAGCUCUGUUUGACCCCCUGGCCCAUAGCCUUCAGGGCCUCUACCACGUGCCUGGAGGCCCUGGGGAGGCAGUUUGCCUUACUGCCCUGGCUUGGGGAGAUCGCCCAGCCCCACCCUUGUUUUUCUUCCAUCUGUUCCACAGCCGUGAACAGAUGGAGCCAGGAGCCAGAAGGUGCUGUCGAUGACUGUGACCUCUCUCUCCCAUUAUACGGAUGUGGAGCUGAGGCCCCAAGUCGGGCAGAUGGCUUGGGGUGAGGGGCUGGCUUAAGAGUCCUAAGUGGGACAGACAGAGCUGGGCCAGAAGUACAGCCCCUGGCUUGACCUCCCUCUGGUUCUGGGCGUGCGGAAGGGGAGCACACCUACUCCACAGGGACCCCUGGGGCAAGUGGCCUCCCUCUCUGAGCCUUGCAUUUCGGACCAGUGACGAGGAAUCAGUGCUCACUCCGCUGUAAGGCCACCCAGAGGAGCGACUCAAUGAAGUGUCUACGAGUCGCACCUUGGGUUCUGGGCCGACGGGUCCGUUCCCCAGGAAGAAGGGAGUCAGGUUCACCCAAUGGCCCAAGCCCGGACCUGCAUGUCACCGGGUUGCUUGACACUGGGGUGAGGGCCUGUCUACGGGGCUCCCCCUGGGUGGUGGGAUUGCUUUUGCCUGUCUCCCAGCAUGGCUGGGACGUUCUGGCUGGGUUCAGGGUGCCUUAGAGCUUCCCAGGGGUCUGCUGUGACUUAACUUCAGCCAGGAAGGAAAAGCCACUGGUGGAGGAGCAGCACCCGGGUGCUGGGGUCUUCAGGGUUCCUCAGGAACGCACCCCAGAGGCAGGGCCAGAGAAGCCGCAAGGGUGCACUGCAGCGCCUUCGCCAAGACCCAGCCCAGCUCUGUCUGGGACAUUUGGCCCAAACUGUAACCUGGGCCCUACGGAGGCUGGUGGCCCCGAUGUUCUGACAGACAUCUUUCAGAUCAAAGAAAAGGAGUCUCCUGGCAGCCAGCACGCCCAGGAGGAGGGGAGAGGGCUGGCAUCCUCCCGAGCCCCCUUCCAGACGUCCGGGAUGGCCCUCGGAGCCGCGAAUUAAUAUCUCGACACUCAUCACUGUCAUCUGUCGGGACCCAUGGCGACCCCGACGACUCGCCACCGUGACGGUGUACGGUGCUCGGGUGUGAGAAGGAGGCGAGAUUAGCUCCUGCUCCUUGCUGAGGACCCUGCGUGUUCGUGCUGGGCGUGGCCAGCAGCCCAGGCCCCCACCCCCCCAGGAUAACCCUUAAGUGACACACAGUGGCAUGCCAGCUUCACCUGUACCCGUCCCCGGAGCGGAGAGGCCCAGAGCACACGGGACCACCCUCCAGGGGUGGCUCUCUUAGGCCAGUAAGUUUCAAGACACACUAUUGCCCAGGGGACGGGACCCUGGCCUGGAAUUCAAAGCCGCCCUCCAAAAGACACCUGGGUGGCUUGUUUUUCAAUGUUGUCUUUUUUCUUCCUCCUUUUCCCCAACCCUCGCAAAACUAAAAAAAAAAAACUUGGAGAAGCAGAGCCCAAGCUGCCUGUGACUGGCUCACAGAGAAGCCAGUCAAACCUCCCCUUGUUGAGAACAUUUUGACAGCAUAAAAUUGUUGCCGGAAUGUGACUUUAACGAAAAGUAAAAAAAAAAAAAAAAGAAAAAAAGAAAAAAAAAUCCUUCCUUCAUGCAUAUGGAGUUUUUUGGAAAAAAAAAUGGUAUUUUAAUGCUUUCUAUUAAAUUGGGACUAAAAGUGGUGUCUUAAUUUGCAUGCAUUAGCAUAUUUGCAUAUAGAUCACUGAAAUGGUGGAAGAGAGAAGAGCCUUUAAAUGAAAAUUCUUUUAAAGGCACAGGCCCGCUUCCCUCCCCACCUCCCUCUGGGAUUUAUGCUUGAUCUUUUCCUCUCACCUCCAACCCCACCUUUAUGUCUUGAUUAAGCUGUGAAUGGACAGGAGAGUCAAGGCUCUACUUCUUAGGAGCCAAUUCGGGGUGGAGUCAAGGGGCCAGAAAGUCCUGGCCCUUGAUCACCCCCUGGCAGAGCUCUGAGCUGGCCUGUCCUGGCAGUGAGUGGCUCUGGAGGACGGGCCUAUGUCCACGCCGACAGGCAGGUGGCCUGGACCCCCGGGCCUCUUCCAGCCAUUAUCCUGCCCUCUUUCUGGCUCUUCCCCUCCCACCCCCGCCCCCCGGGCCAGGUUGGUUCUAUAGAAGCCCACUGUGGGCACCUGUCCUGCCAGCCCCUGGCCCCAGAGGAGGGGAUGCUCUUCUUCCUCUGGUGUAACCCAUCUCCAUCCUCCGUUACUCUCUGCCACUGUCCUUGUUUCACUGUCUGCAGAGAACUCACUAGUUGUUUGUUUACUUGAUGAUUUGUCUCUUCCCGCCAACACCACCCUUGCCAAGGACAAACUCCACAGAAGCACAGCCCGGUGGCCGACUCAUUCAUAGCUAGACCCAUGGUGCUACUGACAACGCCCAGCGCAUUAUGGGUAUUCAGUAACUGUUCAUUGAAUGAGUGAAAGGGGGCUGGGACUCCUGCCAGGCUGAGCCUUUCCCAGUGCCAUGGUCUCAUGGUACACAGUGCCACACCCCAGCCCCCUUUAGAUGUCUUCAGCCUUGCUGGAGGAGCAGGAUUUGGGAAUUGUCCAGGGCCUUCCAGUCUGAUCCCAGGCCCUCAAAGAAUGCUUUAGCCCACCCUUGUUCCUUUGGAUGGCAGGCUGGAUGGAGUGGGGACCUGGCCUUAGGGAGCAAUCGGGCAGGGUGGCCUAUAGGAAAUGUUCAGCAUGGGGGAAAGAGCUGGGGCUGAUGAAGCUAGGGUCACCUUAUGCCAACACAAGGGCCUCCAACCCUGUAGCCAUAUAGAUCUUUAUUUGGCACCCUUCCUCCCAGAAACUUCAGGGUGCACCAUCAAUGCCCUGGUUUCUGUACCCCAGUUGUGCUGCUGGCUGUCCCUAGUCUAGGUGAAAGAGUCCUGGGAAACCCCACCAUGCUCUCUGCAUUCCAGAGGGACAGCCCGGGAAGUGAGGUCUAGCCACUGAGCCCUGAGCCAUCCCUCCCUUCCCUACUCGGGUGGGCUGGGCUUUCCAAAAGGCCCCUCCAGGCUGACAGCAGCCUCGGGCUCCAUGCCCAGCCUGAAGGGGGAGGGCCGAGAAGGGUGAGGGGGACGCCCAGGGUUGGAGCGGGACUGUGCCUCCACCGCUAAUGAAAAUCGGAAACCAAUUGAGCAGGACAAGGUGCCCCGCCAGCAGGUUGUGGGAACAAGGGUCCUAAUGGAUGUGGCUGGUGGGGGGAGCGGAUGCCUCAUUGAUCGCCCAGUGGCUAUAUUUAUCCACCUUGGGUCUGUGGCCCUAGCAGCUGGAUGGUACAGGGAUAAAUAAAUGGCCACUGAAAUAUUCAUGAGCUGCACAUGCACAUCCGUGGUCAGGGGUGCCGCCAGGGCCUGCUCUUCCUUCCUUCGCCCAUCUCUCUGCAGAAGCCUUUCAGGAAAUUCCUCCCACCUGGGCCAGGUGACGCGUGGCCCAGCCCCACUGGGCACCCAGCCCAGCCACAGCCCUGGGAGCACCUGCAGGCCUGGGCACCUUCUAUCCUGGGCCAGCUGACUGUUUUCAGACUGGUCCCUGCCUUGCCUUUGUCCCCUCCAUUGCCCCUGUGUCCCUGUCCCUUAAUGAUGGAUUAGACACGUGGGGCCGUGGCUAUUUGCUUGACCCUGUAUGCCCUGCUAGACCAUGUCCUACUCCUGAAGGACAAGCUUGUGGCUCAUUUGUCCCUGGAUUUCCCCCGUGGCCUGGCACGGUGCCUGAUGUGUCCUUGAGAGGAGCAUCAUCUGAGUGAGGCUCAGAGGUGGGCUUGCGUCUCAGGUCUGUCCUCUCAGGUCUUCUCCUUGCUGAACUCACUGUCCUCAUCGGCAAAAUGGGUUUAGGAACAGUGCUGGGGUGUCAUUGAGUGUGGGCUUGGGGCUCCCCAAAUCAGAAGCCCUAGCAGGUUAAGGACACCGUUCUGGGGCCAUCCAUACUGCUGAAUGAGACUCUCCAAAGGAGGGACUGAAGGCUUAGUGAGCUUGUUGGUUUGCUGCUCACUGAGAUGUAGAAGUCCUGGCUUUGACCUUCCAAUGUCUUAGUCCAGGUAGCAUAUGGCUACCAGGUCUGCUCUGAGUUGUUCAGCCCCUGGGAAACAGGGCCAGGAGGUCAAGGGAGAGAGGAUGAUUCUAGAGGGUCUGGAAGCCAGGCUUCUGGUAAAGCUGCCUGGUGUGGAGUAGAGCUGCCAGAGACUGAGCAGAUGGGCCAGUAGUGCUCUGUGGUAGGGUCUAGAAAUGCGGCCGGGGCUGCCCAUGGGCAACAGGUGGGUGGGGCCAGGGCAGGGACCUGUGGGCAUCCUCCAUGAUCUGGAGGUCUGUUGUGGGCAGUGCCCAAGAGGGUGCAGAUGUGGUGCUCUCUGGGGUUUCAUCUGCCUUUAACCUCGCAGCUCCUCCCCGGUGGAAGGAAGGGAAGAGCUCGGCCCCUGGGCAGGAGUGAGCAGUGUCAAGAGCUAUGGGUGCUUGCUCAGGGCUGGCUGGACAGCACACUCUCCAACCAGAUUGCCUGUGGCACCACAACCACAAGCUGCUGCCUCUGGGUACCCUGGGUACCGCAGCUCACGCUGCCCCUUUGGUGUACUGCUGACCUGUUGGUGGCAUGGGCCCGUCCCCUGGUAGGCAGAUGCCCAUGACUGGAAACCAUUUGACCCUGUUUAACCGAGGGGACUGAGGGUUCAGCUGACCAUCUGUGGUGGGUCUCUGAGGGCUCCGGGCACAGAGACCAGGAGAGUCGCAGGGGAUGGGUGAGGGCAGAGCUCGCAUCGGCAGCUCAGCCAGGAGGAGCCAGCCGUCCCUCCUCCCUGCCAGCCCACCUCCUCCCCCAGCCAAAGUUUGAUCCAAACAGAAGCAAACUUUGGGGACAGCCCUGGCUCUGCGUGGAGCCUGCGGAGCCUGCGAGUGGCAGCGAGAGCAGAGGGAGGCAGCCCCGGCAGCCUUGGCGCCUGACUCCACGGUCCUCUGUCCCCUCCCAGAGCUCCCGGUCCGCGCCCGCGUUUGCAGGCGCCUCUCUCGUCAGCUCAGAAUGCAGCUUGGGGCCCGUGGCGGCUCAACCUUUCCCUCUCCCAGAGCCCCGGUCUAAUCAACCCCUAUAAUUUAUGCAGAAAAUAUGAUUUAUAUUUAAUUUCACCACACUUGCAUUGUUAAUUUGAGAUGUAAUUAACCCGUCGCCAUGACAACUAAUUUUGUGAUGCCGUAAAUUACCGCCGUCUUUUCAUCAAAAUUCAGUUACUUUGGCUCCUGUGUGCAAUGUACUGAUGCAAUUAGGUUGCUAAGGGCAACUCAAAAGUGUUCAAUUUCUUUUGUGCAACUGCAAUGGGGUAGAAGCUCCCUUGCGUCCUCCCAGGGUCCCCCUGGCCAUGGGGCGGGGAGCCCAGGGUCCGAGGCUGCCCUAGAGGAAUGCUGCUGGAGAGCCGGGCUGGGUGGGCGCCCGUGGCCUCUGCUUCUCUGCCUCCCACCCUCUUUUCUCCAGUAAUUGUUUUUAAGCAGUGGCCCCUGGACGCAUGCUCCCUGUGCCCCCCACAGGACCUCAGGGCAGCCAAGGGGCUCUCCCCUCGCCGGCUUAGGCGCUGCCUUGCCUGGUCCUGUCCCACGUUUUGGUGCUGCGCUUAGCAAGAAGAGCACCUUGCUUUCUUCCUGUUGGUGUCUAACUUGUUUAUAUAGAUCUUCCUUCUCCCUCUCUCUGUUUCUCUCUCUCUCUCUCUUUUUUUUCUUUAUUUAAAACAAAAACCCUCUGUGUUGCUUUUGUCACGUUAAUUCCCAUUUUGCCAACACCAGGGGCCCAGGCAGACGAGUUACCAAGGAACACAAAAUUUUAAUUAGUGUAUUUUAAUCAUUCAGGCUUUCCCAGCUAAUCCACAUGCCCUAGAGAAUUCCCGAGAUGCAGCUCUGCUCUGCUUUACCAUUUAUUGUUGAGUCUAUUAUAAUUACUGUUAGCAGGUGGGGACUGGGAGAUGUUUAUUAUGAGUUUUUCAUCUUUAGUAUAAUUACCGAAAAAAACAAAAUAAAAAGAUGUCGUUGUAUUUUGUUUCCUAGAAUUUUUUUUUUUUCCAGUGGAGGGCAUGGCCGUGGGAUAUUUUUUCCCUGCCUCUUCCCAGGCAGGUGACUUGGAAUUUCAGCGCAGGAAGAAACACUCCUCAGGAUCAGGGCUGAGUGCUGCCCAGCACUCCACAGGCCCAGGAAGGUGGGCGGCUGCCACCUCUGCUUGUCAUCUGCUCAGACAGGCCCUGGGGCUGCCCCCUCCCACCGGUGUGGGGUGGCUGUGCAUCGAUGGGGGCUGAGGCGGAUAGGCCAGCUCCCAGUGUUCCUGCCUCAGCCUGGUGGCUUUGCCUGGUACGGGUCAGUCUGGGGGUCAGCCAGCGUGGACCUGUUGGAGAUCAGAACAGCACCUGUGUGACUUUAAAUGUAACUGUCGGCGUUUAUUCAGUGCUUAGUAUGUGCCAAGACCCGUGUCACGGUCUUUAGCUGCAUAAUUUCACUUAAUCCCUCAGCAGCCCUCUGAGGCAGAUACCAAUAUCAACUCUGAUUUAUAGAGCAGGAGCCAGGCUCGGGAUCACAGAGCUGAGAAGUAGCAGCAAAGGAUUCAAACCCAAGUCUGUCCCCAGAGCCCAGGUUCACGCCAACUAUACCACAUUGGCUCUUCUGAGUAGGUCUUCCAGGUCACACCAGAGAUGCGGCCUUCUCCGAAAAGCCUUCCAGGAUUGCCUGAGACUGAGUUAGGGCUCUUUAUGUCACUACAGCCUCACAGUCUCAGUGCCUGUCCCUCUGAGUUGUAGUUGCCCGGUGACUUCUUUACUGGCCUCUGAUAAUAGGGAGCAUUGAGGGUAGAGGGCUUUCUGCCAUUGUCCCUGAUGUAGCAUAUAAUGUCCCUGGCACAAAGGCAGCUCAGGAAGUUUGUGGGGCAGGUGGGCACGCUGGUUCCUGAUGGUACUGCACUAUAACCUCUGCUCGGCAGGUCACGUGUCAGGAUGCAGACAUCCCUCAAAGACACUUCUCUCGGCAGAAGCCACAGGUCUGUGGUCCUGGGUUUCCAAUUCCUGCAGGAAGGGGUACCCCGGGGUUCUAGGCCAAGUUUGGAUCCUGUCCUGGGAACUCUGGGUGUGAAAUGGGAACUCAGCUUUGGCUUCCGUUUGGCCCCCCAUGUUGGUGGUGUCCCUGGGCUUACUUUUCUUUCUCCUCUCUAAGAUUGGUUUACAGAUGUUUUCCCCAAGCCGUGAUGCUUUUGAAGUUUUCCUGGAAAAUUCCACAUCUCUGCCCUAGAGCUCGGCUAGGGGGCCGAGGGCCGUUGGUUUCCCCAGGCAGCGUGGAGCGGAAUGCUGGAGCUGCAGCCUGCCGGUGCUCCUCUCCAGCCUGGUUUCCCCCAGGGACAGUGGGAGAAGAUAAUUAGCACGUCCCUGGGAAGGGGCCCAGGGCAGGCUGCGAACUGCACACUGAUGGCAGGACUCCCUGUUCAGUGCCACAUUCUUGGGCACCCCCUUUGCCAGCUCCUCUUUAUAUUCUGAUGGAGCAGUGUGACUCACCUGCACCCCAAGCAGCUGCCCUCCCAUGGGGGUCCAGACCCUGCUCAAGUCCAAGGGCGGAGAUGGCCACUUCCCCCAGUGGUUGUUCUAAUACUUGCUGGGAGCAUCUGGCAUCGGGCCCUGCCCAAGCCUCUGCACUCCCCAGGCACAUGAUCCUACUGAGGCUGAACAUGUCUAAUGUGAAAAUACAAAAUUCCAAAUGCUCCAAAAUUUGAAACUUUUUGAGCACCAACAAAACACCACAACUGGAAUUCCACAUCUGGCCUUAUGUGACUGGUCACAGUGCAAAUGAAGAUGCACUAAAAUUAUAUAAAAUUACUUUCUGGCUGUGUGUAGGAGGUACCCAUGAAACAUGAAUGAAUUUGGUGUUCGGAUUUGGGUCGCAUCCUGAGAUACCUCAUAUGUCUGUGCAAAUAUUCCCAAAUCCCCAAAAAUUGGAAAUCAGAAAUGCUUCGGAUCCCAAGCAUUUUUUUAAAAAAAUUUUUUAGUUGUUGAUAGACCUUUAUUUUAUUUAUUUAUACAUGGUGCUGAGAAUCGAACCCAGUGCCUCACAUGUGCCAUGCUAAUGUCCUACGGCUGAGCCCCAGCCCCAGCCCCAGCCCCAGCUCUGGAUCCCAGGCAUUUUGGAUAAGGAAUACUAACCCUGCAUCAGUCACGUAGGAUAUGAAGUGGGGCCAGCGAUUUGUCCCUGAGGCGCCUCAUCCCACAUCCCCUACAUAGAUUUUCUGCUCCUACUGCUCUAAGAGAGUAGUUCUUGAAUUUGUUGGUCUUAGGACCCUGUUAUAUUCCUAAAAUAUAUUGAGGACCCCAUUUUGGUUCAUGGGAAUUUUAUUUUCCAAUAUUUAUCAGGUUAGAAAUUAAAACCAAGACAUUGUUAAAAAAACAUUUAUUAAUUCAUUUUUAAUAAUAUUAUUAAACUAUAACAAAUCCAUUACUAUGCGGAAUAUAUUUUUGUAACUGUCUUCCAGAAUAAGUGUUAGCAAGAUGAUUGGUGUUGCAUUACACUUGUGCAAGUUUCUUGGAUGUUUGACUCAAGAGAGGGUGGCUGGAUGUUCUCUUGGGUCUCUGCUUCCAGGCUCAAUCCUUUCCUUUGGGUUGUUUAGAUCAAAGGCAGUGAAGAAAACCCAGCUUCAUGUGGGCCUUGCUGGACAAGGGAGGAGGCUUUGCAUGGCUGUUGCAGACGGUUGAGCACGUUCUUCUUUGAUAUUACACCAAAACUCAACAAGUGGUUUCUCAAAGAUUUGUUGUAUCUGGUCGGUGAACCCACCCCAUCACAGUAAAACCCAGUGGGCUCAUUGGCUCUGGGAAUGACUCAUUCCCUGAUCUGAGAUUUUGUAACCUUGUAUGGGUCACUUGGAAAACACGAGUUCCCUGGGGAAUGCAGAUCUUUGGAAUGUUGAGCAUUUCAUUACAUGGCAUUUAGUGAAUCGGAGUCAUUAGUGUCACCACUGAUCUCAUCAGAAAAGCUGUUACGUGCAAGGACACUGUCUAAGUCAGAGUGACAGAUGUAAGUUCUCCAAAAGUCUUAAUUCUCCCUUGAAAUCUCAGGUUUGAUCAUUGGCCGCAGAUACUGUCCACCUUUUUCUCUUGAGGUACAGGCUUACUUUGGUCCCUUUUGAGAAAGUAGCUGCCAAAUACUCAGAUCUAAAGUAUCGCAAUGUGUCUGUCAGUGGCUCUUUCCUGGUGUUCCCUGAUGCGCCACCGUGUAAGACGAAAGACAAAGAGUCCGUUCAAGUGAAGGGGGUAGUUAAGAACCUGAACCCAAACGAUGUCGUCUUACGGUUCACACCGAGCUAAAGUAGGGAAUCUGAGAGAGAAAAAAAAAAAAAAUUAUAAAUAAAUCAACGUCCACCUGUGUUAUAGAAAUAAAGUAAAAGUGCACCAUGACUCCAAACUUGGGUCACGGAGUGUACACGAUCCGCUCGUGGGAUGGUGACUCGGUGUUGGGGUCGGGGGGAAUCUGAGAAUUUGUCUGUGUAUGAGCUCCCAGGUCUAAGGUAGUUUCAGUGGUCAAAAAAAACCGAAGUAGGCCCUGUAAAAAUUCACUUGCACCACCCCACAAAAAAACCAAAAGCUCGGUCUUCAUGCACCCCGGCCCCUACCGUCGCCGACGAGGACGUCGUCGACGUCGAGGACCAGCCCUCGACCGCGAAGGGGGGGCAGUCACGUCGCAGUGGUGCACCUCCUUCCGCGCACCGUUACACCCUACUAGUGUCUUCCGCAGGACGGAACUACCUCGACGACUUUCCCAGGACUCUCGUGUGUCUCUGGACGUCCCCUGAGAAACUCUUGGUAGUGGGAGUCGGAGACCAGACAGAGAGGGACACCCCGAGGUCGGGGCAGAAGGGGGUAGUCUUUCGGGUGUAGGAACCGGACUAGUAACCGAGUCGGGCGGAGGACCCGUAACGGGUAGACUGCGACGUCACCCCUCUCUGUCGUCCCCCUGUGUCCCAGGAAUCCCCCGUCAGACCCUCUCCCUCCCUUCGGGGACCGGACCGGUGACGUCACCUGUCUACGAGUUCAGGGCCGUGCGUUAUCUUUCUCGAACCUCCGGUAGAACGGGGGACACUCCCGACUCCGGGCAGAACGUAACCCCUGGAGUCACGGAGGUGGGACGCCACCGGGUCAAAGGGUAGUCGGUGGACGGAGGUACGACCCCCGGUACCUCGGUUCCCGUCCGGACUGGGGGAGGAGGGGCACCGGAGGGAAAGGAAGGGUGAGGGGAAGGGGGUCGACGGAGGGUCGGUGGAGGGGGUCGUACCGUCGGACAGGUUCUGUGACCCAAAACAGGGGAGCUAGGCCCGUGGGACUCUCACUCUCUUUUAUCGACAGGUCACUCACACCCCCCUCCGGAGAACAAAAGGGGAGAGUCGGCGACCAAAAGGGUUGAAAGGGUAGGGUAGAGGAUACCUUGUUUCCCGGAGACCGGGGCACACGACCCGACCCGGGUCGCUCCCCUGAGUGGUCGUUGAGAAAUAACUCAGAAGUUCGCGGCCGGUCCGUGAGGUAAUUUUUCGGUAAGGGGAAACACGACGGGCCGGGGGUCGACAGGGGGGAGAGUACACUACCAGCCAGUGUCAACAUUUUGUUGUUGUGUGUCUCAACCGUUGAUUGCUCCGAAAAAAAGUUCGGUCCCAGAGGUACCGUUGGGGGCAGUUAGUGGGGAGUCCUCGCGAAAUUGGACUGGUUCUCCCCCUUUAUUUUUUAUUUUAUUAUUAUUAUUAUUAUUAUUAUUUCUUUCUUUCUCAACCUUUCGCUCGCUCUCCGGUCAUCUGUUGACCCCUCCCUUCACUAAGUCUUUCAAAGACCCCAACCCUUGUGUCCUUUUAACUUAGUCGACCUGUCCUAACGGAGUCACUGGUCUCCCCUUCCUUCAAGUAAAAUUUAUACAAGUGUAUAUCAAACAUGUAACUUUGACUAAAAUACUUCAGAGGACUGCAGAGCAAGACACCGGGUAUUUUACUACCUUGUACAAACAGUCGUCAGCCUCGACCUCCCUCCCACCGAGGGUACCCGUGUAUUAUCACUUAUCUACCAUGGUCCCCGGGUUUGGUUCUCCACGGGUCAACUACCGGAGUUCGGUCACCCCUCUCGGUAAGUCUCGAACCGAACUCAGGUCGUCCCACAGACUCAGGAAGGUACACGCCGGGUCACGGUUACCCCUAUCGGGUGCCAUACACUACCCGUACCUCGGUUCCCCUGUGAACCCCCGGGGGUAGGAACCACGGUACAUCCCUUCCUCGUCUGGAUGGUAGUACUACACAACUUCCCCUAGUACCCCACCACCCUGGGGAGCAAGAAGUGCACGACAGUACGGUCGUCUACGGGCCAAAGACCCGUGCACCGUAACGCGGGUCCCACUCAAGUUGGAAGGAACACAACCGUACCACGGCCCCGUACCGUUCGAACUCAAGAGGGGGGUCGAGCGGGGGACUGUGAGUAUGUACGACGGACCGUCGAUCGGUCCCCGAGGUGUCCAAGGGUCCAAACACGUCGGACCCGUGCCCGACACCCGUCGGGACCGUCGACGGCGGACCGGGAAGACUGUUGAGACUAGUCCCUCCUCCUCUUCCGGUCGAAGAGUCGGUCGGAAGGGGCGAGUCGUGGGUGUUUAGAUGACACGUCUGCGAGUAAGAGGGACCCUCGCCGUUCUCCUGCCCCAAGUCAGUACCGAGGACCGUGGAACCCCUCCCAAAAGAGUAAGAACCUCAAACCCUUGGACCGAUCUCCGGGCUCACGUAGUUCCUUCCCCUAGGUUCCUUGUCUUGGAAUUCAAAGGUCUUAUAAAGUUUCUCACCCGUAGUCCAGUCACAGCCAACCCAGUGACAACCCACCACGACCUGGAGAGUCCCGGACCCCUGUUUUCCUGACCUCCUUGGAUUCAGACACUCAAACCCCACUUAACCCCCCUCCAACCUGAAAAAGAACCUGAAGUUUCGGGACGUGUCUCGACCAUGGACCUCCUCGUCUCUCGUAACACUUGCGUACCCACUAUUUCCCCUACACCGGCCUCGUGCUCCAGGGUGCCCGACGAAGGAUAUUAUACUCCCGACACCCGGCCCGAGAGUACUGUCCACCGAGUACCGAGACGUCGGGGACAAGAGGCACCGUACGACAGUGGGUCCUAGAGGGUCCCGACUGGACCUUGGUGGCGCCCGGUGAGGGAGGCAGACGGGUCGAGAGGGAGAGGAGGCGACGAGAAAGACGCCACAGGGAGAGGCGGAAGAGAACCAGGAGUCAGGAAAGGUGAGGGUACGAGACUAGUGAAGGUCUCCGUUGGAGAGUCCAGUGGACAGGGGUUGAAGAGGGAACGGGGUUGAGAUCGUCACCCUUCGGCCCACCCUCGGGGUACGGCACGGUCCAUACACUGUAGAGUCACCCAAAUGUCUUCGACUGAGUGAGAGUAAAGGAGGUUCCUUUCUCGGUCCUGUUCCCUCUGGGACCGAAGGACUCCUCGGGGACACGUCGGAGAGGACCGAGGGAAACCUCGGGACACGGUGACGACGCCCACACCAUCCCUGGGAGGUCCCUGGUCUCGUCGAAACCGUCCCGGGGCAGAAACGUAGAGGUAAGGACCCACGGGACCCUUCGAGGACGUCCUCUUCUUACGAUCGUUAGACGACCACAUCAUUCGACCGUGGCGUGGGUCCGUCCCGGUGUACCACGGUCCCGGAUCAUUUCUGCAACCGCUCCCGACGGAAGGGGCACGGACCUCAAAGGAGGUCGGCCCAACCGUACACCGGAAGUCGAGUCGGACUCCGUCGAGUUCCCGCUCCACCGGAGGAGUCGUCCGGUGUCGGGACGUGGGGACGGACGGACCCCCUGGUGUGUAGGUCAGGAGGAGGAGGACGGGGUCGCUCUCCCUGGUGUCACCACUCCUCAGACAUCGCAGAACGCCUUCCUCCUCGACUCACCCCGAUCUUCCUGUCACAGGACGCAGGACCGACACCCAGUCGUCGGGGCCUCGGUCCUCCGGACCGGAAGGUCAAGGGUCGGAGAAGAGGAGUCAUUUGCUCCUACACCCGGUUCGUAGAGAGAACAUCCCAAAGACACCGGAAGAUUAGUCCCUCGUAGGUUCUUCCUGAAGCGAGACGGACCCUGUGAUUUGUAAUCACUAACGACGACGACCACCACCACCCCCAUUCUGUCGCGGGUGGGGAUCUACCGAACUCAGGACUCGACUGAAUGGAGAACACUCAGUAUGGGGCCCAGCCUGAGUGAGUGCCCGGUGUCAGCCGACAUCCUGAUUAUCACGCCAUUAUCAUUUCCCCAUGCACCGAGGUGGAACCUCACCUUGCUCUUGCUAUUAAAGGACCUUGAGGAUGCUGCCCCCACAGAGCCCAGCCCAUCCUUCUAGAACAUUCAGCAGGUCCCUUGCUCUGGCAUCCACAGCCCUCCCCUCCCACCGCCUCUUCACUCACCUGUCCAGGAUUCCCCCCCUCCACCAGCCUCUCUGGGGUUUCCUAGCAAAAAAGGGCUUCCCAGAUCCAGCCUCUCCUCCUCCCUGCAAGCUCUCCCCCAGGCCUGACUGUGUAUUGUAACAUAGUAGCUGAAUGAACUCCGGUUUCAAAGGUUAAUAUCAAAAUCUGGAGUGGAUUACCUAAAACUUACUUACAACACCAUUAAAAUUCUGAACUCUUUUUGUUGUGGCUGUAAAUUAAUUUAAAAUGUCAGGUUUUUUGAGAAAUCCAAUAAGAAAUUGAGCCAACAGAGCAAUCUGCAAACUGUCUGGCAAAGAGGAAAGUGUGUCUCUUCAAUCGACAGGGAAAAAUAUGGAGCUUAACUGGAACCAUAUGGCUCAGUACUUGAGAGAAGUCUGCGGAAGAGGGAGGGCGGGAGGGGAGGGGGGCGCUCAGCUGACAGCCUCACGCAGGCAGCAGGCUGGCCGCGGCGUUGGCAUCAACGCUGCAGAGGGGCCUGGCAGACGCCUGGCACACGGCCUACUUGGCUGCCCAGCGUCCACGGUCACCAGGCGGCCCUGGACUGCAACUGGUCAGGGCAUGGUCUUAACACUUUCUCUCGUGUCUCUCCAGGACUCCCCGCCAACUCGGGAGUCCCACCCCCGCCCCUAGGGGACCCCAAGCCCUGUCCCUGGUGGGGAGGAGUCUGGGCAUCUAGCUUGUGCCUGCAACAGCCACCUGCGUCUGUAAGGCUGCCUCCCCCAGUCCUCUGUGGGCUCCCUCCCAGCCAACAUGUGGUCCCCAUUACUCCUGAAUUCCCCCAGAUUUACAACACAUUAAGUAAUUUGUAGGUUAUUUCAACUUCAAUCUGCUAAAGUUGAGAAAAUCAAAACUAAAUUCAAACCACAAGGAAACUUCAAAGAAAGAGGAGGAAGAGAAAACCCCCAGAGCUCCUCUCCUCCAGGUCCCGUAUGUCCCCCUUCUGUCCUGAUCUGAGGAUCCCGGCCAGCCCCCCACUGCCUGCCUUCCUCUGGGCCUCCCCUUUCCUGGCCUGCACCUCACCCAGGGCCCUCCCCUCUGUCUCUGGAUAGGCUAUGCCUCGGUUGCCCUCUGCGUGAGCAUGCGGGCGCAGGGGCUGCUGUGGGGCUCACGCUGGGAUGGGUGGGUUUGGUGUGGGGAGGGGGACAUGCCUCUCCAGCUUUCCGUAUUCUCUGCUCCCGUUCCCUGGGCCCUCACCGUUUCCGGGCUCCAGAGCCUCUCUGUUCGCUUUCCUGGCCCAUUUUGGGGGAGUCUCCACGGCUCUGUUCCGGCUCCUUCCAUGCCUGGGACAGCUGGCAGCUAGUAGGUACCACCUGGCCCCUCGGUGUACUAGCUCAGUUUACCUUAUUUUGCUUGCUACCCUUUAAAACAGCCUUGUAAAUAAGCAAACACUCGGUGCCAAGCACCUUCGGCACUUCGCCAGGCUGGUAAAUAUUUUAGUAGUGACUUGGUAACAGUUGUGUUCACUUUGAUUUCCUCGGAAAGGUUCUUGGUGCUGGGGAGGGGCCGUGGCUUGGGGAAACCAUUUGCUGGUUAUUUAUAGUCCAGCUCUGACCACGUGCCCUUUGCUCUGACCCCGUGGACUGUAUGCUGGGGUAUUUUUGAAGUUGGAGUGACAUUGGCCUCACACCCCUGCUGGCCAAGAUGUGGAGGCCUCCCCCACCUUCUCCAGGAGUGUCCGUGCAGACAGAGUUGUGGGGUCUGGGAUUUGGGAAACUAGACUUGUUCCCACCAGGAACCUGAAGAGAUCUGGGAGACUUGGGCAGCUGGGUGUGAGUUUGAGGCCAGCUCCCAGUGACAUGGUUCGGACUUGGGAAGAACCCUGAGCAGCAGGCUAAGGAGGGCUCUGGGGUUGGGGUGCUUGAUGCUUAGGUCAGAGUUGCAAUGGCCACCUAAGAUGGCCAGAGAAAAGCUGACUGUGACUGUCGCUGACUGCAGAGGCGAGUCUGGGGAGCAUGCCACAAGUGGAUGAGUUUUCUAGAGAACCCUUACUGUGGGGAAGAGGAAUGCAGGUGACAAGCCACAGAAGAUUGACAGGGGGAGCAAGCUACCAGCCAGGGCUGCUAAUAGAUGCCCUGGGGUCUGGGCCUUUCCUCCAGGCCAUGACAGGGACACCUGUAAAGUGCAAGGCCGCCCUGCCCAGUGUCAGGAAGCUGGUCUAGCCAGACCCAACUUUGCCAUGUCCAGCAAGGCACAUGCUGCCCCAGGCUGGGUACCAGGGGAAGGAAGGGCGAGGCGGAGGGGUGGCGCAGGCGUCUGGCUUUAAUAGACUGCUCUGCGCAAAGCCACUUACUCCUUUGUUUUACGGGCAGUUUUAAUGUACAGAUGGGUUAGUUUUAAAGGGAUUCGAAAUCAUGGUACAGGGAGAGCGUGGCACUGUGCCCAGCUUGCAGUGCCCCCAACCUGGGUGGUGAGUGACCACAGCUGGCCAAGAGCAAAGUCGGAGUGAUGCCCGUCUUCUCUCACUUAGCUCAGGGUGGCGGGCAGGCCAGGGGAAAGUGGGUGCCUCUGCGUUGGGUAGGAUGGGCUCGGUGUUAGGAUGAGGACCCUUGCUCUGCCCACCCACCAUCCACACAGGUGGGCGGAGCCUUCCCACGACAGCUUACAGCCAGGGCACUGUUCAGCUGACCAGCCAACCUGCUGCCACUCCCAGCCGCCUGCCCUUCCUCCCUUGGCUCCUGGCGCCAUGAUGCGCGCCUCCCGUCUGCACCCACGCACACCCUAUUGGUGCUCGGCCGCCGUGGGCGCAAGUCAGGUGAGCGGCAGACAGAGUGGCAGACCCAGCUCACCUCCUUCCCGGCGGGACUGGUGCCAGGGCUGUGCUCUUCCCGGAAGGCUUCCAAGCUCCCCCGCACGGCAUCCUGUUGAGCCUGUUUUUGGGGUGCGGGGGCAGGCCUUUUUGGGGGGAGAGUGUCUGCCCCAUGCUGCCCUGGCGCCAGCUCUUCUUGGAGGCCCAUGGUGGUGCCUGAGGGCGGCUCUGGGCUGGGGCAGGAGAUGGGGGUGUCUGAGCCGGGAGUCAAGGGAGAUGCGGCCAUCUUCUGCCAUGCUGGGGCCCCACUGUGGACAGCUGCAGAGCCCUGGGCGGGUCUGCUUUGGUGCAUGUUGCCUAGUGGCCCCUCUGUCCAGGGUUCUCCAUGAUGACCGGCAAGACCCAGAGCCUCUCUCUGUGCCCUCAGCUGGGCCCAGCACCCAGGUCAAGGCUCAGGGAACCUCAUGACUUUUUGGCCUUGCCCGCUCUGGCUCUCCAGUUUUCAGUGUUCUUAGAAUCUUGAGGACUUCUAGGGAGGUGAGAGGAAGGUAGAAGAGGCCUUUUUCUGAGCAUCCGGGACUUUCGAGAAAGAGAUCUGCCUCCCAAGGUUGAGGACCCCAGGGUCCCGAGGUCUCCCCUCCUGCUGGCCCCUGUGUGGAAAGGAGGGCUGCCUUGGAGAACUUUUGACUGCCCUUGGCCUUGGGUUUCCAGGAUGCUCUUGUACUGGUAUGAGUAUCUGGAAAUGACUUUUCUUUUCCAGUGUCCCCCCAGCCUUUGGGAAUGGGGUGCCCAUCAACACCACUCCCCUCCCCACUGUUGCUCAGGCACAGGUGAGAAAGGAAGACCCUGCAGAGCCACUCAGGGAACUAGUGGCUGUGACCUGCGCACUUCAGUGGCAGGCACUUGGGGCAGGACGAGGCACCGGUGUCUGCCCAGCCUCAGCAGUGCCUGGAAGUCUCCAGGAAUUUAGAGAUUCCCUGUGUCUUCUGAAGGAGACGAUGCUGUGCUGUGCUGUGCUGUGCCUCAGUUUCCCUAGGUGGCCUCUCAACAGCCACGAUGAUGACCUUUAGGAAAGAGAGGCAAAGGGUAGUGACUGAGAUGACCCAAAGAGGCCACCUGGGCCUGCUCCUCUUCCCUGUCAUGGGCCUGCCUCUGCUUUCGAGCUGGUGAGAUCAGGGGCAAAGAGCGAUUGGCCUCCACCAAGGCCUGAAGGUUUGCUGGGCUGAGGCCACUACAUGAGGCCCCCUCCAGCCUGCUAGGUCCCAUACAGACCAGAGCCUGCCAGGUCUCAGUUGGUGGGCCAGCGCCUAAGCAGUAAAAUACGGACUAGGAAGGAAAAGAAGGUCAGAGGCAGACGCCGUGGGCCCGGAGCCAGGCAGACCCUCCACUUCACCAAGCCCAACGCUGGGUCUGGUCGCAAGGGGGACGAGCUGGCAGGUGGCCAGUUGCCCUGUUUCUCCUUGAUGCCUGCGUGGAGGGAGUCCUGGUUUCGAGCUCCCUUCGAGCCGGGAAUGGAGGAGAGCCUAUGAAAAUGAUGAUAUGUGACAAUCAGUCACAGCAAUUAGUGUUUUGGUUAACAGGCCUUUUUUGUUUUCUCUCACCCAGACAGAAUGUCACAAAUAAAUCCUCUCCUGCAUUUGCAUAUUAAUUGGAUCGGAGACGUCAAGCAUCUUUCAUUAAAGAAAAUGAUCUGCAUAUUUGGAGACAUAAAAUAGUUAUUUUGAUGGGUUUUUUUCCCUAAGAUCAGGGGGUGGGGGAGGUAGGUGAUGGGAGCGGCAGGAUGGAGGUAGAGUGAAGGCAGAGCCAGCCCUCUGUCUGGAGUUAACCCUCUGCAGACUGGGACCGAGGGGUGAGGCUGGGCAGAAGGAUAAUUAGUCCAUAAAUAAACCAAAGAGCCAAGGGUCCCAGGCCCAGCUUGACGGCUAUGCAGAAGGGACCCUCAGCAGAGUUUGAUGCAAGGAGGUGGGUGGGCUGUGGGCCCUCAACCUUGCCCUUGAACUCCUCCUCUGAGCGCCGUCCUGCCCUGGAGUACUUCCCUGGAGCAGUGGACAGGAGGCAGAGGGCGUGGCCAGGUGCCCACCUUGUACCUUGGAGUCCCCGGCUUGUCCUGUCCAGCUCCAUGUCCCCUUCACCUUGGCCCCUGAGUCAGCUCGUUCCCCCAGCCCCUGCUCUUCCUUUCUGGUAGUGCACGCAGCUGUGCCCACUUUCUCCCCACUCUCUGACCUUGGGCUUCCUGUGCCCUUCUCGUUCUCUGCCAAUCAUCCUCCCUCUCCUCUCCCCAGAUGGAAAGUUUUCUGGGGGCAGCAGAAGUGAAGCCUGGAGUCAUUAUCACAUGUACUCGAAAUAACCCAGAAAGCUGCAGGGCCCAUAUUAGGGCAUGAGUCCCCGUGGAAAGCUGAGCGAAUGUACAGUUUUUGAUAGGCAAAUGGGACUGCCCAAGUCAUCCCUGUUCACCCUCCUGCCUACACUCUAGGCCCUUGUCAGCUGUGUUAGCCAGUGUUCUGGGUGGGCGGCAGGGAUGGCUGAUGGCUGAUCUUGGAGACAUUUCUGAGCCCUCCCAGACAACAUCUAACUCGCUUUCCAGUCUGCCAUCCCCAGCCCCAAAGCCAUGCUCUCUGGCACCUUCUCCUGGUUAGGAAGUGUUUAGGUGACGAUGAUGAUGACAAUGAUGACUGCCACUACUUUUUGCACAUGGAAAAUGUGUAGACACUUUGCUAAGUGCUUUGCACUUGUCUCCCGGCAUCCUCGCUACAGCCCUCUGAGAUGGCCAUGGUCAUUGUGCACACCUCAGAGAUAAGGAAACUCAACCUCAGAGAGGUCAGGUAGCAUGCUCAUCCGUGCCCUUCAGAGUUCAGAACUUGCAGCCAGAACUGAGCUCCACAGGGCUCAGCUGGGGGGCCUCUGAUGGAGCAACGGAGAUCUGCAGUGGUCUGGCUCCUUGUUUGAUCCCAGUCCGGUGCAAAGACACUCUGACUGUGGUGCAGAGUGUAAGGCCUGUCUGCACUGCGGCCUCUUCACCCCACUGAGAAGACAAGAACUGCUUUCCCUUGGGGACUGCGAGUGACCUUGGAUGACUUCUGUGGAGCCUUUAACCCCAGAGGUGCCUGUUCCACACUUGGUCCUUGCAUGCAGCUUUGCUUAGAAUUAAGUGCCCGGAUCUUCUAUUCUCCUCUGAUCCUUCUCACUGUGCCGGGCUCCGGGGCUCAGGCCUGGGAUUCAGCAGUACCUGAAGGCGUGGCCAGCUCUCUGGUGGAGCUAUAUACCAGCUCACCUCUGUCCCAUGGCCUGGGUGGGCCUGGGUUUCCCUUGGUAGCCUGGGGUUGAUGCUGCCUCCCCAACACCCAGAUUCUAAAUGUGUGGUGUGUGCAGCCUUAGGUCAAAACCUUGAACUUCAGGAUCCUUUCCUUUGGCUCCCUUCUUCCUCUAGCCAGGGUUCAUGAGCAGGGCGUGGCUCCCAGGUCUAAAGGGAAGGUGUGAAGUGUGGCCAGAAGGUUUUGGAUGCAAACUGAGUCAGUGUGGGUCCUGCCUUGCUGUUUUUAUGACCCGUGUGCCUCGAGCAAGUCAUCUCCCUUCUCUGAGCCUCAGUUUCCUCCUGGCUCCGACGGCUUUGCCCCAGCUCGUUCCUGGACCACCCUCUGACCCUCAGUGACUUUAGCUACAUGUGCUUUUGGCAGGGCAGGAACAGUAGCAGGGAUCUGGUGGCCCUCAAGUUUUGGGUUCUUGGAGAAGGGGCUUGAGGUGGGGUGUUUUAUGGAGUCUGGGGAGUCCUGCGGCAGCUGUAUCUGUUAAAUGCCAAGAAGCCAAGUUGGUUUAAUAUGAUUGUAGCUGCUGCUUUGAUAAAUCAAAAUAAUUAAAAAUAAUAAAUUUGAUUCCUCAACCAACAGGCUGUGUGUGGGCGCAGGGCCUGGGUUGCGGAGCUAGGGAACUGGGAGGGGACACUGGAACACAGGAAGGCCUGCCUUUGUGGGAUCAUAAAUGGGGAGGUGGACAUGAGACUGGCCUAGAGGUCAGCUCUGCAGAUCGAUAGGCGGGGAGCGUCUUUCAUGAGAAGAGUGUUGUCCAGGUUGGGCCAGAACCCUCGUGGGACCUGCCCCUGCCAGUCUCAGUGUCCUCAUCUGUCAAGUGGGGCAGUAGUCCCACCUGCCUCACAGGGCUUUGCUGAGCACGUGGAGGGUGGGUCAGACCCUUGUGAGCCUGUGUCAGGCCUUGUGGCCCCCUCAGCUCAUCUUUGCACUGCUGGGUACUGUCACCGCCUGGGGCUCACUGCAUUGCUACCCACAGCUGCCCGGGACUCUUCCUCAGCUGCCGGCUGUUGUCCCAACACAGGAUUGUUCUGUUUAUGAGGACAUCCCCUGGUGCAGGACAUUUCUAUUGAUAGCUCCCUUCUGGUUCCAGAGUUGGGUCAGGAAGCAGCAUGCCACACCCUGGGACAGUCUCUGGUUCAGGGUGCCGGCAGCUCAGACCACGGUGGGUGGGAGCUGGAAGGGUCAGCCCCCUUCUCCCCUCCCUCCCACCCCAUCCACAUCCUCAGGAGCCCUGUUUGGUGUCUGAGCUGCUGGAAAUCUGAACUGAGUGGAGGGGGAGGGCCUGGGGGGAGGGAGGGACAGGGUGUCUGUCUCUUUAAAUGCACUUUGUGUCAGUGCGAUAAGGAAUUUGAUGGCUUUAUCAGAAAUACCAAAGCUUUAUUUAGCAGGGUGAGGCUCACACCACUCGGCUCCACGCAAUCUGCAGAUAAAUAGCAAAAAAGAAAAGGAGAACGGGCCCAGCGGCUCCCCCAGCUCCCCAACACCCCACCUCGGCAGAGAAGCAAGGACAGGCCAGGGGAAAGGCGGAGGCGCCAAGUUGGGAGUUUGGAGGAUCCCCGAGUCGCUGGCAGGGUGGGGUGCGCGCAGUGGGACCCACAGGGCUUUCUGAAAGUGCUGACAGGCCGGCUUCUGCCCCUGCUCCACUGGAGGCCUUCCUAGAUUUUUCUGUUAUCAGGCACAAACUCUAGGACAGUCCUAAUUCUUCCAGAGAGAGGGCUCGCGGGAGACACGCCUCUGGCCCGUCCCUCUACCUCCAGCCCAGCCAGGUCUCUCCAGGGCAGUCCUCAGGCCCAGCCGUGGGCGAGGAGGAAAGGCUGGAUGACCGGUCAAGGAACCGCCAGGGGGCUGCCCCUCUCUGCAGCUCUGAGAAGGGGGCCCUGGCUCCACACGAUGUGGCGGAGGAAGCUGGAGAGGGCAGGGCUAGGGGCCCAUGGGACUCUGUGCUCAGGGCCGUCUCAGCCCUGGUCACAUGGGGAUGCCAGAGAAGCUGUGGCAUGGCCCUGCCUACCUGUGGCAUUCCAGGACUUUCUGUGCUUUCUGCCAGUUGGGCAGCUCUGAAGGACCCCCCACCCCCAUCCUGGCCAGUCUAGAUUUCCCUCUUUUGGAAGGUCAGCAAACCAGCAAAAUGACAUCUUUAUUCCCUUCUUCCUCCUUGAGCCUCCUCUUUGUACCCUUGUGUUUGUCUUCCUGCCCCUCCUGGGGGCCCCUCCCCAGAGAUCCAGCUUCAUGGUCAACACAGGGCAGCGGUGGCUCAGGCAUGGCAGUUCUGAAGUCCUCCCAACUCUGCCCUCCUCCCUUUGCCCUCCACCCCCAAAAGCUUUUGAUGGGAGCAAAGCAGAAUUAAGCCUGGUCCCCAUCCAGGCCUCUGCGUGCCCUCCGGGGUUCUCCUCUUCUAACCCUGGAGACCCGAGCAGGCUUGGGCAUCUGUGCUCACAGGAGAGCCUCCCGGGUGGUAGCAGGUGGGUGCUGUGGGGCAUGGAGGAUCCUCUACUCCUUCCUCAGCUGGGUGCACAGAGAUGCUUCUCCAGGCCCCACUGGCCAGCCUUUGGGCUCCUCGCCCCUUCCUGCUGGCUCCACAGUCCAGCAGAGCCAAGGCCUGAGUCCUGUGCAGACCCGGUAUACCCCGGCUUCAGGGCUGCUUCUGCCUCUUGGUAGGCAGCAGAGUUGGUUGAGGAGAGGUCUCUGCCCAAAUAGGUGUCUCCAAAAGUGGCAGAAGGACCAAGGCCUUCCAGAGCCCACAAGCUGGUCCCUCAGACAGCAAGGAGGUUGGGCAAGGACAAAGGACACUUCGGGGGUGGUUACGGGGAGUCCAGCCUUGGGCUGGCUGAAGGCCAGGUGAGCAGACUUGGAGAGUAGCUCUGGACUGAGCAUCCUCUCCCUGGAGCAGAGAGGGAGCUGAGCCCAAGCUCCCCAAAGUAAGUUAACGGCAGGGAGCCCGAGAAAGCUGGGCCAGCAGGCUGAGGGCCAGCCAGGUCAGUCUCAUAGGGAUUCCUGGGCUUUGGGGAGUGGAGCAACAGGAUUAGCCUGGCUGCUUGGGGAGGGGAAGCACGGGGCGGAGAAACAGGGGAGCUGGGGGUGGGGGGGUGGGUGCUGGCCAGGGCAGGGCAGAGGCUGGAGGAAGCUGCAGAAAGGCCGAGGCCCAGAGACAGACAGGAGGAAUAAGUGGAAGUGACAGGGUCAGGCCAGACCUUUGUCCUGCAGCCUGAUUAGAGAGUCUGCCCUGGAUUUCUGAAACUUUGGGAUGUUGUCGGACAAACUGGAGCUUAAUUCUGUCAGAGCGCUGGGGAGAUUAGAAUUGACAUCCUGGGAGCACAUUCCUGGCUGGGCAGAAAUCCAGCCCCCGCUGGGAAAAACCUGUGAAAGCAUGGCUGGCCCGUGGUGGCGGCGGGGGUGCCCCUCAGCACCGGUGGCCACUGCGGCCUCGUGGGUUGGAGCCAGGAGCCUUUGGAAGCCUGGGCUGUGUCACUGGAAAUCACAGAGGCUGGGCACGGCCACUUCUGAAUCUAAUUCCUUUUCUGGGUCCUUUCCUAGCCGCCCUGCCUGGGGCAGAGAACUACAGUUGGUUGGACCUCCAUUUCCCCAUCUUUUAAAGGGGCAAGUUCUGCCUUCCAGACAGCUCACCUAACCCAGCCUUCCUUUCCUUUGAACUUGGAGGCCUAACUCUGGGCGGGUGAUGGGGACUCUUCCCCAUGCUCAGCUGUGGCAGAGCCAGAGCCUGCUGGGAGAAGUGAGCCUUCUCUUGCUCAUCUCCCUGGUGUGGGGUGGCAGGCAGUGCCCAUCAGCACCAUGUUCCAGCUGGUGCAGGUGGAAGGCCCCUGACAUUGAACACGGUGGGUCCUUUCCAUCGGCCUCUGGAAGCCCCUUGAGAUGGGCUUGUCCCUCUCUCAAGAACUCCAGGAAACCCCCACCCAGACUAAGCAAGCUGAGGCCAGCAACGCAGGCCACGCCGCAGGGGCCUCAGGCAGGAUGGCCACCCUCAGGACAAGAGAGGGGACUGGAGGACGGGAUUGCAGGCCAAGCACCGGAGCCCCAAACGGGGCUGUUUCCGGAAGAAUUGAGUACCCCUCCCCACUUCCCUCCUGAUUCUAAUGACUUUUAAAUAUUGGUAAAUAUUUUGGCUGGUGCAGGCUCUCGUGGCAGAGAGCUAAGCUAUCUACAGUUCAGGACCUACAAAUUAUUUAUUAAAGAUCUGAGAUGCGGCGCAAUUAUGUGGAAAGGGUCCAAAAAUUAAAUAAAUAAGUAACAAAAUAAAUAAAUAACAGCCCCACUGGCCUCUUGAAGGCUUGGGGAGCUGCACACAUGAUUGUCGGCUUGAUGAAAUCCCCCCGGAUGUAAUGAGCUGAUUUUCUGCUGUUAAUAUUGCAUCUGCUGAUGAAGGAUUCGUUAGGAUAAUGGAACGAAGCUAAAAUAUAAAUGACUCCCUGUCAAGAAGCAGCUUUUGUUUGUUGAUCUCCUGACAGUUCCCGGGCCAAGGCAGGGGUUUCUGUGUGCUCACGCAUUCGGGAGCAGGCAGGAGGGCGGGGUGAGGGCCUCCGGGACCCCUGAGCACCUGGCUCCCGGUUAUCCUGGGCUUUCCCUUUGAGGUGGGACUGCCCGACCUUUGGAAGCCCUGGAGCCCUGGGGGCGGGGAAGUCAUCCGUCAGACCCAUCGGGGCCUGUUGCACUAAGAUGCUGGGCGGCUGCACAAGUUGUCUGGGGAGCCAGGCAGAGGGAUGCACACACACACGAGAAGACACGUUGCCUGUGUGUUGCGGCACUUGAGACCUGCCGUCGCGGGUACCGGCCUGGGGCCAUCGGGAGACACCCAGCCUUUCCUGGUUUCUGUUCCUUCCACCAUCAAAGAGCACAUCUUGCCCAGGCCCAGGAACACCUGGGCAGUGGUUCAGUCAGUCAGUCAGUCAGGGCUGGUGGGAAAGGACCCAUUCAAAGUGAGGGUGUUCACCUUUGCGCCCUGCCUGUCUUAGCUCACCUUUCUGCUGAGCUGCCACAUGGGCCACCCACUGUCCUCUUCCUAACAGCAUUUGUUUUUUCCUUUUUAAAAAAAUUAUAUCAUUUUUUUGGACUGGGGACGUAGCUCAGCUGGAAGAGUGCUUGCUUCACCUUCACAAGGCCCUGGGUUCAAUCCCCAGCACCACAUACAUACAAACAAAAAAAGUGAUUUCUUUUUUAUUGUGAGAAAAUGCACAGGCCAUAACAUUUCCCUGUGUGACUAUUUUAAAGUAUACAAUUCAGUGUCAUUAAAUACAUUUCCUAGAGUUGCAUGUCACUGAUACCUAGUUCCAGAACUCUUUCAUCACCCCCAACAGAAAUGGCACCCAUCACACUCCACUCUCCCCUUGCCCCAGCCCCACAACCACUAACAUGCUCUCUGUCUCCAUGGAUUUUGUCUCUGUUAGGAUAUUUCAUAUGAAUGGAGUCAGUGUGUGGCCUUUCCUGUCGGAUCUUUCACUCAGCUUGUUUUCCAGGUGUGCCUAUGUUGUAGCAUGAGCCAGGACUCUGUUCCUUUUUAUGGCUGUGUGAUACUCCAUGGUGUGGAUAAACCACAUGUUGAUCCAUUUAUCAGUUCAUGGACACUUGGGUUGUAUCCACCUUUUGGCUAUUGCAAAUAGUGUUGCCAUGAAUAUUUGUGUCCGAGUUUUUUCUUGAGUCCCUGUUUUCCCUCCUUGGGGUCUAUAGCUAGGAGUGGAUGUGUUGGAUGUCUCCCAGCUUUUAAAGACAGGGACCCUGGCAGCUGAGAGCAGGUGCUUACCAUACCAGACAUUGUGCUGAGCACUUCUUCAGUGGGGUCCUCCCAGCAGCUGGCAGUAAGUUUCGAGGCAUUGUUCAGAUCAGCUGUCACCAGCUCUGUCUUGGAUCUCUCUUACUUUUUCUUCCCUGUGCCCAGCAUGGCGUGGUGCACACAAUAUGGGCUCAAUAAACACGUGAUGAUCUCACAGAACCCGGCUGGGGGAGAGCUGGGGUCAACUUGGGGAAGGGCUGGGAGCAGUUGCUGUCACUCUGGGCAUCUGUCUGGCCACUGUGCUUGCCGGUCCAGCAGAUAUUCAGCCCUGAGUGGGCUGAGACCGGCCAGAACGCUGCUGAGCCCCUCCCAGCAUAUGGGAAAAUCUUGCUGACUCCUUGGCCAGAACUGCUUCUCAUCUUGACCUUGAAGGCCCUUACAAAGGGAGCAUACCAGGCCACCAACUCAGACCCUUCUUCCUGGGAAGGAGACCAGUACUGUCCAGAGGCACCUCUGUUGAUCGAUAGGCCCCCUGGGGAAAUGGUGGCAGUAUUUUCUCCUCCAGAGGGGUCCCAGGAGGGGCCACUGGAGGGGCCAGAGGGCACCUCUUCUCCUAGAACCUUGAGCAUCUCCCAUCAGCCUCAGAGUCCCUGGCCAUGCAUGAGAAUCAUUUGAGACAGCGUCCAGUAGGACAUAUGAAGGCUUGAGUUGGGAAGGCCCAGGACAGACUGGGAGAGUGAGAGCGCCCAGGGCCAACCUGGCCAGCAAGGUUCCUAGCUGAAGGACAGAGGGGCCAAGCUGGGUGCCUCUCUGCUUUUUUAUUUUAUGACUAUUGUUAAAAAAAAAAAAAAAUUCUUGAAGGGCUAGGGAAGGGGCCCAGUGGUAGACUGGCGAGGUCCUGUGUGCAGUGGCCAAUACCACCAACAAACCUGGAGCCAGGGCUUAAAAGAACACGUUGGCAAACCCCUUUCCUGUUCCUGAAUCCCUAGGUCCUCCUUCUUGACCCUGUGCAGACUUUUCAGGGUUCUGGACAAAUGCCCGUCAAGACUGGGCUCUCUCCAGGUGCUGGACAGACACAGCCACCUGGGCCUCCCUGCCGGGAGGUCUUGGACACCCUGCCCUCUGCGGGGACGGGCAGCUCACUCUGACUGCCGUCCCAUCCAGACCCGGCACCUGCUGGACCACGCAGAGCCCGCGGCCCCUCAUUGUCCUGCUAACCACUGUGUAAAGGUUCUGGGCGUCCUGUGACCUCUCCGUCUUGCCUGGUCACGCUGUGGAUGGCCCACUGACACACAUCCCCGGGCGGGCGGGCACUGCGCGGGCUGGGGAGGGCCUGCCUGGCCCCUGCGUGGCCUUCUCUCCCCAGCCCUCCUCCCCUUCUCUCUUUCUAUCUUUCUUUCUUUCCCCCUCUAUUUCUGCCUCCCUCCCUCUCUUUCUCUCUCUCACUCUCUCUUUUUCCCCUCUUUUAACAUGGUUUUCCUAAAAAGUUUUUUAAUCAAUCAAAUUUGAGGCAGAAAAUAGGUUUUGUCACGCCUGGUCCCGGGAUAGUGUGACUCUCACCCAGACUCCUGACAGCUCCUCAAUGCAGGGAGGGGGCCAAACAGAAUAUUUCUCCGGGAAAGUGCCCGUUUCCAUGACGCUGCCCCUUGUUGUCUGUCUGCCCCCCUCCUCAAGCUGCCACUGACAUGGCCCCAGCCCCUGUGAAAGGGCCAGGCCUGGAGAGGGGGUGUGCGAGGACGGGAGGCCGAUGGGGGCAGGGGAAGGAGCCAGCACUGGGGGGAGCCGGGCAGCCCGACAGCUGUCCUGAGCCUCCAUGGCCCCAGAGGGUUGGGAGCAGGUAGGAGAAUGGGGACAGGGGCCUGGCCUGGGCUGCAUAAUCAGAGGAGCCUCAUACAUACGGAGCUGGGCAGCCGCGGGUGAGGCUCCGAGGCCGAGCCUGGCCAGGCAUUGGCUCCCGUUGACUGCGAGGGAUGAGCCUUCUCCAGGUCCUGGUACGCUGGCCCCUGCCCUGCCCCCCCUUCACUCUCCACCAUCCUUCCUGGACCCUGGACUCCAGCACCUCUGCCCCUCCUGGCCCGGCCCACCCGGGUGCCCCACCGAGCUCCCAGGCCCCUGCUCUUCCCUCUUCCUCCUCCCCAUCUCCGUCUUUCACCCUCUCCUCUCUACUCUUCUCACUCUCUUUUAUAAUUAAUGAUUAGUUUUAAUUGGUUUGCUUAGGCCGCCUGACAGCAAAUUAACAGAAGCCAGCCCAGGGCUGCCAGGCUCGGGUGGGAGACCACUGAGCUUCCGACCGGCCAGGGGAGGCAUGAGGCAGGCUGCCCCACGCUCUCCCCUCCUGGCCCGUGGGCUGGGCGAGCUCCGCAGAGGUCAGGCAGCAGCCAGCAAGAAGAAGGCAACAUACUUCGCGCGGGAGGGCUCUCUGGGCCACCGUCCCCGGCUUUGGUUUCUGUCCUCUUCACUGUCACACACUGGGGUCAGGCAGGAGGGGGGCAGGCUGCUGCCUCUGGUCUGGGGCAGGGUGCGCUUUUGAUUCCACCAUCCUCACCUGGACCAUGGGCCAAUAGGGCUGGUAGCUUGGCACCUCUGGAGCCAAGAUCUUUCCCAUGGACAGGAGGAAGGGGCCACAAGGUUGCUGUCACCAUGAGCUUUGUUAGCUGUCCUCAACCUUCUGGUCCUUGGUUGUCUGACUCGAGUAGUUAGGAUUAAACACUGGGUGGACAGACGGACAGGUGGAUGGAUGGAGGGGUGGGCCGCUGACAGUGUGGGUACGCUGGCAUUCCUUGGGCACUUUCUGCCAUGACCCUUGAGCACGUUCCUUCCCCUUUCUAGCCUAGAAGGGUCUUGCUUAUCCUGAGCCUCCCUGAGAGUAGGCUCCCCACUCUCUGGUUUUCCCAGCUGCUCUACCUCUUCCUGGGCCUGGCAGAAUCCCUCCUGACCACACCCACUUCCUGACUCUGCUAGUCCUUGGGUAUGCCACCUACUCAUAGGGGCCAGAACAGGCAUCAGGCACAGAGAAGGGCAGACAGGAGAAGAUACUUUGGCAAGGAGAGAGAAAUGGUGCUGGGAUGCAGCUCGUGGUAGAGCGCGUGCCUAGCAUGCUCAAGGCCCUGGGUUCCAUUCCAGGCCCUGCCAAAUAAAAGAAAAGAGAAUUGAACAUGUAGUACUGGGGACUCCUCACUGCCCCCUACCCCGCCCCCCGGGGACCUAGAAUCCACCAGUGUCCCAGAUCCACCCAGAGGCAGCCUCCCUGCUGUGAUCCACCAGGCCAACUGCUUGGGGCCAGUGCAUCCUGGUCCUGGAACGUGGCAUCUCUGCCCCUCCCCCCUUCCCCCAGCCCCAACCAACUCCUAGAAAGUUUCCUGCCGAUUGUUCUGUGCGAUCAGAUCUGCAAGUUGCUCUCUAAGCUUCUUGUCACAUUUUGACUUAAUGAAGUGCAACUGCUGAGGGAUUUGGGUUCAGCGCUCCGGUCUCCGCGCUCCCUUGUUGUCAGAAAACAGGGGUGGUUGGGGACGCCAACACAGCGCUGCAAGUCGUUAUCAUUCCGGUCAGUCUGUUUAACACAAAAUUAAACAAAGAACUAAUUAGUGCCUCAUGAAUUAAUAAAUGCACAGUUGCCGGGGAGGAUGGGAGGGGAGAAAAAGGUGGUAGAAGGGAGAUACUGGAGUUGUGGAGUUGGGGGGCUUUGGGGGUCCAAGGGAGGCUGGCCGGGACGCCUUGAGAGAGCACAGGCAGAAGAGCUUGGGAUGGACAGGACAGUGAUGACACCCCAGCCAGGGCCCAGACUGACUGGCCAGGACGUGAGCUCGGCCAGCAGAGCCCACCUGGUGCCUCCUGGUGGAGGCCUGAGGUCUCCGUGCCUGGUCCUGCGGCCUGCUGUGGGGUCCUUCCACUUGGCCCAGCUAGCCUCUCCUCUGUGACUCCUCCCUUUUCCUCGCUGGGCCUCUGCUGGCCUCCUCUGCUCCCCUUUUCUCUCUGCUGCCCCCUAUCUCAUUUGCCUGCCCAGCUCUCUGCAGACCCUCAGCUCUUACCAUCUGCAUCAGAUAGGUGGGUGUUAGAAGCCUGCAGGGCGGCCCUCCACAACCACUGCAUGCCCACCACACCCUUAGUCCUCCCAGAGGCUAUACUGGCAGGGUGGGUACCCCUCUGCCCCAGCCCAGCACAGGCAGCAAACACCAGCAGAGAGCCGAGCCCUCCUUAAGAGGGCAUGUCAGGUACAAUUAGCAUUAUCUGUCUAAAUAUGUCCUGGGAACGGGAGAACGGCUGGUGGGACUGGGUGGCAUUCCGGGAGCCCUGUGCAAGGUCACCUCAUCUCCCACAAUCCCCCCAAUCUGAUUUGGGGAUUACACGGCCUAAGGAAAUUGGUGUUAUUCCUCUUGCAUCAUUGAUAAGCCACAAAUGAGGGAGAGGAAAGAAAAAAUGUAGCUAAGAGCCCACUCUCCCGAGCGGGGUUGAUGCUGAGGCCAGAGCACAGGGCCGGCUCAGCAAGGGCAGGUGGGGCCAGGUGGGUGGGCAGAGGCCUCCUUGGGUUUUCCCUCCGUGCUGGGGGUCUCUCCUGAGUGAAGCUUCUCACACUCCUGCUGUUGGCUGGAGGGCCUGAGCCUGAAGGCCAAGCUGAGUCGUGUGUUGGUUAAAGACCCUCAACAUUGUUGGGCCAUUUCUCUCUCCUUACGUGGACGUAGUUGUGGGGACUUACUGGUGGACCCCAGGUUGGGAGGUGCUAUCCGCAGCCUGUUCCUGAGGAGUUGAGGCCUCUUGGUAUACCUGCCCUGGUCCACCCUUGCCCUUUGGACACCCACUUACUCUAGCAAAAGCUUGGCAUCUGUCACUUUUAUGUUCGGGGUGGGGGGGGCAGUGUAAAGGAGAAUGCUGUGUUCUGUCGUCUCCAGGCGUCCCUUCUCAGCCACUGCAGCUCCACAGGACUGGUAGUCCCCAUAACCGGAGCCCCCCAUAACCAGAGCCCCCCAUGCCUGAUUCCCAUCUCUGCCUCUGUGAACAAGAGUGGGAAUCAUGGUCUGACUUUCCUCCCCUUGGUUAGGGCUGUCCUGAGAUCUGUAUUUCCCUGGUGAUCGGCCCUGCUGUUUUCUGAAGUUUCAGACUUUGGUUGGUAUGUGCUUAAGUGGGUCAAAAUCAGAGUCUACUCAGCAUGUCUAAAUGGCUGACCCCUGCAGCUGGCCUCAGAGCAUCAGCCCCUCAACCCACAAAGUGGCAGGGAACCCUGGGGGUACACAGAGUCUUGGAGGGCCUGCCCUGGGGAGUUGUGGAGUUCCUGACUGAAAAGGCUAAGGGGAACAUGGCAUGGUGUGUAAUCCCAGAGUCUUGGGUAUCUGAGACAGGAGGAUUGCAAGUUCAAGACCAGCCUCAGCAGCUUUGAAAGGUCCUCAGCAACUUUGAGAGACCCUGUCUCCAGAUAGAAAAGGCAGGGGAGAGGGGGAUGGGAAUGUGGCUCAUUGUCAAAGUGCCCCUGGGUUCAGUCCCCAGAACCAAAAAAAAGAAAAAAAGACUAACAGGCUCCUCUCUCUUCCUCCCCAGGAUGAAGUGACACCCCAGCAGCAUCUGAGGCACCUCUAGGACCCAUUAGGAGGUAAGGCGUGCACCUUCUCCAUGAUCCUGUGUCUUCUCUCCUGCUGGUGACCACUCGCAUGCAUGACACAUGUGUCAUCCUGAGUACCCAGGAGAAGUGGGAAAGGUGGGGGGGACAGGAAAUGGGAGCCAUGCUGCCCAUUGGAGCCUGGCAAGAAAAGAUGAGCCCCAGCAGAGCUUCUCUGAUUGGCUCUUUGGCUGGAAAUGGGCGGGGGACUCAUGCAUUGCAGACAGGGGCAAGGACUGUGCUCCAGGCAGCAUGGGACAGUGGGACUCUGGGGCCCGGGCUUGGGCUGCCGGCGGUACGUACCGUGCACCGCUCUGGCCGCCACUGCUGGCUCUCCCUGGAAGCUCUGCUGUGGCCCUGCCAGACAACCCUGUGGGCUUGAAGCCCUGGAACUCCCCCUCUGCCUGUCCCCUCCAAGGCUGGCCACCCAAUUGGCCUCCUCCUUCCUCCCAGACCACAGCACCCUGCCUUUCCACAGCCGAGGACUCCCCCUGGGCUGGGCACCUGGGGCUGCCCUGGUCUACCCAACCUUCACAGGCUGUCACAGUCCCCCGGUGGCUCGAGGAACCACAGGGCCACCGGGCCUCGGGCCCCAGGCAGUGCCGUGUCAGAGGUGACCGGUGGAACGCCAGUGUUAUGUAAAUAGCGGGGCCUGCCUGGCGGGCGAGCUGGCUGGCUGCAGCCAUCCAUCAUCUCCUCUUGGCAGGGCGGGGGGACAGACACGGCACCGUGCGCUUGGCUCCAAACCUGUUUGUUUUCCCUUUGUCUCUUGCAUUUCGGGGGCCCGGCUGCGACCGGCUCCGGGUUUUGUCCUGCUGACCCCCUCCCCUCGGGAGGACGGGGGAGGGAGGAGAGUCCCCAGGCUCCCACUGCGGCAUCCCUUUCGUACUUCAAAGGCUACCCCAGCAUUGUCUGCGCCGGCGGGCAGUGGCCCUGAAAACGUGAUCAGAGGCGGCCCGGUGUAGGGCAGGCCCGGCCCGCGCCCUGCGCUCUCGCUGGGGCCUGUGGAUUCCUCCCUUUGCCGCCAGCACCACCCUGGUUACAGCCUGCUCCCGGGUCCUCUCUGGCCUUUCUCUCCCUGCACCCCUUCUCACCCCCUUCUGGCUGCUCCUUCCUGUUCUCUCAGCCUCAGCCUCCUCUCAGGCCUUUGAGAAUCUCCACCCCUUCCUAUCAUCCCUGAGAAUCUCUAGCACAGAGAAUCGCUUCCCAGGAUGCUGGGAGCUGGAAGUUGGCUUCCUGUGCUAGGACUUGUUCUUCCCCUUCUCCUCUCCACUUCUACUCCUUUGAAAGUCCAGGUUGAACUUUGGAGCAGGCAUGCAAGUCCUGAAAGUUGGUCCCAUGAGCCUCCAUUUUCUGAAGCAGGCCUGGGCUAACUCUGGCCCCUGAGCCACGUUUGGCCCACAGUCUGUUUUUAUAAAUAAAGUUUUAUUGGAAACAGCCAUGCCCAUUCAUUUGCAUACUGCCUAUGUCUACUUUCACUCUAGAGGGGCAGAGUUGAGUGGUUACAACAAACUGUUUGGCCUACAAAGCAUAAAAUAUUUCACAUCUAGCCCUUGACAGAAAAGAUUCUGGCCUCAGCCCUGGAGGUUCUGGCUGCCGCUCUCUGUCUCUCUGUGUGUGUCUCUCUCCCUGGUAAAAUAUAUGUAACGUGAAAUCUGCCGUCGUGACGAUGUUAAGUGUACCAUUUCCUGGCAGUACAUGCAUUCACAGUGCUGUGCGCCAUCAUCAUGAGCUCAGUGAGAUUGCUCUGAGGGGCGUGGGCGUUUGUCUGGGAGCCCUAUGCUGGGGGUUGCAAGCUGUUUGCUGUCCUGGUUUCUUGGGGAGCCCCCAUCUCUUCUCUCCUUAGGGCUUCACCCUCUGCUCAGUCUUCCUGCCUAUAAGUCCCAGCCCUUCUCUCCUCAUCUGAGUUCCCUCCCAGCUCCGACUUCCAGUACCCAAGUAGCCUUUAACCUCACACCCAGUUUCCUCUUCUGCAUGGUGAGAAGAGCAUCUACUUUGCAGGGUUGUUGGGACAAGUGAGUGAGUUAUGGCUAAAAGCGGCCAGCCCAGGACCCAAUAGGUAGCAGAAGUACAUGGUUCCUCCUCCCUCCCAGAGUCUGUGUCUCCACAGUGGGCCCACAGUGGGCUCCUUGGCCUGGGUCCUUGACAGGCCUCUGGGCAAGUUCCACGGAGCUGCCCCUGCUCUGGGCACCUCUGAGUUUGAUCCCUUGAGAAGGCAUGGCUUCUGAUUCCAAUGAACCUGUGGAAGAGGAACACCCCCUGGGCAGUGUACUGCAGAUGGCCUUGUAGAUGACCUCUCUGAGUGCCAGCAUCUCGGUCUGUAAAACAGAGUCCUGACCACCAUGCUCUGCUCUUCGGACUGUGGCUAAGAAGAACCGGGUGUUUGGGGACUAGCCCUGAAGGCUGUGGCAGGUAUUGCCAGCAGGGAAACAGGCCAAGAAAGAGUCUGGGUCUGAGCUUGGUCCCAUGGGGGUCAGGCCACUGUGCUAGCUGAGAAGUCCCUGGAACUUACUUGGUGGGCAGUUAGCUGUUCUGUCCAGGGUCAUGGCCAAGGCUGUCCUGGUCCAGCACCAUGACUGUGGGCUAACCUGGGGGCCAGGCUCCAAUCCCUAGAGGAAAGGCUGGCGGAACGGGGGAGAAUGAAGUUUUACAUGUCCAGCUCCUGGGGCUGGAGCUGAGGUGCUCACUGGCUACCCUCUCCUGCUGGUUCUCCGCAGCCUCUUUUCCUGGCCUCUGUGUGGGCGCCGGCUUGGGUGCCUCUCUCCUCUCCUCCAGUCCUUCUCUGUACCCCGGGAGUUGUUCUCCCUCCCUGCCUUGCCGCCACCCCCCGCGACUCCGGCUCCCUCUCCUCUCCUCUCCUCUCCGCUCUCUCCUUUUCAUCUACUCGGAAGGCUUUACUUUACUUCCUUGUCACCCUAAUUGAUUGCAUUAACCUUUCAGCGUAUUGGAUUUCCCCGGCAUCGUGCAGAGAAGCCCUGUGCAAUAUGCUUAUAAUCUGAGCCAUAAUGGACAGUUUGCAGUCAACAAGCCCCUUCUCCCAUCGGCCCCGUUGACAUCUCUCUUGCCCAGGCCACCCUGGCCACUUCCCUGGCUGGCAGGGGUGGGGCAGUGGAAUGGGGCCGGGAGGAAGUGAACACACCCUCGGGCCCACCAGUGCGUUUCCCUGCUUCUCUUUUUCCAAGCUCCUUGGCCUGGGUCCUUGACAGGCCUCUGGUCUUUAAGAGUCCCCUUGGCUUGGCUUUCUGCUCCUGGGACUCUCUGCCUGCUGAGUGGCUGGUGGGGCCAGCGUGGAGUUGGUGAAGGCGAGGGUCCCCUGUUCCCCAGAGCAAACUGUCCCUCUGUCACUUGCCUGGGAGGCUUUGGAGAAGAAUGAUGGGGAUGACUGCAGGAGGCAGGGGGUGGCUGAGAGAUGAGAUCUUUGGCCUUGACAGGACCCUGAGUCAAUGGCAGGCCUCUGUGGGCCUCUGGCAGCUGGACCACUGCUGCAAAGGGUGUGGGGGCACAGGGGAGACAGAAGAAGGGGAUCUGUCGGAGCCGAGGGAAGAGAGAGGACCACUGCCAGGGCUGGCCGCCCCUGAGCCAGGCGGCAGCAGCUUUUCCCAGCAGCGAGGACCUAACACGUGACGCCUCAGCAGCCCUGUCUCCAGCACCAAUGUCAUGCUGUGCGACUGGGUAGUCAGUGAGACAUCUCAGGGUCUCGAUGUCCCACCAGAUGUUUAGCAGUAGCUUUGAGCAGAUCCAUCUGCCUUCAUCAGAGGAAGAGGGAUGGCGCAGCAACAGGCAGUGCACCAGCAGAGCCCUGUGUGGAGCAGUCCCACCUGGCCUGACUUGGCUCCCUCAGCUGGGCUCCUGGAUGGUACCUGCUAGCCCAGCAGUAACAGAGCAGCCUGCCCCAUGCCCACUGCCUGUCCUGGAGCUCAGCCCCAGGCCUGAGUCCCAACCCCAUCCAUCCUGGUCAGACCCUCUGUCCAGCAGCCUGGUCAGCCGAGUCGUCACUCAGGACAGGAUGGGAUGUCAGGUUGAAUACAUUAGUGUCAGGCUGGAGGAGCAGGCGGAAGCUCCCAUUAGCCCUGGUGGUACUUCCUCUCUCCCACACUGUUCUCUCCCGGCCCUUUGCCCAUCAUCUUCUCCUUCCGACCAUCCCUGCCUCCUCCCAUCACUCCAUCACUCUGAAGGGCAAGCUUUGGCAAGAGAGAGCUGGACCUCGGUCCUUCCCAUCCUCUCCCAAGGAUUUCGGGGGUAGGCAGAGGGCACAGCAGGGAGAAGCCAGGCUGCGAAUUAAAGUUUGUGAUUGUCAGUGUCAGGAGAAGCUAAAUAACCCUGUAACUAGUAUGAAGGUGAAUUCACGGUCUGCUGCACAUGGAGAAUACGAGUGUCUGCCAGACGGGCGAGUGCGCAGCCCGGGAGUCCGCCUGCCUUGGUGGGUAGCCUCCUCUCCAGGGACCCAGCGAGAGGCAGGAGGAGAGCCAUGAACUCUCCCGCCCCUGCCAGGGAGCAGCUGCCGGGGAGCCCCCACCAGGCACCCGGGGGCAGCUCAGUGGCUUGACAGCCUGCAGGCCCUGGCAGCAGCGACCUAGGGGGACGUUUGUAAGCACCAGCAGUAUACAAUCACCAACACCAUCCUCUACUGGCAAUUGCUGUGUGCUGUGUGCCCACAACUCCCAAGCAGACAGUGCUGUUGUGACUCCUGCCUUUUCUCCCCACUUUUUUAUAAGUGCUUUAUUGAAAUAUAAUUCACAUACCAUAAAAUUCACCCUUUUAAAAUGUACAAUUCAGUGGUUUUUAGUAUAUUCAUGAGGUUGGGCAUCCAUCACCACUAUCUAAUUUUAGAACAUUUUCAUCCCCCUGAAAGAAACCCCAAACUCAUCAGCUGUCACUCUCCAUCCACCCCUCCCCACAGGCCCGGGGAACCACUAGUCAUUAUUCCCUUCAGAUGCUGAGGAAAUGAAGGCUCAGAGAAGGCCAGUGACUUAGUGAAGGUUGCACAGUCAGCAUAUGAUAGAGCUGGGAGACUCCAGAGCCAGUGCUCCAGGAGGGACCAUUCCACGUCCUGGCUACCCCCACCCACACACACACACAUACACACACAUGCCCUGCCACGUGUUUCUGACAGUUUGGACUCAAACAUGUACAUGCACCAUCCAAACAUGUAGGCCCAGACAGAGACACACAUCUCUCUUCUCCCCAGAUAACUUGCGACUCCAUGCAGAAGAGCUUCACACACGUCCCCGUAAGGACGGCUGUUGUCCCUCCCCUGGAUGCUCUCCAGCUGCCCUUGCCCAGCCACACUCCUGCAAGGGAGGCUGAGCACAGAGACCAGCAGCAAUCGAGGAGCUGAGUGGCCAGAAAGACCCAGGUGGUUUUGAAGUUUUAAAAUGAGAAAUCCCCAUGGAUAAUUGUAGCUGAAAUAAAAGUGACAAAGCAACCUUCCCAAACAGGUCCCUGCCUUGGCUCGUGCCAUCGGUGAUGCUGUGCCCAGGGGGCAACCCCAGCCCUCUUCCCUGCCUCCCACCCUCUGCUUCCCUGUCUCUCCCACUCGCCUCCCUUCUGUUCUGUGUGCCUUACGCGUUUCCUUCCUGCCUGCCUCUCUCUUCUCUCACCUCACUUUCCCACCCAAAACUAAAAAGACAAAACAACAACAACAAAAAACACAAAAUUUCUGUGGCCAGGCUCUUGCAUUUACAAAAUUUGGGAAUUAAUGUGAAACCCUCACGGUUUCAGAUAAGAGAUAAACAGGAGGCCCAGAGACAAAGGGAAAAGUAGGCACGAGAGAGAGUCUGUUGCAUUUGGUUUGGGGUGUUUUUUCCUCCUUCUUCUCUCUCCCUCCAAAGCGGAGGAUCCGGCCGGGCCAGUUUGGAUAUUUAUUAAGAAAAAGCCAAAGAUAAUUAACUUUUUUGUUUUUGUUUUGUUUGCGGUGCCUCCCCUGCUGGCACUGCUGACUGCCUGGCAAAUCAAGCCUGCUCCCUGCUCCUGGGUGCUGGGCUGCCGGCAGGUCUGCCACUGACUGCCCUGAGCCUGCUGGGGCCAUUGGCUGCCCACUCAGCCACCUACCUUGGGUUUUAGACCCCAGGUCCCUUUAUGCCACCACCGUUGCCACGCCCCCAGGCUCUCCUGACUAGAAGAGCACCCUUUAGAGGUGGGUAAGUGGUAUGUGGGGGAGGGGCUACUGCUUGGGGUUGUGUCCAGUACUUCCCUUAAAGGGGGGUGGUCAGACUGAGCCUGUCCCAUGGGGAAAGGGCAUGCCCUCUGGCCAGUUCAAGUCUACUGACUUCCCAGGAGAGGGUCAGGAGAAUAGAAUGAGUUAGAAGUGCAGGGAGUGGCCAGAUUUGGGCCAAGUUGAUCCCACCCUUGUACCAGGAGGCUGGUACUCUCCCAGGAUCAGUGGCCCCUCGGGAAUGCCCAGGAGAAGACUCUGGCCCACAGAAUCACCCUGUGGUGUCUGUCCUCCUUCAGAACCAGGCUUUGUCCUGUUUCCAUUUCCCACACGGCCUAGGCUGCCAGGGGGCAUGGCACAGUGGCCAGAGAGCAGGGGCUCGGGUGAGAAGCCAGCUGCCUCUGAUCAGCUGUCCUGGAACCACGUAGAUCCCUGGUGUCAAGCUGUGGCCUGAGCCCAAGCCCAGCUUCUGGCCAAAAAGAUGCCACUGAGAGUUAGAGACCUCUUGAAGGGGGACAGAGCUGAGAUCUCAGGAGCCAGAACAGCCAGAGUGAGGAAGGCCACCACCGUGUUGUGCUGAGCUGCCUGGGACUGGGGGUGUGAUUCGCCCCAGCAGGGCCCUCCCCAGCCAGGCAAAGGGCAGCCAUUGUGAGGUCCUCUAGGUGAGGAUACUGCUUUGGAGCUGGACACAGAGAGGAGGACAUUUUUCAAGGAUUUUUCUGGCCCCCUUUUUUUUUUCUCUGAAAUAUAAGGAUGUGCAAUUUUUUUGGUUUCAAUUUAGCAUUGGAGAAUUUUAUAAUUUAGUAAUUAAAAUCUCUGAUAGGCUUUAGAAAUUGCGGCUAAUUGAAUUUAAUGGGAAGAUGAUUUUCAAUUUUAUUUGAUUACCGGGACCCCUGGCAUCGGUAUUUAUGGGAAAAAAAUGGGAAAUGUGCUGUGUGGGCUAAGAUGGCAUAAUUGAAUUAGGGAUAAUCGGAUUUCUCCGUCAUGAAUUUCACUAUAAUUUUCCUAUAAUUUUCCAUUAGAUAUCUAGUUUACAAAUAUUCACAAAGAAAUGAAGCUCUUUCGGAAUGGAGAUUGCUGGCUAACAGGAUUACAGGGCCGAGCGUGCGGCUAUGCCAGCCCCUACCCUACCAUAAUGCGAUCCCUGUGUCUGCCUUACGCUUAGCGUGGCCUCGGCCCUUCGCUCUGCCACCCACUCUGUGGCUCUUUCCUCCCCUUUGUUUCCUUUUCAUCCACAUUUGCCCCCCCCCCGCCUGACACCCACCUGUCCGUGCCCAGGCAUGGGCUCUGCUGGCUGAUGAGCCCGGGCCGUGGCCCAAGCCGUGGCACCUCUGUCCCCCCAGCUCCCCACACUUCCCAUCCACAUUCUGCUGGCUCCCCACUCUCCCAACACCCUCCCUCUAUGAGCCUGGGGAGUGCGCUCACACGCAAACACACAGACUCCCUCGCAGGUGCGAACAUGCUGGUUCACAUGCACACGCGGUCCUUUGGCCGGGGCUUUUGUGCCCUGGCCCAGUCACCUCAGAGGGAACCAGUUUAUUGGGAUCCUAGGGUGGGGUGCAGGAACAAAAGGAGCUUUGUUCAAGUUUAUGUGAAAGUUACAAAUUCAAAAUGAGAGCAGAUAAAGCAUGAGAUACCUGGUGUGUAAACAGGUCGGUGAGUGAGAAGGCCCCAGGCUCGGGAGGGAGAGAACGAGUGGGCACACUGGGGGUGCGGGAGGACAGGAGCCAGCUGGGCAGCUUGUCUGGGGAGAGCAGGUGGCUUUCCUGGGUCCUGGCAGAGCCGCUGGGUGGGAGGACUGCUGUAAAGGUUUCCACUUCACUUUUUCUCUUAGGGUGGGGUAUCUGGAGGAAGAGCUGGAGGUUUGGGGCCCAGGUUCUGGGACCAGAAAGAACUGAGGCAUUAGGUGUUGACUCCAGGCAUGAAUGUCCUUACUGUGGCCUGGUCUCAGGGUCUCAGAGGUGUAACCAUGUCAGGGUCAUCAAGGCAGAAGCAGGCCAUAGUCUCAAGAGAUGCCUCUCCCCUUGCUUUGAGCACACACACCCAGAGACAGACAGAGGGAGAAAUCUGGGGACCUCUUCAUCACGGCCUCUGACCCGUGCACAGCCUCUGACCCGUGCAUGCAGUGCCCCCACUUCUUCUCCGACCUCAGAUGCUAAAACGCCAAGGUGGCCUCAGUUUCUUGCUUCUCUGAUCUGUUCUCUUCUACCAAAGGCCCUUGCUUUUGGGAAUGGCCCUCUCCGCCUGCGGUGACUGACUAGGGCCAUUGUCUCAGCAGAUCAGACGCUCUCCAGCGGCCCAGGUCUCCCCCCACCAUAGGCGGCACAUGGCAGCCCCUCUAUCUGGCCCUGCCUGCGCCACCUCCUCCCAGCCCUCGUAGUUUGCCCUAUGAGCCAUUCCCUGCCAGUCUUAGCCCACCAGAGGACACAAAGUUACGUGAUGGCCAACCCAGUAGGCACUGCCUUGGUAACUGGAAAGAGAGAUACUUUCCUAUCCACCCAGGCACUCCUCAGGGGUCACUCCUGACCAUCGGCCAAAGCCCAGAAGGACAUUCAAAGCCAGCCAAAGGCACACAGGUCCCCUAUGCAAGGAGCUCCUGGUCUGAGCAGACAUCUUCAAAUGACCUUCCACUGUCACCAGACUUUCCCUAUACUCAGUUGCCCACCCUAGGACUGGGAUCAAUGGCCUAUUGUUAUAAGCCAAACCUGCAAGAGGGCAGAAUCCUUGCUUUGGGGUGCCCUAGGUGGCAGCACCCAGAGGUAGGUGUGUGCCCCAGAGCAUUCCUGGACACAAGGAUGCCUUCUCUGAAACCCCCAUGGGGAGCAGAGCACGUGGUCCUCCCUCACUGGUUUCUCUGGGCCUCCAGUUGAUUCUCAGGCCUGGCUUUGCGUAGCACGGGGCUUGAUUGGGUUUAGGAGUUCUGUCCCCUACUCAGGGUUUUAGGUCCAGGGGACUCUCAGUAAAGACUUUGAGCCUCUCCAGAUACUAUCUGCAUAUAGUGUUGGGGAUAGGGGGAGGUUUGUGUGACAGCUAGAAAUGGGGUUUGCCAAAGAAGUCAUCAGAGAGGGCUGUGGAAUAAAUUCAAGAUGAUACACUCUUGUGAGGCCAUUUAGAACCAAAGAAUAAUUAGGAAAAAAGAAGAAAAAUAAGGGGAAAGUAGGAGAAAGAGUAGAUUGACAUCUUUGCCCCAAGGCCUCCUCUUUGCAAAAUAUAAAUAUUGCAGAAAUAUGCCAGCGCCAUUUUGCUGAAUGCCACCUGAGAUCAGAGAGAGAGAGAGAGUGAGAAGGGCCUGUUUCCCUCCCUUCACGGAAAGGGAGUGUGGCCCCUCUGGAAAAUAGGAAAGAAGGGAAGUAGGGAGAGAGAAGGCCUGGCUUGCAAGAGGCAGAGAGCUGCGGACAGUGGGAGCAGGUCCUGAAUUAACAAAAUUGCCCUCCUGGCCCCAUAGGUAACUUGGCUUAUUAACAUACAUGGCUGCAGCAGGGACCUGGGGAGGGGGAUGGGGGGGGUGCUGAGACACUCACCAAACUCUAUGGGAGAAAAAGGAGAGUAAGGAUAGAAGUUAGUGCCCAGUUCCGCCAGAAAUGAAGUCUGGAAUGAAGUCCAGUGUCAAAGUGGUCCUGACUCCCAGGGCACAGAGGAAACAGGUGGCAGGACCCUGGCACUUUGGUUGAGGGGUGCCUGUGCUCUGUCUGGGAAUGCAAGGGGGACGCGUUGGGGAACCAGCCCAAGUGAUGGCAGAUGAGUGGAGGCGCGACCCGAGAAAAGACUGCCCGAGGGCUGGCCCAGGGGAAGUCAGGGGGCACCAGACCCAUUCGCGUCGGGCCUUGGGGCUGUGGCCCAACUGGAGGUAGGAGGAAGAAAAAGAAAGGCCCGGAGACCAGGGACCUGCGUCGCAGGGAGGGCGCCGGGACCCAUUUCAAGGGCAAAAGCAAAGCGAAGCGGCGGAAACCCCAGUGUGUCCCGGGAGCGCGGGUGCGGGGGGCCCGCGAGGCCGACGCGCGAGUUUCCCGACACUCACAGCCCCACCGCCCGGGACUCCUUUUUCCCUCGAACUCAAAGAACCACAACAAAAUGAGGGAAUCGGGGUACCAAAUGUCUUUGAUACCUCAGAAGCCCGGGGCCACCGGGCAGCGCCAAGGGGAGCGCGAAAGCGCGCGUCCCGGCGGGCGCGGUCCCGCGGCGCCUCGCACCUGCGCCCGCCCGCGCGGAAAAGUUUGCGCGGUGGCGCGAGGGGCGGGCGCGCGCGCGGGCGCGGCGGCCGUCGGAUCGCGUUCGCGGGGCCGGAGCGGCGGAGGGGAGCGUUCGUGCGCGCGCGCCGUGCCAGCGCCUCGCUCCGGCCGCGCGACAGCCCCCCCCCAACACCUCCCCCGCCCGCGCUUCACCAAGCGCAGAGUCCCCGCCUCCCUCCUCCCGAAGUCAAAGGUUUGGGGAAUCACUGAGCCAGUAAGGCCGCCCGCCCGCCCGCCAGAGUCGGUGCGCGAGAGGCGCGCACGGGGGCGAGCGCGCGGCGCGGGCGAGCGCGAGCCCAUUCACUUCAGCACCUCCGCGAGGCGGGCGGGCGGGCGGAGCGCUGAUCUUUCACCUGCCGGAGCCGCGCGGGCCCGGCGAGGAGGCGGCGCCGCGGCCGCCCUGCCAAUCACCUCGGCGCCUGGCAGCGCCCGGCCGCUCCCGCCCGCGCGCUCCCUCCUGCCAAACUGUUACCCUGAGUGUUACCGUCAGGAGCAAUGACAUCAGGGUUUUAAAACAACUUGUUAUUCGGGGAGUAAUCAGUUGCAAUUAGGCAUUAAUUAAGUAUUAUGAAAGUUGAUUAUUUAAGUGAAUUCGGCUUUCGACUCUCCGACUAUGGUGAGUACCGGGAGCGGGCCGGGGGAGGGCCGGGCCGGGCGCUCGGCGGCGACCCCCGCGGGGCGGCGGGCCUGGUCGGGGCGCAGUGGGCGCCCCUGGGCCUCGCGGGCCUCCCCCGCCAGGCCGCGUCCGCCGGCGGCUCCGCUCGAGUUGGUGAACUCGGAGCUGCCGGGCGCGCGCGGCCGGAGCGUGAGAGCGAGCGGGACGGGCUCGGAGGAAAGUUUGGCCGCUCGGCCCGCGGGCCCGGCCCGCGCCCCCGGCCCGGGAUGCGCCGCGCCAGCCGGGAGGGAGCGCGGCGGGCGGGCGGGGGCCGCGCAGGCACUAACCGAGUCUUCUCUCUCCCCUCUGCUGCCCGCGACGUUCCUCGCAGAGUUUGGGACCAAGGAGCGGAGAAUGGAUCUUGGAACAGGUACCGGCCGGUGGGAGCCCACGGGAGGCUCUUUCGCUUUUCUUUCGGUUCUUUUACGGAAGUUAUUAUUUUUAGCCCAAUCAGCUAGCAGCUGGGCCCGGGUGCGGGCCGGCGCCGAGGGUCCGGGCCGCCGCCCCUGCGCCCUGCUUUCUGGAGGGCCAUAGUGUUGUCAUUAUUUGUUACUUGCCUAGUGACUGUGACUAAUUUGAUGCUUGUCAUUAUGAAAGAACCGAGAGGACGGGGAGCUGGGGGGCACCCAGAAAGAGGAUUUAGGGGUUUUUUGUGGGGGUUUUUGAUCUCCGUGUUUUUUUUUCCCCUUUCUUUUUGGUAUGCCUCCGUAUUUUUGUUUUGUUUUGUUUUGUUUUCCUGUGUGUGUUAAAAGUAGUUUACUCCCCUCCGCAAAGAUCUCUGUGUGUCUGGCAAUGGGGUGUGUGUUUUUAUUUUUUUAGUGGGGGGUGGUUGAGUUUUUGAAAGCAGCGUCCUGUUGGGAAAGGUGGUUAGUCUGGUUUCGGGGCGACUGUCUCAAGGUAAAGGAAUUUAAUUUAUUUGGGACAAGGCUGUGUCGGAUGAUCAAGCUGCUUAUUAUGGCUAAUGAGUGUUUUUCACCUGAGAAUCUGUGGGCUGAGGCGGCUGUUAUCAGUUCAAAGUGAGGGGCCCAGGACUCUCCCAGCCCCCUUUUAGCUGGCACCCUGAAGUGGGUGAUGACCAAGCACCAGACUUAGGCCCCUGGGUCUGGAACUUGGGUUUGGCUCCAGGUAGUGAACCACUGACCUAGGCAGAGUUUGUCUUGAGAAUUCAGUGUCUUAGUGGUUGUGAUCUAAUAGUUCUUGUCCCUUGUGGGAUUCCUACCUGAGUGGGUGAGGGCUGCCCUAAUCCCCUCAGGCUUCCUUCGGACCUUCACAUCCUAGGGGGUCAAAUGCAACUCUCUUCCUCCAAAGUGUCUUAAAAGAAACAAACAGGCUGAUAACCCACUGAGCCUUUCUGUUUCAUUUAUGGAAGGAAAGGUGGUAUCAGAGUUAGUGUCAGACUUUUUGUUUGUGAUAGGCCCAAGUCCAUGACAUGGUCACUUGGCACCCAAGAGCUGACAUUCAAACGAACUCUGAGGUCAACUGGAAUAGAUAGCACUGGUGGAAGGGAUCAGGGCAGGUGACAUGGUGGUGGGCUUUGGAGCUGUGUGAGGUGGGUGGAGGGCCCUUCACAGAAUAUCUAGACUGUGUCCCAACAGGUGUGAUCUUGGCUAAUGGGCUGUGGAGGUCCUCAGGACUUCUGUGCCCAGGAAGGGUGUGAUGCCCCCUGCUGGGAAAAAUUGUGAAGGUGUCUGAGGCCAGCUGCCACCCUGCCCCUCCCUGCCUUCCACGCCCACAGAGAACCUGCUCACUCCUACCUCUAAUCAGGUGUCUCAUCACCUCCCUCUCAGGCCCCACCCCCUUCUUCGCAAAUGGGACCCCCAGCCAUCCAAGCCAAAGGGGCAGACUUCAGAGUUGGGCCAGGUGUUUCUGCAGUGGCCCCUACCUGGCCCAGGUGAGCCUCUGCAGUGGGUGGGCAUUACUCAAUUGGGAGACAGGUUCUCCUGUCUUCCUCCUUCUAACUUGGGUGCCAAGUGGAGCUGGCGCUAGUCCUCCUACCAUGCCAGUCCCACCAAGGCUGCUGUGGGGGCACCACUCCACAGAACUUAUGUGGGUGUCCUGAUGGCCUGGCAGGAGACAAGUGACAGAGCCUCCUGGGGCACCUCCCAGAGCCCUGGGGAGACUUACUUCUCCCAGCAAUCCAGGGACAGGCUCUGGAAACUUUUCCUAGAAGCCAGAGUGCCCUGGAGGUCAGCUAGAGCAGGGCACUCCCAAUGGGACCCAGGCUGGACUCUGGCCAUGCAGAGUCCAGGGUGUCAAAGUUCUGGCUGUUUCCUGGAGGAGUCAUCUGACGAUAUCAUCUCAGCCUCUUCUCUGAACUUGGAAGUUUCACUUAAUCUCAGAACUUCAGAAGAAAAAUACUUUUUCCUCACUUCACAAAAAAAGGGGAAGCAGAUAAGGACUUUGAGGUCUGUCCCUUCUGAGUCUAUAUCUGGGCCAACUCCGUGCUUCCAGACCUGAGAGCAUCCCCCUUGACCUUUGACCUCUGGGACUCACAGGGGACACUGCCUCAUCUCUGGCCAAGGCUCAUUGCUGGUGCAGUGCAGGGCUCUCUUCCUCUGAGGGCAGCAUGGACAGCUUCAGCGGAGGGCCUCCUGGCACACACAGUACAAGGCUGGAGACACGGGCCCCAAGAGUUGCCAGCACAAGCAUUGGUUCAUGGGUUAACAUCCCCUGUGGCCCAGGACACAUCCAGCCUGAAGCACUCUGACCAUAAGUAAUUCAGUGACAGGAGAAUCCAGGCUUCUCAGGAAGGGACAGCAGGACCUCAAGACCUUCAGGGGCCAUGUGGACCCCGUUCCCCCCACCAUGGUUCAGCCAAGGGCUGGAUCAAUCUGGACGUCUUUAGCAAUAAAAAAUGCCGAUGUCGUCCUAAUUCACCAGGCCCCGAGAUGACAGCAAAUUUACAUUUUUUAAUUAAACUAGCAGCCAGUUUUUAUGAGAGGGGGUUGGGUUAUGCAAAUCAAAUGGUUGUGUACGGAAGAUUAGGAGAGUUUGGGAAUAAAUUCCACAAAUGCUAAUAAAAAAAAAAAGGAAAGAGAGGGAGGGGGAGGAGAGAGAGGAAGAGAGGAGGACAUAGUUCCAUUAGGCCCUUUUAGAGUGAUUUCCCAGGGGGAGGGAGCUGGGUGGGGGAGGGGCAAGGAGGAAGCUUUCAGAUACAGGUAAACCAUUCUGCUUGGGAAGCUCCCUGGGAUUGGGCCCCCACCAGGCUGAAUCCUGGGUCUGAACACAACUGGAAGCCAGGGUGAAAGCCGCUGUGAAAGAACCACUUUGAACUUGCCCUUGAUUAUCUGAGUUAUGAGUAUAACCCCUCUCUCUCCUGAAAGUAGCUGAGGAAGGAGAGGGGCUGUCCAGUAGAGAAUCCAGAGUUGACUCUGCUGGGUAAAGGGCCCAGUAGGCAAGAGGGCAAGUUCAAAGGUAUGGCCAUGGAGCACAGGGGGAGCUAGUGAGGGGUAGCACUACCCACAAGGGGACUGUGGCUAAAACCCUAUGUUGGAGGAAGUAGUGUCACUCUCUGAGGCAGGCCCAUUUCUCCGCUGCUAGGGCUCCAGGCUGGUACCCCUUUGCUGUAUAGACAGACCCUCCUGUUGCAUAUUUGCCCAGCCUUCCACUGUGGGGAGGCCAGGAAGGGUGGGGUCAAGAGAGCCCAGACAGGUGCCUUCGUUAGCCUGGUUCUUGAAGUGGAAUUUCCUAGUAGCUACAGGCUCUGAAGACACCCAGGCUGCAGGCAGGACAAGGAAGAUUGUAGACCACCCUCCCAUGUGGUAUCUGAACCCAGGGAGCAAGGAGCUUGGCUUUACCAGCUCAGCCCAGCUACUACUGUGCCAGCCCACCUCUUGAUUCACAGAACUUUUGGACCUCUCCAAGAGUGGAAGUUUCUAGGAACCUUGCUAGCUCUGGUUACACUCUCAACCCAGCACACACCAGGGAUUGGGAAGGGUCUUGUGCUCUUUCUGUAGGAGGGAUUUCAUGCUAGCUUUGCUAGGUAGGGCAGAUUGCUCUCCAUUUUCCUUCCUCCCAUCCAUACUUGUACUUGGCCAGAUAUACCCACUCAACCAGUCUAAGCUGGGGCCAGCCCCUGCAGUCAGGUUGGGCACCGGUUUUGCCAGUCUGCUGCAGGGGGUAGGAGCUCUGGUGCCAUCUUGGCAGGAAGGAGCAUCAGAGCCAAGGACAGAAUGGGCUGUCUUGGAGUAGUAAGUUUCCUGGUACCAUUCAGACAACCUGGCUUUGCACCAGGGAGUGACGCUGGGCCUGACUUGAGCAUCAGAUGACCUUUAAGGUCUUUGGCUCUCCAACUCCCAACUUGAUUUUGUUCAGUGGGGCAGACCUGGGGAAGAGUCAUACGGACAAGGUGAGAAGCCCGUCAUUUGGACCUUCUCUAUGGCAGAAAGCAUUUGAGACAUGCAGCUCUGGGAUAGAUGGCCUUGAGCCAACCUGGACACUAGUCAUAAGACAGCAGAAUUAAGGGUAACAGGCCCAGUAUAGCUAUUCUUCUCAGAAGGCAGAGAGGGCAGGUCUAGGAAGGUCCAUAGGGGGACCCCACCCCAGGCUUUUGCUCCCUGCUAGGGACAAGCCAGGGGAACCCAGUAACUCCUCUCUAAGAAAGGCAAGGGGCCAGCUUCAGACAGUCCUCCUGCCCUCCUUGCCUUCCUGGGCUCUGCCAUGUGCCCCACCCCCACAGCCAGAGAAUCUGGCUGAGUUGCAACUUGGGUUUUUAUGAUGGAAAAAUAAAAUAAACGAAGGCACCUUUGGAGGGCUGAGUCACAGCAGCAGCAUCUCCUCAUUAAAGCUGCUGCCGUGGCUCAAGUCCCUGCCCACUGCCCAGGGCAGGGGAUUGGGUGGAGUUCAGAAGGCUUCUGGACCCUACUGCUUUUCUUCCUGGAGCCUGCCAGGUUAGUAGUGUGUCCCCACUGCUCCAUGAGCCUUGUGGGGCCACCAGCCCCAGGGCCUAGGUUUGUCUAACUCUGCCCUCCCAAUGCUGGUUUUUACACCUUGACCACCUGGUAGCUGCCACACAGCUCUUCCUCCUCCUCCUCCUGGUUUGCACCUUCAGAGAGGGAAGAAAGUUGCUCUGAAGUAAUUCCUCUCUGUGGGUCCCCAAGGCCAGGAGCAAUGCUUCUUGGGUGGGGGGGGGGCCGGGCCAGGGUCAGCAGAGUAGGAAGGGGGUGGGGAGGAGGAAGGCUGGCAGACACAGCCCUGGCAUGCAGAAGAGAGUGUCCCUCCCUGGGAGGGGUUAGCAAAGGUGGCAACCUUGUGGUCCAGCACACACCCAUUUGGCUGCCUGAUCAUAGACGGGCACCUCACCCCUGGGGCUCCCAGGAUACAUGUUCUCCAUUGAGGACGAACCCCUAGGCAGGUGUGAGGCCACAACUGAGUAAGCUCUUGGGGGCAGUGUGGGCUGGCUGAAGAGAUUUGUGACCCUGUCACAGGAACCAGGGACCCAAGAGCUAUGUGAAGGAGUGGCCUUGUGGGCCUCUGCACUACCCACAUCUGGAUGUCUUCCCAGCCUUUUCUCUGCCUUGUCCUUACCCCUCUGUGAGCAGCCCCUGCUUCCCCAUUGUUCAGCCCAGGGUUUCUGCCUUCCAGUCAGCCCUUCCUCCUCACCUUUCCUGCCCAGUGCCUUGCUAGCCUCACACCCAGUUGAUCCUGGAAAGAGAUAAAAGGGGUCUGGGGGCUCUGAGGAUCUGGUUAUUGGUAUGCCAUUCAUGUGCUGUGGUUCCCGGGAAGUCAAAGCCAAGGACCUUGUUUUCUUUUGUGAUUGCUGCCCCUAAGAGUGACCAUUAGAUGUGACCAUUAGCCACUGUGUUGACAUCUCCUCCCAGUGCUUGGUACCAGGCUGGGUCUCAUGCCUUCCCGCUGUAAGUGCUAGUGCGAUUGAUUGAUGGAUGUGCCUCUUCCCUGAGUGCCUGCCCAGCUUCUGAGUGGGGGCAGAAGGAGGAAGGCAGGAAAUGUUGGCUGAUUCCCUUGGGAGCUGGGUUUUAGCUCCUCAAGAGCUUUCUAGAGCUUGGUUUACAGGAAGAAAUAGGGCUGGGAUCAAGGAUGAUGUGAAGGGCCAAGGGGGCCUAAGGGCAGAGACAGGAGUUGUAGGGUUGGAUGGGCGCCCACAGCCGCUCUUGGCCAGGACUGUGGUGUGCAGCAGGGAGGGCCUGGGGCAGGAGGUCAGACUGCCACGCCAGGGUAUAGGAGUCUAGUAGCCAGUGGCGUCUGCACUUCUCUACCUUCUCCCUGGCCCCAUCUCUACCUUCCCCACCAUGCAACCCUCACUGGAGCAUGUCUGUCUGUCCUCUCUAGGCCAGGACCUGCCCCGACCCAAGCUGACAGACCCAAUACAGGCAGUAAGGCCCAAAAGGGGGCCAUGGGCUUAUGCUUAGCCCAUACUGCCACACGUCCACCCCAUAGUCUCGGGUUUGGGUUGCUCCUGAGCUAAAUGUGGGAUCUGCUCUUAGAAUAUCCAACGGGCCUAUCCUUUAGGGUCUCUUCCUUAUCUUCAGGCCUCAUAGGCUUUACCAGUGCCAUAGGUGCUUGGCAACUGAAACUGCUUCCUACUCUUGUUGCCAAAGCCAGGGUUCUACAGAUUGGGCACAUUCAGAUACAUCCUGUGGCUCUAAAGUCCAGGGAUUCCCAGAGGGAACCUUCUCAAGGUGCACUUUUCUAUUAGGCUUUGUCCUUGAGUUAAGGGGGCCCCUGGGAGAGAAUAUGCUGCAUGAGAGCAGGAGACUGAAGGAACCAGGCAGAGCCCCAGGUGGGGAUCCCCAAUGCAGUGGGGAGGCAGGAGCAUCCCAGCCACAGCAGGGAGAGACUGCUGGAAGUUUGUGUUACAGGGAAGUAUGUCCUCUCUGUGACCUCCAUAUUCACCUCCCUUUGACCAGUGCCUCUCUCUGUGCUGCCCCUGCAGCCCCAGAGCGCAAGGCUACGGCAAGCCAGGGGGUCCUGGUCAGCCAAAGAGGACUAAGGAGGUGCUCCACUGCCCAGCAGGGGGCGCCCCCUGUAUCUGCCCCAGGCCCUGCAAGGACACACUGUGUGGUUCCACCUGGCCUGGGCCUUCUGGCCCUUGGUGGGGGCAGGGAAGCCUACCUUCCCUACCCCCAGAGGUUCCUUGGCUGAGUUUGUUUGGCCAGGGUGACCUGUUUAAUCAUCUCAUUUUCUGGUGGCCGUUUAUUCCUCGUUUCCACGGUUACGGCCCCAUUAAGGGGAGAAGCAAUAAGGCAGCGAGUCAAACAGGUAAUAAAAACAUUAAAGCCCAUGUGCACAGAGGGAGGAUGGGGCGGGGAAGGGGGCGCAGCGAGGUGAGACGGCCCAGGGCACCGCUGCUGAGGUGAGGCCCAGCCUGGUCCCCAAGGCUGUAGGAAGACUGCUCCCAAGUCCCAGUAUUCAGCUUAGAACGUCCCCAGCCCUUGUCCCCUGGGCAACAGGCUCUACUUGAAGGUGAAAUAGGAAAGAGCAAAGAGAGGGAGAGUGACAAAAUCUCCCUGAGGACUGUCCCCAGCUGGUUGUGUGACCUGUUUCCAGGCCCCACCUUACCCUCACUGGGUGGGGUUGGGGGUGAUUUCUGACAUUGUUUGGAGCUCUAGAAUUUUUUUUUCUGCCAACUUUAUCAGAAAGCAUAUUUGUGGUGAGUGCUGCUAACAGGGCCAGUCUGGUGAGUAAAUAUUCCUUGUGUGGACGGCCCAGUGACCUUGAGAGCUGACGAGCAUGGUAGCAGGGCCAAGGGCGUGCAGGGAAAGGAUGGCCAGGUGGGGUCUAUCCCAAACAUAAGUGACACACAAUGACUUGCCUGUUGCAGAUGGGCCAGGAGCCCUUGGUGGUGCCCACAAAGGAAUUGCUGGCCAGUGCUUCUAGGGAGUCCCUUCCUCUCGUUAGUGGAAGCCGGCAUGUUACAAUGGUCAGCCUCCUGGUCAGUCCCACUGGGCACAGGGCAUGUGCCUCCCCUUAGUAUCCCCUUCUUGUGCUUCCUGGGUGUCCCAGCCCUCUGCCCUUCCCUCAAGGCUGGCCAGUAAGCAGAGCCAGUGCUGACCGAGGGGGUGUGCCAGGAAGAGUGGGGUGGGUAGGAGUGGCAGUGCCUGUGAGUACUGCCCAGGAGCAGAGGAGCAUUGCUCAGAGAGUAGAGAGGAACAAGCCUAUACUCUUAGCACCUCUGGAGGCUGAGGUAGGAGGAUUGCAGGUUCAAUGCCAGCUUCAGCAACUUAUCAAGGCCCCAAGCAACUCAAUGAGACCCUUUCUCUAAAUAGAAAAUAAAAAUAAAAAUGGCUGGGGAGUAGAGCACCCUUGAGUUAAAUCCUCAGCAUCCCCCCAUACCAAAAAAAAAAAGAGAGAGCAUGGAGAGCUGAGACCAGCUCUGGGGCCUGAAAGUGGAGGAAGGAGCCUCCUUCCUUCCUUUCUUCCAUGCUGUGAUCCCUUGCAGAUGUACAGAGGCCUGUAUCUCCAUUUAUUAAUUUCAAAGUUGAUUCUGACUCAGGAGGAGAAAGAGAAGGUAUGGGAAAUGGGGAAACCCUUUGGCUGGGGACUGUGCCUUGGGAACAGGCCUAGAUGAGUUAAUAUUCUGAUCAAACAAUUAAAAAUAGAAAACGCUCCCGAGGCACCAGCUGCUGAGGCUCUCGGCAACUGUCACCAGCGGGUUCAGGGGCAGGUGGUGCUGGAAGGAGCUUCUCUCCACAAACAGCAAAUUUCAGAGGUCACUGAGUGCCCACUGCCCUCCCAGUACUAGGGAAGGGUCUGGGGCUCCCAGUCCUCCAUGGUUCCCUCAGGGGCCUCAGUGGGGCCUGUGCAGCUUCAGGGCCGCCCUUCUCCCCUGCAGGGCUGGCCACACGGUGAAGUCAUCGCCAGAUGCCUUGGUAAUUGCUUUAAGAGUCCAACUUAAAAUAAGAUGAAAACUUAUAUUCCUGGGUGAGGAGUAAUUUCCCAUCUAAUAGUAAAUUAAUGAAGGGAUUAUAGCAGGGGGCCUGGCUGGGAGGCCACGCUCAUCUGAUAAAUCCAGGGUCUCCAGGCCUACCGGCUUUGGAGCUUGAGACUCUCACCCCUAGACCUGGCCCUGCUCCUGGGUUCUUCUUGGGCUAAACCAUGGCCUGCUCAGGUGGGAGGACACAUUCCAUGUGUGCUCCUGGUCCCUCUUAAUGGGAACCAGCUUUUAAAAUCCCCAUGGUAACUGUGGGUGGUGGGGCACACCUGUAAUCCUAGCAACUCAGGAGGCUGAGACAGGAGGGAUCACAAGUCCAAGGCCAGCCUCAGUAAUUCAGUGAGACCCUGUUUCAAAAUUUAAAAAAGGACUGGGAACAUUGCUCAGUGGUAAAGUGCCCUUGGGUUCAAUUCCCAGUACAAAAUAAUAAUAAUAACAACAACAACAAUAAAAAACAAAACCUCCCAUGGGAGAGGCUCAGAUUGGACCCUCUGUGGACAUGGGAAUGUUCCCAUCAUCAGUUCCCCUGAGGAUGGACCUUAGAAACAGAUCCUACUCAGACUCUGGUGAGAGUCUCCACUUGUCAGAACUGUGUAGUGUCAGUGUGGUGACCAGUCAUACCAUUUUGCCCAGGAUUAGAAGGACCCACAUCCUGUUAAUCUCCUCUGUCCCAGGCAAGCUGGGAAGGUUGAUCAAUCUGGUUUGGAGGGUGGAAGGUGGGCUGCUUAACAUAGUCCCUCCCUCAGGGUCCUGGAGAGACCAGGGACCUCCAGAACUAAAUAUAUUCUGUCCAGGAAGGAUGAUUUACAGCUGGCUCCUGAGACCACCGUGCCCUAACCAGGGCUCACUCCCUCUACAGGUUGUUCACUAGGGGCUUGUGCCCUGUGUGAGCUUGUGCAUGCCUCCUGAAGACCAGUGGGCCUAGAGUAGGGCUUGCAGCUGUGGUCCUUCCAUGGAGCACAGUCAGAGCGGGGCUUCUGAAGAGGAGUGCACCCCACAGCCCUCCUGCCAGCCUCCCAGAACCUUUUUUUCUGGGAGAUUGAGCUUGUGCCACACCUAAUGCUCCACUUCUCCUCACUCUCAGAGAAAGACAGGAAUUGUCCUGUUCCCAACUGGGGAGGGCAAGGAUGGGAUUCAGUGGUAGAGCUCAUGACUGGCACCAGGAGGGAGAGAGGAUGGACAGAGGAAAGGAAGACACAGGUGAGAAGUGGGAAGCCUGGAGACUGCUGGAUUUGUUCCCAAAUGCCAGGAGAUAGGCACGGUGUAGGGCUUCCCUCCCUGGGGAAAGACGGGCUUCCGGGAGGACCACACCACAUAGCAUGUUGAGUGGGGACACAGGGCUUCCAACCCUGGAUAUUUACUGUGCCACCUGCCUACAUUCUGGAUGUCCCUGGGCUCCACCAUAGUCUACCUGCCAUCCAUGGACACCUCCCUGGCCUUCCCCACGAUGUGGUAGUUGAUGCAGGUAUGCCGGGAGCUUUCAGCAGCAGAGCUCACUUUCCUGAAUCCUCCAUCCUGCUCAUCUCCUUAAAAAGGGGUGUCCCUGUCUGUAGGGGGUGGGGGAGGACACAUGGACAGCUCUUGGCUGAGGUGGAAGUGAGCAGGCUAGAUACAGGGCUCUUCAGAAGCAGUCUAAACCCAUAGUGUCUUCAGAGAUGGUCCCUGAGUGCAUUUUGUGUGAUAUAUUUCUGUGAAAGUGGAGACUGUGCAGGGAAGGAAGGUGGGACACUUCCCCUGGUUCACUGGAAGACCACUAGAGCUCAGCUCAGGAGCACGGACCCCCACGGGCCUCCCCUGGCACCACUACAGGGCUACCUUGGAAGACUCCUAGGACAUCCUUUUUUUGCAGACAGUUGUCCCUCAGUGGGACCUUAGCCUGAGGGCUUUCCUGAGUUUCCCCUGGCCUCUGUUCGGGUGGAUCUCAGAGAGGAUCCAGCUUCCUCCCCAGAGUGGACCACGCUGAUCUCUGAGGUGGGGAGUAGCCCGUGCUCUUGUAGAGACAGGUGCUGCCUGAGUGGCCUGUCUCCCUCCACUCCACACCUAGAGGAAGGAGUUAUGGAGCAGUGGGGCUGAGAAUUCCUAGUCUAAACAACCCGGGGAAAUGUGCUCAGGGAGGGAGCCACGCCAGAGCCACAGAUGGCUUGAUCCGGAUGGAUCAUGGAUCGUAAGGGGGAGGGGGGUGGCUUUGAACAGUGGAUGUUGUGUGGCAGUUGCUGUUCAAGCAGACAGAUUGGUGAAUUCCAGGCUGCGGGGAUCUGAGCGGUCCCUUCUUUAUCUUCUCUUACCCUCAGGCUCAGGAAGUGGGUGCUAUGGGCAGGAGAUGGGCAGUGGCCUGGGGGCUCCCAGGCCAAGCACCCAUCGCAGGCCAGCCAAGUCACCAUCCACAAUACCAUGUGGGCCCCUCCUCGGCCUGCCUGAUAGGAAGGGUCGGUCCCUUUGGGGCUCCUCAGGAGACCUUGUGGAGCAGAGGCCGCUUCUCUCUCAGGAGCCCUAGCAGGUCCAAGAGCCCUGAGAAGGAACUAGGGAUGUUUUCUGUUUCCGGGUCCCUCAGGGGCCCAGGGGCAGAUUGAGACAGGCUCCUUGCAGGGAAGGUGUUAACAAACAGCAGGUGAUUAAACAUGACAAGCGGUGACAUUUCUGUUCAGGGUUCUCAGUCCCGGCAAAGCCAAGAAUGAAGCUAUAAACCCUGACAUUUUGUGUUAUGCACUGAGAGAUUUUUAAUAGACCUCGUUCCCUCUUCCCCAGUCAGCCUCUCCCUCCUUCAGCUCCUUCACUGUGCCCACUGCUCCAGUAGCACCCUGCCACCCUGUCCACCUGGCCUCCAGGGCCCUUUCUGCCUCCCCACCCCCCAUUUUCUUCCCUCAUCCUCAGACCCCUUUGCACCUGCAGGGCCUGGUGGACACUGCCCUCUGCCCCCUCCUUUUCUUCCAUCCGUCCUGUGGCCCCUUCUGUCUCCCCCUCGCCUCCCCUCCUCUCAUCCUUCAUUCUCUCACCUCCUUUUUUUGGGUCCUGAUCUCAGCCUCUCCCUUAGCUGCGGCUGUCCCAGUUGUCUGGGACAGCAGGUGGCUAUCCUUGUGCCCUCUUUGUGCUCAUAAGAUUUCCAGACAGACUUAAGAGCGGGUGUAGGGAGACUAUGGGGCUUGGUGUGGGAUUUUCCCCCAUCUUUUUUUCAAUCCCCUUUUCUCCUUUUUGGGACAAGGAAGGAGGUGGGGGGAAAGAAUUACACUUCAUAGCAAACAGUUGCUGGAUUUAUUCGGAAAGGGACUGGCAGCAACAGUUGUCCCUCUCACAGAGCAAUGUCAGAACAACUGGGGCCUCCUUUGUUUUCUGGGAAGAGCCCUGUGAAGGGCGUUUGGAGGUGAGCCUGGGGCUCAAGAGGGCAAGAAACCUAUGGGGGUGGUUUCAGCUCUGUUGCACCCAGGUGCCUCCAUCCUGGCAGAUAGAAAAGGAUCCUAGAGGUCUGAGGGUUUUGGUGAAGUCAGGCCACACCCUGGGUCUCCUCUCUGCCUAGUGAACUUGAGAAGCACUUAGUUUUCUGUAUUCAUUCAGUAAAUAUUUACUGGGCCAGACGCUGUGCUGAGCAGUGGUCCGCCCCACAGCUCCAGCAGCCAGCAGCGUAGCAAGGUAGAGGGGUGAUGAGGCGGGUCACCGCAGACCUACAGCAAGAAGACGGAGGGGUGAUCCAGAGGGCUUCUCAGUGGAAGUGACAUUACAGCUGGGACCCCUGAAGGAUGCAUGGUAGAUGGGUAGCCAGUCUGCCCAGAGCUGAGUGGCAGUGUGCUGAGGUCUGGGGGUUUCUGCUGCUCCUCAAGUGCCACCUGGCAUGGAGUCAGUCUGGGCUGUGCCACCCCACAGUGGGUGUGCCCUUUGAUCUCUGUAUAACUGACUCCGAAUUUGCUAUUCCAUCCACCUUCCACCAGACAUGUGGGUGGGUAAAAUGGGAAUGAGGCUCAGCCCUGCCUUCAUGGAAGGAAAGUACCCAUGACAGGGGCUGCCGCCUGUUGUACCUCCUAGUCCCCUUGCUGAUGACUCACAGGGUAUAGGCCUGUGUGGAGGGCAUGGGGGAGGAGCAGGAGCCAGGAGACCUGCCCUCCUCACCCCUCACUGAUGCCCUCACCUCACUUCCCUCUCUGCUCGCAGUGGUAUGUGAGACACUGCUGCUGAGUAUCGUUCUUUUUAGACUCUGGGCUCCUUGAGACACAGGGCCAGAGGAGGCAGUUCUACUAGGUACUCAGGAUGUAGUGGAGAACCUCCACCAAGCCAGGAGAAGGAUUGAGUUAACCUAUGAAAGCAGGACCAUGAGGACUGUGGGCCUGCAACCGACCCAUGGGCCUCUAGUGGCCAGGAAGAAAGGCCAGAGGCCCACAUUCAGUUCAUCAUCCAUUCUGAACUGGCCUCACACCCAGCACCAUUCAGCCACAGAGCAGCUGGAGGGGUCUCAAUGAGCCUUUAGAACCUCUCCCCCAUCUUGCUCAGCCUUUGCCCAGGGGUUCAGGCCCAGCAUACCCUACCUCCACACUGGCUCCCCGAGGAGGACCAGUUUGGCUGCUGGACCCAGGAGUAGCAUAAAGGGGCCAGCAUAGAUUUCAGCCAUGAUUCCUCCUCAUCCCAAUUCCAGCCCCUACCUUUCUACCCUUUUGGCCUGAGUUAAUGCCAAUGCCAUCCCUUGUCACCCACUUCCCAAAGACUAGCUGGACCUCCUGUAGGGCUGAGAGACUCAGCCUUCCUCCACUCACUUGGAAGCUGGGCUGGGGGUGGGUGUAAAGGGAGGAGAAGGGAGUCCCAGAGCCAGGACUUGGCCUGCUGCCCCUGUAGAUCCAGAGCCAGGUUUUACUGUAAUCCCUACAUCCUGUUGCAGAUCCUUAAUCAGCUGGAGCCCAGGUUGGGCUGGACCCUGUGGUGACACUCAGGGCUGUAGUGUGGAAAACCUGAAGUGGAGCUUCUAGAGUUGGGGUUGGCUGUGAGGUUGAGGCUGGUGGAGGGGAGCAGAAGGGAGCCAGUUCGGGCACAGGAUGUGGACAGAGCCCAGACCCACCACCUACCCAGCCUGGACUGGGUGGAGGAGCAGCUGUUACAGACUGGGAGCCAGGCUACAGUGGGGCAUGUGGGGCCCCCGAAAGGACACCAGAGUCUGUAGGGACUGCUGCACUGCUUCAUCACUCCAUCGAGACAGCUGACGUGAGAGUUGCUCAGACAGUGGCUCCAGCCAGAAACCUGGGUGACGGUGGUUCCAGGGUUUAUACCCACAGGUACUUCAAGUCCUCAUCAGGCUACAAGUACCUAUCCUGCUGGAGCCCUGCUUCCUGAGUAGGGGUGGGGAAGAGGGCCCAAGAGACCUAUCCUGGGUUUGGGCAGCCAGGGCUUGAGGCUCUCUCCAGGAGGCAGGGGUCCCUUAGCAGGGAAGGGAGACCCCAGGAUCACUCUUCCUUUUGCCACAAGCAACUGACCCCGGACAAGAGCUCCAUAUCCCAUCUGACCCCUUAGUUCAGCCCAACUCUGUAGUCCCUGCGUGAAUCUUAGGAAAGAGUUAGGGGACAGAGGGAGAAGACCCCACCUGGACCCCAACUCCUCUCAGCCCAAGAUGCAGUGGUGGAGGAGAAUGAGGGAGAAUGCAUAGUCCAGAGAGCCAGCACAGAAGCCAGGAGUGGGCUGGCUGGCAGCGGGUGGGCAGACGGGCGUCUGUCCUGCCAGGGGCCCAGGCUGGCUCUGCAGACAGCCUCUUUUCUAUAUGGAAAUGAAGAAUUUAGGCUAAUGGAGCUCAACCAUCUCUAAUUUUGCGAUGGCAGGAGGAUUUUGAUUGAAAGUAAUUAAGCAAGCUAGCUGUAAAAUUAAUUAAAGCAAAAGGGGGGGAUUUUUUAUUGGAUUGGAUAGCGAUAUAGCGUCUGUCAGGCGGGGGACGGAUGGGGGUGACCUGAAUCCUCUGCCCUCCCCCCUCCCACUCGGGACGUUUAUGUCACUUUAAUCUCCUUACAGCGGCUGCUGUGCAUUUGUUUGAAAUAAUCAAGGAAAUAUGGUCAGAAAUUGUCAGCUUUCAGAUCUAAUUUACCUGACGGCCCCUGCGCGAGCUGGCGCGGCCUGGGGAGUGAGCGUGCGUGAGCGGGUGGGGGAGCUGAGUGGGCUCUGAGCACGCUGGAGCCGCAGCCCAUGACCAGCCCGGGCUCCCUCCAAAGGGGCAGGAAGGUGCUGCCCAGCCUGUCGGCACCUCCCUGGGCUUUGCCCCUUUCUGGAACAGACUCCCACCCCCACCCACCUGCUGCCUCUUCCUCACACUGUAACCAGCUUUAGGGUUUAGGGAAUAUAGGAUUAGGGAGGUGAUUGUAAUUCCUUAUUCCAGAUGGCUGACAACUGCUAAACCCCUCCACCAGGGCCACAGUUUUAAAAAUACUCCUAAAUUAGUCCCCUCAUGUCCUCAUCAUUGGCCUCAGCAAGGGGAUUGAGGAGAUGGGCUGGAGGGAGGGCGGGGUGACCUGUCAUCCCCAGGUCCUCUGCCACAUGCUGCACCACCCCCCCACACCUGGGGCUGUGCUUACUGCCUGGGCCUCUCUGCCCCAGGUCCUUCCCCGACUUCUAGGGUAAUGCUUGCCCUGUUUCCUCUUUGUAGCACACUCAUGAAAUCUGGGGUCUCAGUUCCUGCAAGAAGAAGGCCACUUCCCAGUGCCACAAGGUCCUACCCAUUUCCAGUGGAUAAACCAGGCCACAGAGCCGCUUUCCUUGGGGUAUCUGACUUCCAGUCCCUGCACCCCAGAAGUUCUGGUUCAGAGCUCUUGGAGUCCCUGCCCAGGUGGGCCAGUAUGCAGCCCUCCCCAGCAGGGAACCCUUGAGAUGUCUGGGGUCCAAGGGCCCUGGAGCAGUCUCUGAGGCUAUGAAAAAUUCCGGCUUAAAUGGAAAUGUGUAGCAGUCUGAUCUGCUGGGCGUGAGAGGCCUCCCAGUGAGAAUUGGGUCCCUGAAUCUGUCUAAUGCUGACCAGUGAGUGACCCCAGCCUUCACCAGACCUGUCCAUCACCCUUCCAGUUCUGAAGUUCUGUAUAGGUCUAGGACAGCCUCUGCCCUGGUAGCUGUUCCCUUAUACAGUCAGUUCAUGGGACCUGAGGGCAGGCUGCCUUUGGGGCUUGCACACACCCCUGGGACAGGGGAGAAGGCUGGGGAUUGAUGAUGGUAAGCAGCCAGCUUCCCAUUUGCCCACUGGAGAGCAUACCCACUAGAGGCCUCCAUCCCCACCUGCCCUCCUCGGUACCACCCAAACACCCUCUGCCUUGUCCUCCACUUUUGCCCUUGAGGGAAUCCCCCCCCCCCGUCCCCAGCCCACUGUGGGACAGGGUGACUCAGGCUGCCUCCUCCGGCAGCAGUGAGGGAGUGUGAGCUCCUGUCUGUCCUUCCAGCCUCACCCUCAGCACAGCAGCUGGAGGCAGGGGAAGCAACACCUGCCUGCUCCUUGGGCUCUUUCAUCCGCAACCUCCUCUCUCCCUAACCAUGAGUCACUCACUGUUGGGGUUAGGGGAUGCAGCCCCAGAGAACUCUACCCAAAAAAGAGGGAGGAAAAGCUACCUCAGGGGAUAGUUGCAUGUACCCCAAGGCCAGGGGGCACUGAGGUCUGUGGGGCCCUGCUGUACUCCCCUGCUCCCUGUGCCCACAAGUGCCUAGGCCAUAGGCAGCAGCAUGAGGACCAUAGGGACUCAGCCAGAGACACUGCCUUUUGUUCCCAUUAACUACCCAGGACCCAGAUCCCAGGAGACAGGAGAUUAGAGGGAGUGGUUUCAGCUCAGCCUCUCACCUCCAUGUGUGGCUCACAGCUGCUUUACCUGUGCUGCUGGGACAUAGAGGGACCAGCUGGGGGCCUGCACCAGGGCAAGGAGCUUAUUUCUGGCUUGCUCUGGUAGGUGCUGAGGUAGAGGGAGACUCCUGCAGAAGGGACCCCAAAGCAGGCUUUGGCAUGGGGGAGAGGGGGAAGCCCAAGGGGAGAAGGGGCCUCCUCAUGUCCUCCUAGUGUCCCCAAGACCACCCUCUGCCCCAGAGAGAAGAGCAUGAGUUGGAAAUGCUCUACUGAAAUCCACUUCUUGGAAUCAGCCCCCAUGGUGAGGAGAGAAACUGAUUCUGCAGUGGCUCCUUGGAGAGGAGCAACAGGGAUGGCAGUGACAGACAGAACUGGCCACCGGCCCUCGGGUGUGAGUCAGAGGACAGCCCUGGGAGGGCACAUGGGAGCCUAGGAGGCUGGGAGAGGGGAGAAGUAAGAGGGUAACUUGGGGGCCUGGGGAUCAAAGGCUAGCUCAGCAGUGCCUUUCUGUCCUCUGGCUGGCAUGAGAUGGUUCCUACCCCUGAGAUAACAUGUGGUGGCCUCCCUGUUGUCCCUUGUUCCUUAGCUCCUAAGCCUUUGAGGAAAAAACAUACUGGCCUCCCUUUCCCAGGACCUGUCCCUGGCCGACAUGUCUCUGCCUUCCCCCAGAGCCAGGGUUCUGGGCCUCUGGAGCGGAACGUGGGGGGAGAAAAGGCAAGGCCAAGGACAACCUGCCUGGCCCUGCCAACCCCCAGGCCCUGCCAACCCCCAGGCCCAGCUCCCUGAAAAGCUUGAGGACUGGGGACUUCCCCUGGCGGAGGGGGCGGGGGGCAGUCCAUCUGGCCUGGCUAGGGGUUCUUUCUCCCUUUAGGUGGGCCUGAGGGUUGGCUGGUCUCCCUCUCUCAGGUCAGGGGAAGGCAGGCCUUCCUGAGUCCUCAUUCAUACUUAACGAGGACCAGUGGCUUCAGGAGAGUUCUCAGUGUGCCCUGGCCACAGGGGCUAGGGGUAGGGGAGGCACCUGCCCCACUGGAGGAGGAACCCAGAGUAGCAGGUGUCCAGCCUCAAGAGUCAACUGCAGGGUCUUCUAAUGACAGUGUGAACAGAGAGAACAUCUGAUAUAGCUGGGGACCUGACUCCUCCUUCAGCCAGGUCCGUGCCCAGAGUUGGCAUGAUGUGACUGAGGCCCUGGGCUCCCGGAAGUGCCUGUGACCAGGCCGGGCUUGGCAGUCACUCUUCAGUCUCGUGAAGCCUCCCCACCAAGUCUGGUGGAUUCCCUGCUCUGUAGACUUCUCCCCUGCCCACACUGGGCCCACCUGCCACCCCAGACCCCUCAUCGCUUCCUUCCAGUCUGGCCUCUGUUUCUCGCCUUUUGGGUCUCAAGUCUCACUGCCCCAACCAUGGCCCGUCCUCCGUCCCCCCUGGCUUCACAGUCACAUUUUGCUGCCAGCGCAGGGCACUGAAAAACUGCUGGCACUGCCAAAAACCCUGUGUGCGCUAUGACUCCCCAAACAUCCCUUUAUUUUUAUUGUUCUGUUAAUUACUGUUUAAACUUUAAUAAGUCACUUCGUCAGGAGGGGGGACCUGCCGUGAGCUUUUCUGUGCAAACACGGGCCGGGAGUGACUCGGGUGUAAUAUAACCCUUUAUGCGAUGUGGGAAUGUUUAGAUUGUAACAGAAACUUGUUAUUUUAAUGACAGUUGGGGGGAUCUGAGCGUGGUAAGGGAGGAGGGGUGGCGUUCCCUGUCAACCCCUCGGAGGGCUUGGGGUGGCCUGGCCCUGCCAGGGUUGCCCUCUGCCACGGCAGAGGGCCCAGCUAGCUGUGCACCCUCCUGGGCUGCCCACUCAGCCCCCUGGGCAGACUUGUGUAGAGCGGUGCCUUCCGAGGGAGGCCCAGGGCCUGGGGCAGGAGAGCCUGGGCUGGGCAGCUUGGGUGGGUGAGGGCCUGAGGAGAAAGUUGGGCUUUCAGGGAUGAGGAAGCAGGAGGCCCCGGGCAGUUCUCUAGUCCCUGGGCAGAAGCAGGCAGGGUUGCGAGAGGCUGGACUCCACACCUAGCCAUUCCUGACUCUGCCCAAGAGUCAGUGGAAGGUGCCCUGUGCUCUGCAGCUCUGUGCCAGACCUGUCACUCACAGCAUCCCUUUGACAUACUGUUGCAGAUGGGACACUGAGGUCCAGUGCAGAGAAACUUGGUUAAAGUGGCAAGCUUUAAGAGGAUGGCAAAUCUCAGGUAUUGAUUUGUUUUAUUUGGAAGCCACCAAAGCCCAGGUGCCCCAGUGUGGUCUCGGGCUGGACACUAUCCCACAGUGGAAGGGCAUGGAGGGGCACAAGUCCUUGUCAGCCAUGGAGGGGCUUGGGCAAGGCUCACCCUCCAUUCUCCCCUCACUCCCACCAGGAGGAGGAACUGGAAGAUGAGGUGGGGUGCCCUGGUCACCAUCUGCACUCUUUCCCUCUCCCAGGAAGCAGGAGCUCGGCCCAGGGCAGGGCAAUGGCAGCAGAUACCCUGAUUCUCCUCCCAGCAGUCCAGACCUGCUUCCAGCAGACACCUGGAAGGGACCCCUUGCCCCCAGUGUUCGUGAGGCUUCUACCAGGACCUCAGGUCACCUCAGGGUCUGUUUUCCUGCUUUGUCUUCAUUUGGUCUGUCUGUCCUGUGUAGCCAAGCCUCUGCUGUAUUCCAGACACUGGAGUGAUAUAAAAGAAGGAGCCCUGUGCUCACCCUGAGGGCCUGUGACCUGCUGCUGUUAAUAAAGAGAUUUCAGGGGUCUUGGGGAAGGGCAAAAUCGAGGGGCCCCGCCUCUGUCCAAGGCCUGCCCCGUCCAGUCUAGCCAUAGAGAAAGACCCUUGCACUCUGGGCUCUCCUGCACCUUUCUACUGCCUCCCACUGAGGGCACCACAUGGAAGCUGGCCCUGCCCUGUCCCCCACCUCCUGCUGGGCGGGGCCAGAGGUUCAGGGCCUUGUGCCCUGGGUCUGGAGGGGAGCCCCCAGAUGGUGGUGGCAGCUCGGGCCACGAAUCGCUGAGGUUUUCCUUUUCUGAGCAGUGCGUUUCCCUAAAUUGUCUUUGACUGCGUGCAUGGGUAAUGAAAGUUUAUGCCCUUGUUAGAAGGACAGGCGGCCAGUUCCAGUUAGAACUGGGGCUGUCUCCCUGCCAGGCCGGCAGCCCCCUCCCCAGCAGGAAAGAGCAGGAGGGCAGGGUGUAUGUGUGUGUGUGCGCGCGCACGCACACACACACACAGACACACGCACGCGCGCUUGCGCUCGCACACACUUGCAUACCCCUCCCCAGUGAAUAAGAAGCCUGUUAAGGGAAGGGAAGGGAGAGAGGACGGAAAAAAAGAAAAAAAUUUCCAUAUUUGUGUAAGUUGCUUUAAAAGCAUUUUAUCAUGUCAUAAAAAAGGGAAAGUACUCUCAGAAAUUGAUCCUCUCCGCCAGCCCAUUGGACAGAAGGACGUUGGGAUGUUAAUGGCCAUCCUGCUCCAGGGUGGCUUAUUAAAAAAUUUAUACAUAAAUGCUUAAAAUUGCAUAAAUUAUUUAAAAAAAACCAACAAAGUAAGCAAUUUGAAUUCCCUCUUUUCCUCCCCUUCACUCCGUCCCCCCUUUUCCAGCCUCUCCUCAGGGCUCUCCUGGUCCCCGGGCUCUGGUCCCCUCCUUGGGGCAGUCCCCCUCUUUUCUCCACUUCCUGCUGCGCCCCUGACGCCCGCCGUCUGCCCUGCCCUCCUCCGGGGUUUCCCUGCCUCACCCACAAAUUAAUGAAACAGCCAGCCCACCACCAAACGCUCACACGCACACGCGCUAAUAAAAACACCACUAAUAAUGCCCCAAAUCGCAAAAUUAAAUAUUAAGGCCAAAGGAGGCGGACGUGGAGCGGAGCUGCCGCCACCGUUGCCGAAGUUGGAGCUGAUGAGUGUGUCUCUCGCAGGCGUGGAAUGUCACCCACACAUCCUGGAGACUGGAGUGGGGAGUUUUAUGAUGGUUUUUCAUUGAUUUGUUUCCCCAGCGCAGCUGCCGACCUCUAUUGAGGGACAAACAUAAUCAGCACUGACGCAAAUUAGAUGGUUAUUCGUUUUGAAAAUUGACAGAAAAACAAUAAAAAAGAUGAAAUGCUCCCAAAUCAAUAGAUAUAAUGAAAUUCAAAUAAUCCGAGAGAUGAGGUCUCCAUGGCAACUGAUAAUGUGGAAAAGAAAACAAUUUAAUAAAGGACAGACACACUUUGAAAACAGAUUGGGCCCGGGGAGGGGGGCGGGCUGGCGGGCGGAGGGCUGGAGCGCGGGCUGGCGAGUGAAGGAUCACUGUCCGUCCCAAGGACACCCGCCAUAAUUAAGCGAGGCUUUCGGCCCCAGAAAGUGCAGAUUCAGGUUUUAAUACACAAAAUUAUUUCAGGAGCAGUGAAUCGGAAAGUCGUUUGUAAUGACCUUCCUGAGAGGCCCGGGCGCGGGGCAUGUUGGAGGCUGGGCGGCCCGGCCGGCUGAGUUAUGGCAUAUUUGUGUUUUUAUAGUGCGGAGGGGAGGGGGUGGUGGGGGGAGGGGGGGAGAAGGUUAAACAGUAUUUACAGCUCAGUUGUUUUCAGAGAGGAAAGAGAAAUAGAGUUCAUGGGGAGAUGCAGUGGGCAGGCAGGGGGGUGAGCCAGGGAGGCCUCUGGGCAGCAGGGAGGGGAGGUAGACCUGAGCAGGUCUCCCACCUCAGGCUGCCUCACCUACGUCCGCCUCAGGUCCAGAGGAGAUGCCAGGUCCGCUUCCCCUGCUCCAGUGCCUGGUGAGGCUCAGGCAGUGCGGUCUUCUAGGUCUGGGGCCUCUCUGACGGGGUGGGAGCCGAAGUCCAAGCCGUGUGGACACCCAGCUGCACCUAUCAGUAAAAAGGUGGGGCAUUUCCACAGCUGCCACGAAAAGUGGCUCUGCCCUUCAUCCUCGCCCGCACCCUCCAUUUCUCUAUGUGGCAGUCGGUCAUCCAUCCAGAUGGUGCUGCCCUUCAGGGUGCAAUAGUUGAGGGCCGGACGAGCAUGUAAGGACGGCAUGCCCCACUGCAGUGGCCUGCAGCUCCCUGCCUUCUCUUCUUUGGUUCCCCCUUCAUGCCAAGUGCCCACCUUGGACAUGCAGAAGUGGGGUUCCGUGGGGCAGGUGGAGGCAGAGGCCACAGAGGGGGCAGGGGAUCAAGCAUCCCUGCCCCAGCCCUGCAGAGCCCCUAGCCUGCAGCAGGCAGCUCAGGCACUGGUGGCCAGGCCAUGGGAGCCUUGAGACUCCCCCUCAGGCUCCGUGUCCCCUCCAACCCCUGCUGUGGGAGUGCAAUUGUGUUUCAACACUGUGACCACACAGAGACUUUCUAGUUUGUGGGCUGCUGUAGAUGGGCACGUGUGAACACGAUUGUACAGAGAUCCCUGAGUGUGUGUGCACACAGGCAUACACACCGUCUGUGUGCUUUUGCUCGGUGUGUGUAUGUUUUAAAUCUCCCCUGGGUGGUAACUCUCUUUUUUCUCCUCUUCCUGUUUGGCUGUGACCUGGGGGAGAUUGAUAGCCAGCCUGUGUGGUGGAUGCUAACAGUUCCCCUGAUUUAUAGAGUUACUUACGCUAAGUGAGGCCACUUAGACGCGUCUGGAUAGUAAACCUUUUAACUGGACUAAAAAAUCAUAAUAAAUAAAUAAACAAAGGGGGGUAAGCUAGGGCCCAGUGGCCAAGCCCUGCCCACUCCCCAGCUUAGAGCCCUUGAGGACCAGGGACCUGCCUGAGAACCCCAGGGGAGCAGUGGCCAUUCCUCCCUUCAGAAAAAACUCAGAGGCCCUUCUGUUCUGAGCUGGAGAUGGGAUCAGGAAGGACCCCCUCUCCCAGGGGGCCUCUCAGGGACAGGUCUUGGUAGGAAAUGAGGGAAGGGAACUGCUCAGCUGGAGAUGGGCUCUGAGGGAGAAAGCAUGGGCCUAGCAACCUUCCCUUCUGCUCUUGUGGCACCAGUGCUCCAUGUCAGGGAGAUGGUCUGGUAGUGACUUUUGAAUAUUGUUGCCUUGUCUGAACUGCAUAGUCCCUGAUGUAGGAACCAGGGUGACGUAGGACCCAGGACUGCCUGUCUUGCUCACAUCGUAGCCUCAGAAUUCAGCCCGAGCCUGGAUGGAAGUAGGUGCCCCAUGCGUGCCACUGAAUGGGGGCUUGUGGUCUGUGAGGUUCCAAUCCUCAAGUGCAGCAGGAUGGGAGCUCCCCUAGGCACCCUGAGACUCCAGGAUGGCCACUUGGAAGACCUGGAAGGCACCUUGGAAAUCUGAACUUGGUGGGAGCUGGCUCCAGCACUGACGGGACAGUUGCCAACCUCAUUACCUCUGCUGCCUCACCUGGAAAUGGGGACAGGACAACUGGCCUGCAGGGAUGCUGGGGGAUCACCAAGGUGACUAAGUGCCCAGCAUACUUUCUGGCACAGACAAGGUGCUCAGGAGGCACCAGGUGCCAUGUGCCUGUAGAUGCCAUGGGCUAGCUCAGCCACCGGUGUCCGGACAGUGUCUGUGGCCCCCAGAGCUGCCUGGCAGUAGGCAGGCAGAGCCAGGUGCACCCCCACCCCAGGGGACUGGCUCCUGGCCUCUGCCUCCCUUCCUCCUGAUAUACAGCGGGCAUUAGGCCGCCCAAAGGGGAUCCUGCAUCCUUAGGAAGAAAUAUGUCCUCAUUUUUCUUAAACACCGUUUCCACUGAGUGAAAUGUUUAGAAGGGACGCGCAGGGAGAACUUUAUUUCCUACCAGGGAGUUCAGAGCCACCAAGCAGAGCCCAUAAAGCACCCGGAGCCUGGUAGCUGACAGGCAGCCCAGCCCUGAAAUACAUUACUCACGGUGGGGAGGGGCUGCCAGGCCUGCCCAGACCCCUGGGACUGCCCCUGCCCUGGCAAGACAAGCAACUUCAAGACCCAGGGCCAUGGGCAGUGGGCACCAUGCCUCUUCUUCCCUUGAGCCCAGAUUGCCUGCAGGAGAGGGCCUGGCCUGACCAGGUGCCGAAGGAGUAGUUCUUCCAGCUUCCCACAGGCCUUUACCUCCCAGGUCAGGAAGACGUGGGGACAAGGGGCCCAGGUGCAGCUACAGGCACCCCCCUUUCUCACCCAGAACUGGCAGGAGCCCUGGCCUUCCCUAGCCUGUGCAGGGAGUGAUGAGAUUCAUGCCAUAACGGGUCCCUUCUCCCAAGGCCCUCCCUUCAUUCGAUUUCUGAAGCUGGCUGAUUUGAAUAUUUAUAAAUAUCAGUAAAUUAUUUAUUGUAGCAAUCUGCUGCACCAUUUUACCCAUCGCAGUUAACACUUUAGGGGGCUCUGUGUUAUGGGAACAGGAAGUGGGGGUGUGGAGGAGAUGGGGCAAGGGAGGGAAGGAGCCCCUGCAGGGAGGCUUGGGACUUCCCAGAGCUUGCCUCGGAGCCUUCAUGGGGAUGAGGCUGAGCCUCAGCUCCAGGUAUCUACAGCCAGGAUUAGCUUCCUCCUCUGUCAAAUGGGUUGGCACAGGGCUCAACUGGAUCAUUUUUGAAGCUUUGGUGAGAUUGUGAUGGACAGUCAGUUUUUGCUUCUCUCUCCUGCACCUUAGUUGGGUCUGCUCAGCUCAGAGACUGAUGGGUAGUGCUUGUUGAGUUUGGAGGCCUGUAGGAAAGCCGAGGGGGCCAUUUGCUGGCGCAAGGGAGAGGGCUGCAAGGAUGGCCCCAGGCCUCCUGCCUCUCCUUUCCCUCUUCCCUCUUCUGGGCCAGGUGAGAAUUCCUUGUCUUGGAAUCUUGGGCCAGACAUGGCACCACAUCUGCCUGUCAUUCUCCUCCUGGGCUCAGCUGUCUUUUCCCAGGUCCUUCCUUGCCAGGCCCUGUGCUUGGCCCAAGGAGGCGCCUUCUCACCUUGUAGCCCGGCAGCCCUUCUGUGAGAGAGAGCUUGCCAGGGCCGGUAGCUCCCAGGGGUAGAGCCAGGCUAUAUGCUCCUGACUCUGACCCAGGGGCCAGACUGUAACCUGCUGUGCCUUCUGGGGUUCAGAGCCACUGGGGCCAGGAGCAGAGUUGGUGCUUUGCUGGGCCCACCUCAGCUGCCCCUCCUGCCUGCCCCCCAGUCUGCUGGUCCCUGGGGGAGCAGAACAGGAGUCCUCUUGCCUUCCCACCCUCCUGCCCAAGCCUGCCUCCUGGGCAGUAUUGUUCCCAGAGGAAGUGUCCAGUGUAAAUAGAGCAGCGGGCAGGCUGGUGGCGGGAAGGAGAUGAAAGGGGCAGUGACAGGGCCGGGGACUGAUGGCUUCCUUCCAUUGAGGCCUGGCCACGCCGUUUAUAUUUUAGGGAAGAAAGUCAGGGGAAUGUUUACAUGGACAGGAGUCUGGGGUCAGACCAUGGGGGUGGGUAGUCUGGAGGUCCCAGGGCCUUUGAUGGAGGGGCCAGCAGCAAGGCCCCACGGGGUGGGCCGGAAGGCACAGUUCAUACAUGCCCUCCUCCUGCCAUCCCGGCCUUGCACACAUUGGCACUGACAACCAUCAGCCCUGCCUCUGCCUCUUGCCCGUGUCCCGGGCCCAGGUGCCGUCUCCACCUCCACCCUUGGGACCAAAGUAGAGUCAGAGGGAGGGCAACAUCUGGAAUGCAGGUGGGCUGGGUCAGAACAGCAGCUGGAGGGCAGGUGUAGAGGGAGUCAGCAGGAGCAAAGGGGCCUGGGGGCUGGAGGUGGGCCCGGUGCACAGCUGCAUCACAGCUGGUGGGGGCCCAGGCUGGGACUGAAGGGGCACAUGGCUGAGAUCGGGAGAAGGUGGGCUGGGUUGGGUGAGCCGAAGUUCAGGGAGGCUCCAGGAUGGGUGGGAGCCCUGGGAGGGGGUGUCACUAGCAGCAAGUGCAGCCUUGGGAGCUUCUGCUUCCCUCUUCCUUGGGAUAAAUAUUUAUAGAUUCAUUUGCCGUCUGCCAUACACACUUGGCUGCUUACCUCUUGGUAAAAAUAGAGCAGGCUCCUCACUCCCGCUCUUUUCUUCCCCGUCCAGGGCAAGGGACAAGGAGGACCAGGUGAGGCUGCUCCCCCUGAGGCUGUUGGAGGAAAUGUGGUGUCACAGACCCUGCUGGCCUGCCGAGCAGUUGAACUGGGUGGGGUUGUGAUUAGGGGCCCUGAAGCUGAACUUUGAGAGGAACCUCAUGUGCAUACAUAGGGAUUUGGGUGCAAGCGGCACAGACUUGGAGCUGUGGACAAACAUGAGUUUGUGGGCAUCUGGCUUGGCCAGGGUCCAAGACCCUGGAGCCAGAGCCACAGGACUGGGAACUGGCUGAGCAGACCUUUCUCUGACAGUCCCCAAGCAAGGCCACACAUUCAGCAGCUGGUGAUAAGGCAGGAUCUGCAGCCACAGGGCAUGUAUAUAUCAAGGGACUAUUAUUUGUGCAUAAAAAUCAGGUCGACCUGUGGGAUGAGGCCCUUGGGCAGACACAGGUGUGGCUUCUUUGUGGGCUCUCCAGGAUGUGGAUUUCAUGGUGGGCUUUUGUUUUGUUUUGGUACCAGGGAUUAAACCCAGGAGCACUUAACCACUGAGCCACAUCCCUAGCUCCUUUUUAUAUUUUAUUUAGAGAUAGGGUCUCACUGAGUUGCUUGGGACCUUGCUAAAGUUGCUGGUUUUGAACUUGCAAUCCUCUUGCCUCAGCCUCCCAAGCUGCCGGGAUUUCAGGCACGCACCACCACUCCUGGCUCAUGGUGUUUGAUCCAUGGAGCUAAGGCACAAAGCCCUCCUGCCCCCCAGCCUUCAGACCUAUAUGAGACAUGCCCAUUUCCCUGGCUAAGGCCUGGGGAAGCACUCUUUGACAGGGACCUCCCUAUGCACAAAUUGAGUAUGAACUGAGACGGUCACAUGGCCACUCCCCUGAUCCACCAUGGGGUGUGGCACACGGCAGUACACUAGAUGGAUGGAUGGCUAGACAGAUGUGUGGCAUCAUUCGUGCAUAUAUCCAGCCUUGUAGGCCUUCCUGGCCACCUGCCCUCAGGACCCUCUGUCCCCUGACAAGGUUUGGUUUCUAGCUGCCUAUGUGCUGUGACGUCGGGAAUCAGAAAUUAAGCCCUUUAGCUGCAGUUUCUGGGCUUUCCAUGAGGGACCUAAGCAAUCCAAGCCUGUCCCAGCUGGGGCUCCUAGGCUAGGAAGUGCACUUCUCAGCUCCGGCCAGACCUUCCCAGGAUGUAGGAGUGGGCCACAGGAAUUGGAGGAGGAGGAGUGUGGUGCUGGGAUGGAGACGUAGGAGGGGCUGCGAGGAUCUCUGUGGAACAGCAAUAGGAAAUGGCCAGAGGCCCAGUGAGGCUGGAAAGAAGGGCCAGGAAGACCCUCACAGGGCAGGUGACUGAGGAAAAACAGAGGCUUUUUUUGGGGGGGGGUCAGGGUGGAGGUGGGGGGGCGGUGGUCCUGAGUAGCUGGGAGCCAAGGAGAAGAGCUCCGCUGUCCUGAGAGCAGACGCUGGAGUUGGUGAGGCCUAAGGACUGGGCCUGGCAGAGGUGCUGCCAGGGGAUAAGAUGCUCCGGUGGGGACAGUGCCAGCCAGGGUAAAAGGUUGACACAGGCUAGAAGCUGGUUGUCAGCUGACUCCUCCCCAGGGACCUGUGGUGAGGUAGAGCCAGGCCACCAGCAGCACAGUGCUUCCCUUGCCACCUUCCCUCACCACCAGCCCCUCAUCUGCCUGUGCUUGGGGUUCUGCAUGACACAAGUCAUACCACCUCUCAGGAGCUAUUUAGGGCCAAACAAGCCUAGAAAAUGCUUCCAGGAACCAGGUGCUAGGAAGAAGACUUGUAUUUGAAGAGCCUUUCUUUCAUCCACUUUGAACCACCUACUCCGUGCCAGGCACUGUGCAGGCUCUGGGGAUGGAGCGACUGGCUAGCCCAGCCCCCGAGCUCCCAGUCCAGAGGGGAGAUGAGCAGUGCUAGGCCACCUCAGGACAGCAUGAUGGAUCUGUGAUCACCUGGGGAGACUGACUUGGGGGUGCAGGGUCGUUCAGGGGUAGCUGUGCUUGGCAUGUGGCCCCUCAUCUCUGUGUCCCUCCAUCCCUACAGCUGAAGGCACCCGGUGCACUGACCCACCUGCAGGCAAACCGGCCAUGGCGGCCAAGCGCAAAGGCGGCCUCAAGCUCAAUGCCAUCUGUGCCAAGCUGAGUCGCCAGGUGGUGGUGGAGAAGGGAGCAGAGGCUGGCUCCCAGGCGGAGGACAGCCCGCUGAGGCCCCGGGACAAAGAGCGCAGUGGCCCUGAGUCUGGGGUGGCUCGGGCCCCACGCAGCGAAGAAGACAAGAGGCGGGCGGUGAUUGAGAAGUGGGUCAACGGGGAGUACAGUGAGGAACCGGCACCUGCACCCAUGCUGGGGCGGAUCACCCGCGAGGGCCUGGAGCUGCCUCCCGAGGGUGUCUACAUGGUCCAGCCCCAGGGCUGCAGCGAUGAGGAAGACCAUGCUGAAGAGCCCUCCAAGGAUGGCAGUGUCCCAGAGAAGGACUCAGAUGGGGCAGCCUCAAAGGACAACAGUAGCCCCGGCAUCAAGCAGGCUUCAGGUGGGUGUCUGGCCUUUAAGAGGCAGGUGGAGGCUGGGAAAGGGUGCUACACUGUGGGGUGACCCAGGAAGGAAGGUCCACGUGUCCAGGUGCCCACCUGCCUCCUCUUCAUUCCUGCCCCAAGCACCAGCAUCAUGUCCAGUGAGAACUCUGGGGGUGGGGGCAGAGUAAAGGGACAGAGAAGGCAGCUUUCCAGGAGUGUGAGGGGGCAGGGGGGAUUGCCCAGCAUACAGUGGGUCCUUAAAAAACAACCGGUGGAGGGACAGAUGGACGGAUGGCCAGACACACAGAGGAAUGGACAGAUGGUGGGUGGGUGGGAAUCAAUAGGAAUGAGCCUUCUGGGGGACCAAGGUCCCUGGCCACCAGUGUGGGGAGCAGUGGUUGUGGUGGGGCAGCAACAUGAACCCCAUGAGCUGCCAGCUGCAAGCACUCUCACUCCGAGAGACUUCUCUGAGGAUCCUAGAAAAGGCUUGGUCCCCUGCCUGUGCCCCAGCAUUCUCCUUCCCUACGUCACUGCCCCUGGCCCUCCUAGGUGGGAACUCAGGCCCAUGAGGCUGGCCAGGCCCAGCCAGAAGAUCCCCUUACACCCAGCCACCCCGACAUGGUCCUCUCGCUGACCUCUUCCCAUGAGAUGGCCAAGGCCUGGCUUCUCUAGUGCCUACGUGUCCUUGGGACUUAGAGCAGUCUCCAGCUCUUUCUGCUCAGGAGAGGACCAGCCUGGGGUUUAUGGCAGGAGAGGGGCCCCCGCUAGAACUAGGUCUGGCCUUUACUCUCGCCCCAGCCUCCUCCCAGGUUGGUGCCUGGAGCUGCACGCCUCCCCUGCCUCUCCCCUGUCCCUGUCCCCCCUGCGGCGAGGGGCGCAUCUCCUCCCUGUGCGGGGAGCCCUGCACAGCCACAUAAUUAUGCAUAUAAGAUAUAAACAGAGCUGUUUAAUUAUCCUUCGCCACAUCAGUGACAGAGUAAUUAACAAACAUUGCAAGAUCAAUGAGGAAGAGUGUGACCUUCAGUUUCCUCUGAUAGGAAAAGCCCUUGCCGUUGCCAGACACAAGGUGAUUGUGCUAGGCCUGAGGAGAGGGAAGGGACAGCAGCCCUUGCUGCUGUCCCUCUGACGCUGUCUACGCUCAGCUCUGCCCACAGUGGAGGGGCUAGAGGAGGCCUCACCUCCUGAAUCCUCCCUUCCUGGAGAGAGGAGCUGGAAAGGCAGGAGGCAGGGAUCGAACUGCCCUGCGCCUCGUGGCCUGAGCUCUCCUUCCCUCAGCCCCAGGUGGCUAGGGAGCCAGUGGAGCCCCAGCUACCUUCCAUGGCCUUGGCUCCCCAGGCCAAGAAGACUUCUCUGGGCCUGGGGGUCAGGAAUGCAGGGCUCUGGAACUGCCUCUAGGACCCUGCCUGGCCCCCUCCCUGCUCCAAGUUGCCUGCCCUUCAGAGCCUUCGGUUUCCCUGCCAUAUAUAGUGAGGGUUCAGCUGCCUCCAGCUAUUUUUAGCCCCUUUCCCUGGUCCCUGAGCCACUGUAUCCAGCAGCCAGAGCCCACUCCUCCCAGGCCAGGCCCCCAACCUCUGUGGCUGGUGUUCCAGACUGUGGCUGACCCACCUGCCCUGCCAGGGGAACAGCUGUCUGAGGGUUCCUUGAGUCACUCUGCCCAGCCUGGGUGCCAGGGAGCUGCCUGUGACCCUCCCCUCCUUAGCUAGUGGGCUCCCAGUCCUCCCCAGAAGCUGAGAACCCCUCCUUCCUCAUUCUGCUGGGUUUUCUCUCCUGCCAGGCCCUGCCCGCUCUGCUCCUUUGGCCUCCCUCUGCCCCUUCCACUUGUGCUCAGAGCACCUCAGGCCUAGCAGGUUUGGGUGGGGUUGGGCGGAAUCCCCGCUGGCAUGCCUUCCUUAAGCUGUACUGUCAGGACCCACAGUCUGGGUCCUGCUACUCUGAGUGUGCCCAGGUGGGCAGGCUCAAGCUGAGUAGAGAACACUGUGUCCCCUGGACUGUGUGUCUCACUUGUCAGUAUGUGCCCAACCCUGAUGGAGGGCGCAACCUGCCGUAAGUGGAAGAAUGAGCACCCUCUCACACAUUGGAGACCACCUGUCUGCCAGGCCGAAAGGCUGUGUGUAGAAGGCACAUUAGAAGGGGCCAUGUUGGCCUAAGACUUGUCCCGGGGAGCUGGCUGUAUCUGCAGAGUUAGGAAAAGCAGCUACGAACGUGAGCUUGUGAGUCCAUGUGUGUGAGCACAUGUGUGAGUGUGGUGUGUGCAUGUGUGUGAACAUGAGCCUGCAUGUGGUGUGAACAUGGGGGAGGGAGAGUGUACGUGUCACUGUGGGGAGGUCCCUCCAGGGUUCAGUGUGCCCUAGGUGCAGACAGUGGGGAGGAUGGAUGUGCCCAGCCCAGGCCUGCUGCCCUGGGCCUACAGUGCUGGCUGCUCCCACCUGCCCUGGUCCUUGCUCUCCCAGGUGACCCACCUUGGUGUGCUCCAUGUGGUAAAUCUUGGCUGGAGGAAGGGCCCUACAUGAGUCUGUGUGGGCACGUUGGCACAGUCCCUGCCCUGCUCAGUUCUGUGGUUGGGGGGAGGCUGAGAAGCCAGGUCAUGAGGCAUCAUGGGGCAAGGCCCUCAUCAGCCAACGAGAUCCAUUUAUGGGGCUCAGGGCAGUUCACCAUGCCAGGUUCACCCCAACCCCACCCAGAGCAUCUCUCUCAGCUCCUGGGAUCUCUCCUGACUGUCCAGUCACCACCCACAUCCCUACCUGUCCCUGUGCCUGUAACUACUGCCCCCACCUCAGGAGGCAGGUUGGGAUUUGGCCUUCCAGUAAGAUGACUUCUCUUUCAUAUUAGGCCAAGGCGAGAGAGCGGAGACAUUUAUGAAACUUUGUUUAAUGUACUGAAAAGCCAUCGGCCAGAACAUUUAGGAAAUUGAUUUUCCUGGCAUUGAUGAACUCGUUUUAUUUUACCCCAGUAUUAAUUACUUUUUUUUAAAACAAAUUAAUUUAAGAGUCGUAAAACCUAACAAGUGGGCCGAAUGUCCAUAGAUCAUGUCCUGCUCUGCCCCUCCCCACACAGGCCCCUCUCUGUGGUGGGGGCUCGCAGUGGGGGGCCUCUUGGCCCUUCCUCCCCUGAUUCCUCCCAGAGGUGACCACCCCCUCCUCCUUGUAGGAGAGGCCUCCUCGCUAAGGGACUAUGCGGCCUCCACCAUGACCGAGUUCCUGGGCAUGUUUGGCUAUGAUGACCAGAACACGAGGGAUGAACUGGCCAGGAAGAUUAGCUUCGAGAAGCUGCAUGCGGGCUCCCCCCCUGAGGCGACCCCCUCUUCCAUGUUACCCACCUCUGAGGAAAGCCUCAGCAAGCGGGCACGCUUCUCCAAGUAUGAGGAGUACAUCCGCAAGCUCAAGGCCGGCGAGCAGCUCUCUUGGCCAGCCCAUGGCACCAAGGCUGAGGAGCGGGCAGGCAAGGAGAUGGUGGGCCCUCUGCCUGGCCUGCGGCUGCCCAGCAACACCACCCACCUGGAGACCAAGGCCACCAUCUUGCCCCUGCCAUCACACAGCAGUGUCCAAAUGCAGAACCUGGUGGCCCGGGCCUCCAAGUAUGAUUUUUUCAUUCAAAAACUGAAGACCAGUGAGAACCUGCGCCCUCAGAAUGGGAGUGCCUACAAGAAGCCGUCCAAGUAUGACCUGGAGAACGUCAAGUACCUGCACCUCUUCAAACCCGGGGAGGGCAGCCCCGACAUGGGCGGGGCCAUUGCCUUCAAGACAGGCAAGGUGGGGCGCCCCUCCAAGUAUGACGUCCGGGGCAUCCAGAAGCCAGGCCCCGCCAAGGUUCCGCCCACCCCCAGCCUGGCUCCUGCACCCCUCGCCAGUGUGCCCACUGCUCCCAGUGCCCCCGGGCCGGGGCCCGAGCCACCUGCCUCCCUGUCCUUCAAUACUCCCGAGUACCUGAAGUCUACCUUCUCCAAAACAGACUCCAUCACCACGGGGACCGUCUCCACUGUCAAGUAAGGCACUCCCCAUCCCACUGUACCCCAAGCCCUGAGGCAGGACACCCACUCGUACGCCCAGACCUGGGCUCAGUCGACUGUCAUGCUCAUGCUCACACACGCAGCGUGCUCACUCACUGCGUGCUCACUCCGGGGGGCCCUUCCAGCUCGUGCACGGUUCAUGGCCCUGCACCUUCACCCCUUGCUGCAGAGCCUCACAUGCUCACACAGCAGGCGCUGGUGUGCUGGUGUGCACUGCGUACCUGCUGACGUGAGUGCCAGCGAGUGCCAUAACCCCUGGUUGCCACCACUGGCUUCCUUUGCCUGCUGCCAUCAGAGCUGUGGUCGGCUGAGAAAGCCCCAUCUGGGGGUGAGGCUGCUGGGGUUUCUGCAGUGGCCCUGGUGCCUGGGUUCAGAGCCUCCUUGGAGGAGGCAGAAAGAAGAAGGCCUUUUCAGCCUUAAUUCAGGGACAGGGCACUGGCCCUGCCAGUAAUAUGGUGGGUGCCUGAGGCUGAACAAGACCCAUCCCAAAGCCCUUAUCUGCACUCCACCCUGGUAGCUGUGAACCCAGGCAGAUGCAGGCAGUGCCCCCUGACUUGAGGCUAUGUGCUGCCCUUCCUUCCCCUUUUCCUCCCUGGGAUGCCUGAUGCUUCUCAGCCCUCACCUUUUGAUUCUCCCUCUGUGCCGGGGGGGUCAGGCCCUGGCUCCAGGGACCUUCCACCCAGACAGACUCUAGGCCCUGCCUGCCUGGGGUGGCCCAGCCCUCCUUAGCUGGGCUAAUUGAACCUCUGCCAGGCUUCUGCCAAGGGACUAUCUUAGUCCUACCCGUGUGCCUCGGAACUCUCAGCCAAGGCAAGAAAGGCGAGAGCCAGGGCAGGGAGCUCCCCACCAGCUCUUGGGCCUGCGGCUGAUCGGCUGUGUCCCGUGUGUCUCACCAGGAACGGAUUGCCCACAGAUAAACCAGCUGUCACCGAAGAUGUAAACAUUUACCAGAAAUAUAUUGCCAGGUAGGCCCCUGGGGAGGAGACUAUGUGGAGAGAAGGUGGGGGGCCAGGAAUGCCCAGGGACUGUGGGACCAUCCCUGCACUCUCUUACCACUAGGGCCAAGACUGUCUCCUCCCAACCUCCACCUGCUUCUUUCCCUAAACUCCCCAUGGAAGCUGUCCCAUGAGCCCAGCUCAGACCUGCCUCUUUGCUGUGGUCCAGGCCACAUGAUCCUUAAGCAGCUUCUACCUCCAGGGCCAGGGUGUGAGAAGGAGCCCACAGCAAGGCUCGGCCAUAGAUGAGUUCAGGGUCCCCCUCCACAGCUGGCCUCCGUCGGGCCUUCACUGUGGACCCCAGGUGGAAUGCAGACCACCAUAAUUGUCAGUUUCGGGCAGGGGUGUGGCUCCCUGGGCUGCCCAGGUAAGGCCUCACACCACCUGACUCCAGAUCCAUCCCCUCCAUCCCAAAGGCAGCGGGAUUGGCAGCAAAUUCCCCUCCAUCAGGCCCUCACAGCUGCUGCCUGAUGAGGCGGCACAUGGUGGGGGCUGUGCCCUGGCGGCAUAGUUCUGGGCUCUUCCAGGUCCCUCCCAUCCUCUCUGCCUCUCCUGUCCCAGUGUCUUUCCCCCUUUGCUCUCUUUGGUCUUCUCUUUAUUACUGUUGCUAUCAUUAUUAUUAGUGCCUCAGCAGAUGGCCCUGUUGGCAACUUCAGCUUAAAUAUUUAUUUGCAAGUGGUCCCCCCAUACAUGGCAUGGGUUUCUCUCCACUCCUGCAAUCACGUCAUCCACAGAGGGGCACAGGCAGGCCGAGGAAACAUCUUCCCUGCCACUGUCACGGUUUGCUCUCCCAGGGCUGGCCCUCACCAAGACUGUAAGAGCCACACCCGGCAGUGUCAGGUCUGGAGAGCGACUGGGGUUUCCUGGAGGCAGGCAGCAUGCAGGCAGCACGGGGCUCCUAGCUGUGCACUUGGCUGGAGAGCGAGCUCCCUGCCACAGGAAGCCAAACAGAUGCUGUGCUUUAAAAAUUCAUAACUCUGGACUAUUUCAAGUGUCAGGAAAAGCCCAGAACAGAGAGAGCCCUUUAACACCUCACAGCAACAGAGCCCCAGUUCACCAGCCAGGGCCUCCUCCCUGGACAGAGCUGGGCAUAGUGUUGGUCAGGCAGCUAACUGUAGGAAAGGCAGUUGUGGGGACUUCAGGUCUCCUCCUCACCUCCCUGGUCUGUGUCUACUCUGGCUGUGGCUUGUGGCCUGCCCUAGCUUCUUCCUCCCCACCUGGGUGCCAGGCUUCUACUUCACCUGGCACUCACUACCUGGAAGAUGCUGGCAAGCAUGCAGCUUGAGGAAUCUGGGAUUCCUGACAGGCCUAGCCACUGGCCCUGGCAUUCCCAAACCUCUUCCACUUCACCACUGUCCCCCCAUAUCCCCAGCCAGGCCCACAGAAACCCAGUAGCACAUCUCUAGAACCUGGGCAGAGAUGGCUUUAGGCCCUGGAAGAGUCCUCAUGGGGCCUGGCACCCAGAAAGGGGCCUGACCCGACCCCUCUUCUCUUCAGGUUUUCAGGCAGUCAGCACUGUGGCCACAUCCACUGUGCCUACCAGUACCGAGAGCACUACCACUGCCUGGACCCUGAGUGCAACUACCAGGUACGAGAUGCACCACUGCACAGCACAGCGGCUCUGGCUAGAAGUGAGGCACCAGGUGCUUAGUACUCCAUGGGUCACCUGAACUUAACUUGGUGGGCAGAGAGUACGGACCCACUGCCAGCCUGUGCCACUAGUAGGUUCUGCAGCCAUUGGCAUCCUGGUGGUGAUGAUGCCCAUGCAGCUUCGCUGGGAAUCCAGUGUGGACCAAGGCCCAUUCCAGAUGGCCUGUGUACCGCAGCUAGCUAACUCUUCAAGGGGCCUUCUAAGGUCGGCAUCACUGCCCCACUUCAAAACGGAAAUUGAGGUUCAGAUAGAAUGCCAUUAUGUAAAGACCACGACUUGCAAAUGCAGAACUAUCAAAGAGGUGGCAUUGACAGUGUGCAUAGGCUGCUCCUUCGGUCUCACCGGGUGUCUCACCUGGCUUUGCUCACAGGUGCAUUGGGCAGAAUGUACUGUCACCUGUCAGAGCCCUUGCCCUGAGGGAGCACCCUGUUCAUCCUCUGCUUGGGCUGUGGCUGUUGGGAGGCUGGGGAGAGGCCAGGGGAGGGUCUAUGGUUUCUGGAUUGUUGGAAUCCCUGCUGCUGAGGGAAUUGGCUGGGCAGUCUGUGCUGUCCUGACCACAAGUGGGGUUAGGUUUAUGAGGUGACCUGAGGGCCCUGAGGCCGGCCCCUGGCCCAGGCUGUCUUGGCAUACGGGUGGGGAUGAGGGCUCCUGCCAGCUUGGUACUCUUCCUGGCAGAGGUUCACGAGUAAGCAGGACGUGAUCCGGCACUACAACAUGCACAAGAAGCGGGACAACUCCCUGCAGCACGGCUUCAUGCGCUUCAGCCCCCUGGACGACUGCAGCGUCUACUACCACGGCUGCCACCUCAACGGGAAGAGCACCCACUACCACUGCAUGCAGGUGCCCGCCUCCCCGUCCUCGCCCUGAAGCCCCCCAGCUCAGGCCUUCCUCUAACCCCGACCACAGCAGCCAUGGGCAGGGUCUCUGGGUGCAGGGUGGAGGUAGCUGGUGAGCCAAGAGUCACUGGGCAUGCUGAGGGAGGCUCUGGGGGAGUGGGGAGCAGAAUCUGGUGGCCGAGGCGGGGCCAUCCCCGUGGCCAUACUUGGUGUGGGGGAAAUUCAGUGAGCUGUUUAUACAGACCGACAUUUUUCAGGCUUUAACACCAAGAGCGGCAUUGCAAAUGAUUCCUGAGGAGGUUUUUGUUUAAUUCUUUGUUUUAAUGCCACACUGAGUCUGGGCUUUUUCAAGGUGUCAGGCCCAGGAGGAGCGACUUUGGGUUGCAAAUAGCAGCCUCCUUGCCUCCCCCAUAUUUGUCGAGGGUUGUUAUGGCCUCUGGGGAACAACCUGGGUGUGAGGAGGGGGGCCACCCUGGGCCUGAGACGGUGCAGGCACUGGCACAGCCCAGCCUUUGAGGGUGCUCAGAGGCCACUGGUUUUUACUCAAUAUGGCAACAUUGUCUGCCUGGCCCAGUGCGGGGGGAGGGGCCAUGCCCAGAAAUCAUCCACUAAGCAAGUCCCUGAGCUAAGGUGACCUCCAGGACACAGCCCCUGUCAACUCUGGGGACUGUAGAGGUAGGGCCACAGAUGGGGAUAUAAAACCCAGCAUCUGAAGAGCAUGGCUCCCUCGCCUGGGCCCGAAGCCGCGUGGUCUGAAGACAGCCUGGCCCUCAGGCAGGUUCCGGUUGCUCCCUGGGCGGGGUGGGGGGGUGGUGGUUGGAGGCUUUAUGCCUCGGCCCAGGCACACCUGGGGAGUUUGAGGAUAGAGGUGUCAGCUGUCCCGAGAGGAGACCUGUGCCCAGCCGCCCUCUGACCUUGGCCCAGCUGUGCCAGGACUCAGAUGGCUGCCCGCCAUCCUGGCUGCAGGUGGGCUGCAACAAGGUGUACACGAGCACGUCCGACGUGAUGACCCAUGAGAACUUCCACAAGAAGAACACCCAGCUCAUCAACGAUGGCUUCCAGCGCUUCCGAGCCACCGAGGACUGCGGCACGGCGGACUGCCAGUUCUACGGACAGAAGACCACGCACUUCCACUGCAGGUGAGCCAGCUGUCCACCGGCACCCCAGGCUGGAGGAGGGGCAGGGGAUAGCUUGCUUAAGGCCCUGGUUUGGUGUCCAGCCUGGGUUUUCUGUCACGGGGACUGCCCCCUGUGUGCCCCAUGACAGACCCCCAAUGUCCCAUCCAGGCGUCCUGGCUGCACGUUCACCUUCAAGAACAAGUGUGACAUCGAGAAGCACAAGAGCUACCACAUCAAGGACGACGCCUACGCCAAGGACGGGUUCAAGAAGUUCUACAAGUACGAGGAGUGCAGGUACGAGGGCUGCGUGUACAGCAAGGCCACCAACCACUUCCACUGCAUCCGCGCCGGCUGCGGCUUCACCUUCACCUCCACCAGCCAGAUGACCUCGCACAAGCGCAAGCACGAGCGCCGGCAUGUCCGCUCCUCGGGCGUGCUGGGGCUGCCACCCUCGCUGCUGGGCGCCAAGGACACGGAGCCCGAGGAGUCUAGCAACGACGACCUGGUGGACUUCUCUGCCCUGAGCAGCAAGAACUCCAGCCUGAGCGCCUCCCCCACCAGCCAACAGUCCUCUGCGUCCCUGGCCACUGCCGCUGCCACCACCGAGGGCACGCCCAGUGCCACCAAGCCUCCUAGCAGCAAGAUCCAGGGGCUGAUGCCCCAGGGCCUGCCAGGCUCCAUCCCCCUGGCACUGGCCCUCUCCAACUCGGGCCUGCCCACCACCGCACCGUACUUCCCCCUUCUUCCUGGCCGUGGGAGCACCUCCCUGCCUGUGGGUGCCCCUGGCCUCCUGGGUGCCAUGUCAUCUGGGGCAGGUGCCUCAGCAACCCCCGACACACCUACCUUGGUGGCUUCGGGAGCUGGAGAUUCGGCCCUGGCGACUGCCACCUCUGUCCCGGUGCCCCCUGCCUCCAUCAUGGAGAGAAUCUCUGCGAGCAAGGGCCUCAUCUCACCCAUGAUGGCCAGAUUGGCCGCAGCUGCCCUCAAGCCCUCUGCCACCUUUGACCCAGGUGAGCAGGCCAGGCCCUGCCCAGGAAGCAAGCACCUUCUGGGUCCCAGAGGCUCCAUCCCUGCACUCCUGUUGCAGAGCAGAGUAGGGUGGUGUGGGGGAGCCGUCUGUCUGAUCUCCACCCUCCAGUCUUGCACCAAGCAGUGGCCCCUCUCUGCCUGGUCUCUGCCUCCCUCCUGUGUAUUUCCUCCUCAGAGCCCCACCUGGGCCCCUGCCCAGGGAGUUCUCGCCUGUUUCUCCUGAGGCGGGAACAGUAGGCCCUCCCUCCUGGGAUCCCCUGCAUUCUGUUGGCUCGCUGUGUUCUCACCUCCCACAUCACAGAUGAGUCCCUGAGGAGAGCUGUCCCAGGCCCCCUUCUCCUCUUGAGUCUCCUCCAGAUGACCUGGAGGGGGACAGGUCCAACACAGUGGCAGGGUGACUGCACCUCAUACCUGGACAGCCCUCCAGGCCGAGGGACACCUCUGCAGCUUUCCCCCAGCAGAACUUACACCCCACGCUCUUCAGCAUGGCAGCCACUAGCCAGGUGGCUGUGGAGUGCCCAGCUGGUCAGAGUGAAGAGGCACUGGGUUGCAGUGUGACUCAUUUAAGCAGGCGCACUGGCCAGUGCUCCCUGAUGGACAGUGUGGCCUGCAGCCAAGAGUGGCUUCUUCUGGUCUGGCACUGGCUUGCUACAGGGUGGCCCCCUCCUUCCUCCUUUUUCCUUGCUUCCUUCUUUCUCCUGGUUUCCCUGGCUCCUCUCCCUUUGCUUCCCCAUCUGGGAAUUUGUCUUAGUUGAGCCCUUGAGAAGUGUUCAGCUCCGUCCAGGAGGUGGCUCAUUCAUUCACUCAACAACCCUUGGUGCUUGCUGGGUGCCUGCCGAGGGCUACCACUGAGUGGGUGCUGGGGACACACAGGCAGGAGGAAGUGGAAGCCAGCCCCGUCCUGUGGUGCUGAUGGAGCAGUGGGGUGGCCCGUCCCCAUACACAGCUGAAAGUGACAAAGUUGAGACGGUCCUCAGCACCUUGGCUGCCAGGUCCGGAUACUCUGCUCCCAUUUGAGACCAUCUUGGAACCGGCCAGGACAGACAGAGGGUCCCUUCGUCCCAGCUUGGGGCUCUGCCCACACCUCCUUGAGAGUUCUAGCCCUGGAGGAUAGGGAGCCGGGCCCGUUUUCCUGUGACUGGGGGUAAAUGACUUCAGGAGCUGCUGGGGUGUGGGCUUAUGAAGGCUGAGAACCCUUUCAGGUCCCUGGUGGGGCACUCAGAUCCCAGGGGGCAGUUUAGAGGCCCCACCUUCCACUCCCUGGCCACAACCCCAACCAAGAACUGAGCCCUCCAAGGCCACCCUGGGCUCAGUGGCCAAGCUGUCAAGGACUUUCUUUUUCCUACAAAAGUCUCCUUCCCCUCCCCCGCAAAAGAAAGGUCAGGCGCAGGGGAGGGAGCCAUUUUCCUGUAUUUUUAAUAAAAUGCCACUUGCAGUCUGAAGCAGUCCUGUCAGCUGUAGCGCCUUGGGGCAGAUUAAUAUUUCAGUCACUUGGGGAUUGUGGAGCUGGGCCCAGUGGACACCUUCCUGUCAGCUUCUUUUGCCCCUGAUCUGCUCGGCUUCCUACAGCGUCUUCCCACCCAGCUUCCCCUCAGACCCAUCCUGGCCAGGCCUUGAGCCCCUGCCCUGGACAGCUUGACGGGCGAGGUCACACAGCUCGCUGAUUGGCCGUCAGCUCGGUAGCCCUGACACAGCAGAUGCCCUCUCUGGGCAUGCUCAGUGCAGGCAGGCUGUCUCCCCGGCAACAGCAGGCCAGGGACCAAGGAGGGGCCGCUCUGUCCAGAUCUGCCACUUUCCCUCAGCAUUAACAGAGUCUUUAAUAAAAGCUUAAACGGCAGCCCCAGAAAUCGACUGUGACAGUUGGUGAGGAAAACGAAGGGCCCCUGCACCCGCCCCAGCCCCCUCCUCAGCCUCCCGCCCUUCUCCAGGAGGCCCUGAGCCAGGCCAACUUUGACAUAAUUUUGCAGUAAUUAUCACUUGAAGAAUUGCCACACAGGGGUAAGCGUCUCAAGCGAUCACGUCAGCAGGGAGAAUCGCUGACCACAGUGAGGCCUCCCCAGACCCCUGGCCUACCAGGCUACUGCCCUCCUUUUGUGGGGAAUAGGGUUUGUGCCCAUGUGAAUCCUGGGCCCCUCUGACCCCAUCUUCCCUCCCCUCUCCUGCAGGAAGCGGGCAGCAGGCCACCCCUGCCAGGUUCCCUCCAGCCCAGGUAAAGCUGGAGCCGGGUGAGAGCGCUGGCACCCCAGGCCCCCUUGAGGCCUCCCAGGACCGCAGUCUAGACCUGACUGUAAAGGAAUCCAGGUGAGGUGCUGCUGGAGAGAGAAGCCCUUGACAAGCACCCUGGGCUGGACCCUGGGGUUCAGCUCGCCCUCCUGUCCAGAGCUCACCUCCUGCCAGGCAGCUGCAGCAGGCAGGGCUGGGGGCGGGUAGGCCUCUGGGUUGGUCCCACGGACGUCGGAGCUGAAAGCCCCUUGGUUUGUGUGUUCUAGUAAUGAAUCAAAUGGCCACGCAGCCCCGGCAAAUUCAUCUCUUUUAUCCUCGCUUAUGAAUAAGGUAAGAACCAUCCAUCACACGCCUCCUGCUCCCCCACCCCAAGAAAUUAAAGCUGUGCUGGGGGGUGGGGGGGAUGUGUUUGUUUUUUAAUGUUUUCCCUCUAAUAAGAUGAGUUUGUACCAUUUAAAUUUUGAGGCCAUUUUUCAUCGACUAUAAUUUCAGAGCCACUGCUUACAAAUUAAUUUAAUGAACUGGCUGAAGAAAUAUAUGCCAGCCUCUGACACCUUUUUUUCCCUUCAGAUGGAGGGCUCCAAAAGCUUUUCCGGAGCCCUCUAACUUCUCUCACCCUUAGUUAUUAAUGUUAUUUAUUUAUUUUAUAUAUUUUUUGUUUGUUUAAAAAGGGGUCAGGGAGGGGGGACUAAAGUGGGAGCACAGCAUCAAUUUCCACUUUUCGGGUUGAGUAAUGGUCUCGGACGCCUUCCGGAGAGGUCGCUCUGGAAUAUUUAUUUUAAAUAAUGCAGGGUCUUUGUAAAUUAUACAUCAUCUCAAAUAUAUUUUUCCCCUUCACAUGAUAAACUUGACUGCAGCAAGAUUAAUUUGGUUACUGUACACAGUGAUGGGGCUGAAGAGGGAGCUGGCCCAGGCUGGACCUCGUGGGGUGGGUCCCAGCUGGGCACUUGGCAGGCAGGAGCCUGCUACCUCCUCUCCUCUCCUGCUUGCUCUCUUGCUCUCGUCACUCCUCUGGCCACUGCCCACUGCACGCCUUCUUCCUUCCUGGGGAGCCUGUGGGCUGACCCCCCUCCCCAGCAGCGAGCCUGUCUGCUCUCACCCCAUGAGUGUCCCUCCCUCCCCACACCUCCUUUGUGCACCUUCUCUUGUUCUCAAAGAAUUCAUAGGGGUUCCCCCCAUCCCUCCUCCUCCUGCACUUCCUUUGAAAAACCUUCUGGCAGGAAAAUAACCAGGGAGCCACGAAGUCUGGGGAAGAUGGGCCACAGUGCGCACCCUGAGUGGCGGCCUCAGCGAGAGCAGCGGCUCCAGCAGCACGGGAUUGCUUGGAGAGGCCCUGCGCCUUCAGGCCAGGCCCCCAGCUGUCCAGGCAGGGCCCUUCUCUAGCUGGAGCCCAGGGGGGGCCACAGAUUCCCUCCUCCCUGCCCGGAGUGCUCUGGUGGUCACAGAGCAGCAUGUCUGUCCUGAGGCUCCCAGAGCCGAGCUUGGCCACUGUCUUCACAGAUGUCUCAGGGCAACCCCAGCCUCGGCAGCCUGCUAAGCAUCAAGACAGAAGCAGAGGGGAGCCCUGCUGCAGAGUCCUCACCCUUCCUGGGCAAGGCUGCAAAGGCUGUGGUUCAGGAGAAGCUCUCAGAGCCCUGGAGAGUGUACCUACGCAGGUGAGGAGCUGCCUGAGGGCAGGGAGGGAGGGAGGGCUGGCAGUGGCCCCAGCAGCCUGCCUAGUGGCCAGCAGCAGCCCACCUCUAACUGGAGCCUCCUCCCUGCUGGCUCAUUUGGCUAGGUUUGGUACCAAGGACUUCUGCGACGCCCAGUGUGACUUCCUCCACAAGGCACACUUCCAUUGCGUGGUGGAGGAGUGUGGUGCACUCUUCAGCACCCUGGACGGGGCCAUCAAGCAUGCAAAGUGAGUGGGGCCCUGGGGGCCCUGUCAUCUCUCGCUCAGGGCUCUGCGGGGCUGGAUACCACACAGCCUGUUGCAAUUCCCACCAGACCACAGAGCGGCUGGCUCCUCAGGAGGGAAGUGCCCAAAGGAGGAUGGGCUUCCCGUCUUCCUUCCACACACUCAGCCCCCAGCCAGCUGUGUCCAGAGAGCCCUGCCUGGGCCCCACUCAAUACCCUAGCGCCAGCUGCUCCCAAGCCAGGACCUGUGGGGCUGGCAGCAUGCCCUAGGUGCCCCUGCAGAGUGGCCAGAGACUCAGUGUGGACCCAGGGGUAGAGACCCAGGGCAAAGGCCUUUCCCAUUCCACUGUGACAUCUUGAGUCCCUUUGACCCAGAACAGCAAAAUGAAUCUGUGAAUGCCAUGGAGUUUAAAAGCAGCGAGCCCGGCCACUACUUGUAACUGACUCAAAACCUGUAAGCCUUCAAGACAGAUCUCUGUGCCCUGAGCCCCACACCAGGCCUUUCUCACCACGUGGGCAUCUUGUCCCAGCCGCUGGCCUGCACAGGAGCCUACUGAAUAGUCAGAGCAAGUUUCGUGAGGCAGGGCCUACUCUCACACAUAUACCCAGGGAGGGGACCGCCUGGGCAGAGGCAGGGCACAGGUAGGAAGACAGAGUUAGGGCCAAGCCCAGAGCUAGGGCGCAGCAGUUGUCCUGAGGCUUCCUGUCUUGGUGGGAUCACGGAGAGCUUGCUGAGCAUGAGGUCCCUGUGCUGGGCCCUGGUCUUGUGAUGGGGUCACACCACACCUGCAGCUCCUGUGCACAGGCAGCCAGGGAGGGGCUGGGCUGCAGCGGCCUCUUAGCUCCUCACCUGAUGUGACCUCUCCUGCCCCUUCCAGCUUCCACUUCCGGACGGAGGGCGGAACAGUGAAAGGAAGCUCAGAGGCUUCCUUCCCGGCCUCUGUUGCUGAGACCAAACCUUCCUUGGCACCCUCACCCCCUCCGGCACCUCCUGGCACCACAGUCCCGGGGACCUGUCUGGAAGGACCUGCUCCCAGCCCGGCCUCGGUGCCCUCCACCCCCACCCUGCUCGCCUGGAAGCAGCUGGCUUCCACCAUACCCCAGAUGCCUCAGAUUCCCGCAUCAGUGCCUCACCUGCCCGCCUCACCCUUGGCGACGACUUCUCUAGAGAAUGCCAAGCCCCAGGUCAAACCCGGAUUCCUCCAGUUCCAGGAGAAGUGAGUCCCUCGAUGAGCCGGGCGCCCCGUCCCCAAGCGUCUUGGGAGUGGGUGUGGCAAGGGCAGGAGGAGGCCCUGUUCCUCACCGUGCAGAGUUAACACUGGAUGUCCCCACCCUCUGGGAAACGGCCUCUGGGCCACAUCCUUCUAGCCAAAGAUGCUGUGCUUGCGCCGCCACUCUGCCCAUCCCAAGCAGCCAGUGGGUGGUGGGUAGCAGCAGUAGUCCCCAGGACCAGUUGGGAUGGGCUGAGAGUGGAUUCUCAGGUCUCCUGGCCCAACAGGGAGGGUCUCCCUUGCUGGCCUCUUCAGUGGCUCGAACCUGCUGAGAUUGCAGGGCCAGGGAAGUCACAGGUGGGUGUGAUGGGCUAGGCCCCUCCCAGGCCUGCACUCCCUGCAUAGUGGCCUGAGUCUCGGGUGGAAGGGACCUUUCUCACUGAAUGGUGGUGGCUCCUUGCGGCGAGAACGGUGACUUUGUAUCGUAAUGUGUGCGGCUUCCUGUUCUCAAUAAAAGUAAUAAAUUGGAUUAUUUAUACCGCCUGAGUGGCAACUGUCCUCCCUCUCUGAGCACCUGGGGCUGGGCCCGUGAUUUGGAAGGGGACAGACUCCUCUCCGUCCCUCCCCCUCGCCCCCCCAGAAGUGGUGCCCUCCUAGUUUCCUGGUUGCUGUCAGAGCCCCCACCAGGGCUGCGCUCCUUGGCCAGUGCAGUGUUGCCUGCCAGUCAAAAGCUAGAGCCCCUCGUCCUCCCAUAGAUAGCCCCCUGCAGCAUGGGAAGCAGGGCUCCCAGGUAGGGGCCUGCUCCACUCCUCUGCUCUCCCAAGCAGGCCAACCAUAGGGGAUGGCCCAGUACUCCCCGCCCAUGCCCACCCAUCAUCCCUUACCACUCCCCUGGCUCCUAGGUCUCUGAGCAGGUGGGUAUCAUAGGCCUCAGAUGACCCUAGGGAGUGCCAUCAGCUGUGAGCCUCAGCAGGCCCUGACACACGUUCCCACUUACUGAGGUCCUUGGUAGCAGCACUCCUGGUAGGGCCACCCACCCAUCUGCAGCCUGUCAGUCAACCACAUCCAAAUCAGUGCCAUGCCAUGCCAGCCAGGCCCUUGAUGGCAUCCUGCCAGGGCUGGCAGCACCAUCCCUUAUUUUCAUUUCCAAGAAGUUAUUGCAGCCAUCCUUAUCUAUAAUCCCGAGGUGUGGCCGUGGAAACUACGUGUCCCAGCAUGCAACGCUCUGGGCACCCUGCAUAUUGCAAUCCCUGUGCACCAGGCAGAACUCCUAAAAGGAGGCAGGGAUGCAUGCUGGGAUCUGUAGUCUCUGGUUGAAUCGUCCUGCUAAGCAGGAGGGCAAUCUGGGGACAUUUCUCUUGAUUGUACCACUGGUGACAGAGGAGUGAACCCCAACACAGCACAGUCAGGACACCAGCAGGGAGGGCUUGGGAACACCAAUGACCUUCUGGGCUGUGGUUUCCUUGCAGCGACCCUUGCCUCGCGACAGACUGCAAGUACGCCAACAAGUUCCACUUCCACUGCCUCUUUGGGAACUGCAAGUAUGUCUGCAAGACCUCCGGCAAGGCUGAGUCUCACUGCCUGGACCACAUCAACCCCAACAAUAGCCUGGUGAACGUGCGAGACCAGUUUGCUUACUACUCCCUGCAGUGUCUCUGUCCCAACCAGGUCAGCGCAGCGGGCGGCCCAGCUGUGGGGGCAGGGGAGCCACAGGGCCUGGGACCAGCUCCUCCUGGCAGAGACUCUGCUUUUUGCACCCUUUUUAAGUUGGCUUCCACCAGACCCUGGAAAGGACACUGUCUGCCCCUAGGCCCCUGGAGGCCCCUGGGCUGGGGUCCAGAUUGGUACUAAGUUGGUAAGGUCUAUCAUUUUAGUCCUAACCCCCAGUGGCAACUAAACACUAUGCUGCUGCUGUGUACUUAAGAUCAUUCUUACCCAUCUUGAAAUUGGCUAUUUCCCUUUUCUCCAGAUGCAUAAAAUUUCUAAAUGGGCCCAUUGGAUAGAUAAAGAGAACUGUCCAUGCCCAGACAGGAAGAGCAGAUAAAAUUCACUUUAAAGGCCUAUCCCCAAGAUAGGGGCUACCUGAGGACUCAGAGCAGAGGUCUGGGUGUGUAGAAAAGACUGGCUGGAUAGAUUAGUGGUGCCUACCUAGGUAGGUCCAGCUAUGAAGGGAAGAUAACUGGGAUAGAUUAGUGAUGUCUGCUCUGGGUGGCAUUGAAGGAUGGCAAAAUAACUAAAUAGGAUGUUUAGUGAAAUGACAGAGGGACAUGUUGCUUUUUGACAUGUGAAAGUUCUUUACAAGAUUGCAUUUUCUGAUUCUGGGUGUGGAAGAACACAUGUGCCAAGGGCCUGCCACAGCCCAGAGUCCCAGUUCAGGCAGCAGCCCACACAAGUCCCCACCUGUCCUGAUCUUCCUGUGCUUCCCUGCAGCACUGUGAGUUCCGGAUGCGUGGACACUACCACUGCCUCCGGACUGGCUGCUACUUCGUCACCAACAUCACCACCAAGCUGCCCUGGCACAUAAAGAAGCAUGAGAAAGCUGAGCGGCGGGCAGCCAACGGAUUCAAAUACUUCACCAAGCGCGAGGAGUGCGGCAGGCUAGGUACUAAGCCAGGGUGGGUAGGGACUUCUAGCAGGUACAGGCCAGUUGUCAAAUUCACAAGGUGUCAAACCUGAAACAUCCCAGGGAAGAGGACGAGAGUCACUCUGGCCUCCUCCAUGCAAGCAGGAUGCCCUGGAGCCUCACUGCCGGCAGUCAUGGCUUAGCUUGAUUCUUUUCCCCUUUCCAGAGGGCAGGCAGGUGAGCUUCUCAGGGGUUUGGAAAUCACUCGCCCUGGGUUGCUUUCCAUAGCUUCAACUGUAGGGUUUUGUUUAAAAUGUGCCAUGGUGUGUUCGUUCAUUCAGCAGUAAUUUACUGAAAAACAACUGUGUGCCAGUGCUAUUGCAGGGACACGGGAGUGGUGACAGUGGCAGCAGCUAAGAGUUUUUGAGUGUCCGGUAUGUGCUGGCAUUGGACUUGGUGCUGGAAACCUGGCGAAGAUGUGUGGGCUCAGCUGGAGAAUCUGAUUGGCAGGAUACUCAGGAAGGAAGUAGCCAUGGGUCUGAGAAGAAGAGGUCACCCGCAGCCCUGAGCUUGGUGAUAGAUGCUGAGAUCUGAGCCCCACAGGGAACAGGGCCUCCUUCCGGGGAUGCCCAAUGGGAUUGGGGCUCUAGGGUCAGCAGGCAGAGAGGAAAGCCCACCCUCCUGCCUCAGGAUGGAGCCCCGUGUUCAUAAGCCUGUUGAUGAUGGGAAUCAUCGGGAAUAGACUGGGAUGGGAAUCUCCCUGGGAAUAGACUGGAAGCUGAAGGAAAGGCAGGAGAAGGUGUCAGCAUGGACACCUGGGCUGCGGGCUACAGGCCAGGCCGGCUGUGGCCUGUGGUCAUGGUUUCAGGGGCUGGUGGCAGAGGGAGGCUGCAGGCAGGCCCUUCCACAGAGGAAGGGAAAGAUACUCAUCAACUGCCAGAAAAGAAAGGAAACAAAUCUUUCCUUCAAGUAUUAAUUCAAAAAGGAUUCAUGGCCAGGAGAGGGCUGGUAACCAUGGUGACAGGUGUCAACACUCAGAAGUCCAUGUUGUCGCGGGGCUCAGUUUACAGAUGUCAGGGUAUUCUGAAGUUGCCGUUAUUUACUCAACUUUUGGUGUUUUUGGUGGUAGCUGGGGCCAAACAAAGCCGGGGGAUGAUAUAAGACACCUGGCCAGCUCGGUGCCAUGGUGACGGGCAGGCCUUCACCUGCCCUCAGCUGAUGCUGUUUUGGCCCCACCUGUUCUGUUUGUUCUCAGCCUGGAGCAAAGGAGAGACAUGGGGGCAGGGUGGAGGCUGGCUGCCACACCCACCAGCCCAGGUCCCCAGAGAAGGUGUUGGGGACAGGUGGCAUGCUGUGGACAGGGCCCACUAGGUUUCCUUCCCACAGUAUGUGGGCAGGGAGUGGGUUUGGACAGCCUUCGUAGCCUUGGACUUCCUGCAGGUGGCUGAUCGUAAGCUUUCCUUGGAGAAAUGCAGUUCAGGGUGCACAUGCCACUGGCCUUGUCGAUCACUCCCUGUGCCCAGAACAGUGUGCUCAACACACACUGGCUGUGAGCACUGGCUGGCUGGGGAGGCUUAUGCAGGUGGGGGCCGUGUCCACAGGCUGCAAGUACAACCAGGUGAACAGCCACUUCCACUGCAUCCGGGAGGGCUGCCAGUUCUCCUUCCUCCUGAAGCACCAGAUGACCUCCCACGCCCGGAAGCACAUGCGCAGGAUGCUCGGGAAGAACUUUGAUCGCGUGCCCCCCUCCCAGGUGAGUGCCUCAAGCAGGCCUGUGGGUGGCUCCACCAACCCCCCGGGAGGCUCUGCUGCCCCUAGCGAAGGCAGCAGGCAGCUCCUCAGGCACCCUGCUUCCUCCCAGGGCCCCCCAAGCCUGAUGGAUGCUGAGACAGAUGAGGGCAUGGACUACACCGGCUGCAGCCCGGGUGCCGCCUCCUCCGAGUCCUCUACCAUGGAUCGCAGCUGCUCCAGCACCCCCGUGGGCAACGAGAGCACAGCGGCAGGUGAGCGCAGGACCCCUGCCUCCAGCCCCGCUUUGCCGCGUCCAUCCUGGACACAAGGUUCACAGUGAGGUGGCCCUGAGGAGGACAGGCUGGUGUGCAGUGGACCAGCUGGUGUGUGGGAUGUGGGACACUGAGGCCACCUCCUACCAUCCUGCCACCUCCCCAGCACUCUGCCUUGUGCUUCAGUUUCCAGGAGAGGAGCCUGGGCCUGUCCUCCAGAGUUCCAGGAAGGCAGUACAGCCCAGCCCUCCGGCCUGCCCUGGCCCCCCUCAGGCCCUGGCCCCGCUCAGGCCCUGGCCCACUGCAGCCUGGGCCUGGGGUCCAAGAGAGGCGCCCGCCUGCCAGGCCCGCCCUGACCGCUCACAGCCGCCCUGCGGCCUCCCUCCUCUCGCUCCUCUGUCUGCUCCUCUGUCCAGUGUCUCCCACCUGCUCCACCAUUGGUUUCUCAUUUUGGUUCUUUUUGUUUGUUUGUUCUUUGUUUUGGUUCUUUUUUUUUUUUUUCUCUGCUUUUCUCCACCUUCUCCAGGCGGCCCGGCUCCUCCUCCUCCUCCUCUUCCUCCUCCUGCUGCCACUGGUGACGAGGCCACCCGUGGGGCCCCAUGGCCCCCCCUGACUCCACCCUUCCCGCCGGCUGCGCUCCGGCCGCCCCUCCCCCCCCUCCCAUGCCUCUUCUCUCCGUCCUGUCUCUCAUACUCUCUGCUCAGUGCCACUCUGGGAGCCAGUCGCGGCCUGGCCCACCCCAUCAGCAGCCCGCCCAGCUUCCCGCCUGUCACUGCCACUCCAACUCCAGUAAAAAGUGACGUCCCCCUAGUUCAGGACGCCGCAGGUAACUCGCACACACAUUCUCAGCAGUAUCUGUCACCCCACCCGAUCCUUGAGACUGUGGUCCAGGACCUGACCCUUUUCUGUGGCCAGCUCAGUCAAGGACAGGUGUUUUUGGUGGUAGCUGGGGCCAAACAAAGCUGCAUCCUGAUGGCCAAGCACUCCUGAGACCAGAAAGCCUGGCUCCUAUCCCAAAGACAGCUCCUUGUGACUCCUGCUCAGACCAGAGCAUUGCUGCCAGCCAUUUGCCCCUGCUCAGCAACUGGUCAGCCCAGAGUAGGCAUGCCAGAUUCCAGCUGGCUGCUCAGGGUGGCCUCACCUUGGGCCUGGGCAGAACAGAGCCUGUCCCUGUGGCUCUCAGGUGUUCAGCUUCCCACCCAGAUUCGAGGGUCUUGAUCUGGCCCCACCCCUCCCUUAAAGCUGAGCCAGGGGAAGAAACCUCUGGAGCCUCAGGCCUCGGGCUGUGCUCUGUGAUAGAAGCUCUUCCUGCCCCAACUCCAUAUCUGGAGUCCCACGGGGAGGGUCUGCUGGCCCCUCACCUUGCAGACGGCAUACCACCUUCCAUGCAUUGUCACCUCACAUUGUGCCUGAGCAUGGCUUUGUGCCAGGCCCCGGUGGCUGUGGCAGUAAGUACAUGGGUUCUGCCCAUUGAGAGCUGUCACCCUGUGACUUCAGACCCAAGAACACAUCAUCCCUGGUGGAUUUCCAGGCCUGAGGCUCUCCCAUGGCCCCUGCCUAGUGCCCCCACCCCAUUCCAGCCCUCAGUUUCUCUUCAUCUGCCAAGGGUGGGUGACUGGGCCUGUUCUCCAAAUCCGCAAGGCAGUAAUUUGGUGCACAGAGCGGUGGCCAGGCAUUCUGGCAGACUCAGAAGGGCCAUGGCCCUCGGCCAGCACAGGGAGCAGCCUGGAGGAUGUCCCCCUCUGGUGGGUCUGGGCCUUGGGUCCCUUAUUUCUGGGGAGUGCUGCCUCCCCCCUGUGUAGCCAGUGGGUGCCUUCUGAAAAGGGUGAGGAAGCAAGCCCUUGGCAGUGGGCUCCUAAGUCCUGGGAAGCAUUCUGGGCCAGCCUGGGCACUGAUUGGGUGCCUGUCCUGUAGCUAAGCCCUUGUCUAGAUCUGGCCCAGCGAGGAGACUCUGAGCAGGGGGUUGGUAUCUUUUUGGUAUUUAGUUCCUGAGGCCUGGCCUAGGAGGCCCACUAGGGGCAGAAACCUUAAGACCUUAAAGAGCCUUCUGGAACCAAGGAGAAGGUGCUCCUCAGGGCAGUUACAGCCCCAGAUGGCCUAGGGCACUUGGCAUCCCGGCUGUGGUAGGCAGGUCCCCGUGCAGACAGGCAGGCAGCCCGGGGAACUGGUUUGCCCGCGGCGGGAAAGGAGCCGGCCUGUCCCUCAUUAGAGGCAGGCGUGUGAUGGGCCCUGGCCCCCCUCCAACUUGGGUAAUUACACUCUGCGACCUAGAUUCUCCCUUCAGCUUCAAUUAGCACCAGGACAGGUCCUCACUUCCUACCCAAACUGGUCAGGAAGCAGCCACCACAUCCCGGCAGAGCUGCUUGGUCUGCCACCCAGGGAGGGAUGCACGUGUGGUCGUCUGCAGGUCUGGAUGACAAGGGAAACCUGGGACUCCUUUGCUGUUCUGGGGGUGGGGAGAGGCGCCCUGGCCACCAGACCAGGGUCAGGGCCCUGUGUGAGUGUGACCCUGGCAAAAGAGGCAGCCUUCUGCACUGACUGCCCUGUGCCCCUUCCCCAGGGAAUACCAUCUCCAUGCCCACAGCCUCCGGUGCCAAAAAGCGCUUCUGGAUCAUCGAGGACAUGUCGCCCUUCGGCAAGCGGCGGAAGACGGCCUCCUCGCGCAAGAUGCUGGACGAGGGCAUGAUGCUGGAGGGCUUCCGGCGCUUCGACCUCUAUGAGGACUGCAAGGACACGGCCUGCCAGUUCUCGCUCAAGGUCACCCACUACCACUGCACGCGUGAGAACUGCGGCUACAAGUUCUGCGGGCGCACGCACAUGUACAAGCACGCGCAGCACCACGACCGCGUGGACAACCUGGUGCUGGACGACUUCAAGCGCUUCAAGGCCUCGCUCAGCUGCCACUUCGCCGACUGCCCCUUCUCGGGCACCAGCACGCACUUCCACUGCCUGCGCUGCCGCUUCCGCUGCACCGACAGCACCAAGGUCACGGCGCACCGCAAGCACCACGGCAAGCAGGACGUGAUCAGCGCGGCGGGCUUCUGCCAGUUCAGCUCGAGCGCCGACUGCGCGGUGCCGGACUGCAAGUACAAGCUCAAGUGCUCGCACUUCCACUGCACCUACCCGGGCUGCCGCCACACGGUCGUGGGCAUGUCGCAGAUGGACUCGCACAAGCGCAAGCACGAGAAGCAGGAGCGCGGCGAGCCGCCCGCCGCCUCGCCCGGCGCGCCCGUCAGCCUGGACGGCUCGCUCACGCUGGCCGCCGAGCCCGGGGGCUCGCUGCUCUUCCUGCAG
rnacentral:lncRNA from 1 species